rnacentral:lncRNA from 1 species
AUAUGUUUAAGCAACGAGACUUUAAUUAAAUGUAUAUAUAUCCAAAUAUAUAGGUUUCGAAGAAAGGAAAGAACGUGUCAUCAAUAAUUAGACCGCGGCAUUUUUCUCCCUUGAAGUUUUAUAGAAUUACAGAGAUCAAUUGUUGAAGGUAGCCACAAAGCUAAUGGGACCUUUUCCUGUAAAAGCAGCUUGAAUACCAAAUAUAAGGAAGGCCACCAUAGCUAGCCUAGCAUGCUUAAUCUCUGCCAGUUGAAGGUUCUCUAUCUUUUCAGGAUCAGAUGCUAAGCCAAGAGGAUCAAAGUAGCCACCAGGAUAUAGCCUUUUCUCUGGGUCUAGUUCUGCAUUUCUUUGGAACUCAAUGUACCCAACUACUAUCACCUCAAUCCAUAUCAACGUGGUCAAGGAGAAAGGAAGUGGCUGGCCAAGGUAGGAUGACCCCUCAAUCAGCUCCACCUGGGAAAUCAAAUCACCGAAAGAAAAAAAAAGUCAUCAAUUUAAUUAAUUAAAUUCAUGAAUUUAUCACAUCGUCAGUCAUGUCAGUUUUGUUGUUAUCGUGAUCAGCAUUGUCAUGCAUCUUGCUUGGAUAGCUAGAAGACACGAAUAAAAAAAUUGGUUGUGUUGUUGUUGUCCACGUCGUAUUUCUCGAGUGGUUGUCGGGACCUCUCACAAUAUUUCGAAGAGAGCACGAACUAUGAUAUUUAAUAAUAUUAGUGUAAAUUAAGCAAUCCUCACAUUUUUAAACUCCACCCGGUUUAAGAUUCAAGUUUUGAAUUUUAACCGGAUCAUUAGAGUUAAAUUUUUUUAAAAAAUUAAAAUGAUAUUAUUUUAAUAAAAAUAUAAAAAUCAACUAAUUAUAACCAGGUUUUACAGGAUCACAGAUUUCAAUACUAUAAACACAACUUAAUAAUGGAUUAUACUGCUUUUUUUUAUGGAUGCGUAAGAUUUUUUCAUACUAUAUAUAUUCUGUUUGUCAAAGAACCAUCUCAACCCAAUAGCUUAAGCUGUUAGGUAAGGUCCCAGAAUAUGAUUUAUAUUAUUCUCUAACACACUCCCUCAAGUAAAAGCCUUUUGGAUUUGAAACUUGCAAAUACCCACUUUACCUUAUGCUUAAUUUUUAUCAAAUAAAUAGAGAUGGUGAGACUCGAACUCGUGACUGCUUGAUUAUCAAGGCUCUGAUACCAUAUCAAAGAACCAUCUCAACCUAAUAGUUUAAACUAUUAGGUAAUAUCUUAAAAUAUAAUUUAUAUUAUUCUCUAACACUGUUCAGCCAUUCUUCUCUCCCAUGACCCCAUCUCCAUUCUUACUAACUUCAUUUCCAGCAUACUGUUCAUUGAAAAUGAAAAUUAUAUACAUUCAAGGUUCUGCCGGCUAAAGGACUGUACUGGUGGCCAAAAUCAACCGUAGAAAAAGAAGAAAAAAGAUCAGUCCAUGUUUCAUCAAAACAUUUAUCACUGCAUAUUCCAAUUUUUAAUUUAGAGUUCUUAAAAAUCAAUUUCUUUCUUUCCUUCUUUUUUUAUUUCGCCAGAAAGAAGGAAUCUAAAUGAUUUUAUUAGUUAAAAUGCACUAACAGUACUUAUGAAAGUUUAAACUUAGAAUGCUGAACGCUAAGUGCGUAUAAAUCUCAUUGAGUACGAGCACGUACGUACCUUUCCUGCAUCUUGCCAUGCAACACCGGUGAGAGCCUCCACAGCAAUGGCACCAAGAGUACCCAACAUUGCCCACCGUCCAUGAAUAAGUUCGCAUUCUCUAAACCUCUGCAGCCCAAAAACCUCAGAGUAUGGCUGGAAGGGUGUUGGUUUCACCUCCGUGGCAUCUACUCGGACUCCAAUAACAUCACCGGCCAAAUUCUUUGCCAAGUUCUGGUCCAACGAAUCCAAAUCAAAUUGCAAGUACUCUGCGGGCUUACCAAGAGCGAAUGGGUCAAAACCGCGGUCUCCAACCAUGGUUCCAUCAAGCCAUUCAGGUGGGGAUGCACCAGGGAACCAUACAAGCCGAUCUUCAAAUUGUUUUGGGGAGGAUUUCUUUGGUGGAGGAGGAGGAGGCGAUUUCUUGGUUCCAAAUCCAAACAGGGCUUGAAUUUUUCCUGGAUUUUGUUUUGUGUAUUGAGUUCGGGUCCCCGAAAAAUAGGACGCGGCAACAGCAGUCGUUGCAGCCAUGUUCGGGUCUAAGGAAACUGGCGUGUGAAAAUAGAAGUUGUCCUAAUUUUAUAAUGGAUUAUUUGUUUAAUUUCAGGUGAAAUUGCGCGAGGAAGUUUUUUAUUUUCUUUGCCAAUGGAUUUAUGUGAACCAGAAUUGCCUGGGCCUUAUCCUUAUCCUCUAGUGAGUGAUGUUGGAUGGUUGAUCGUUGAUGGCUUCGACACCUUCCUUUGUAGGAUAUUGGAACCUGGACGUGCGUACCUAACAUUUUUAAAGCCAGUGGCAGUGGGGUUAGCUACAAAAGAAAUUAGAGUGGCUCUCUUCCACAAUGAACAAUUUUAUGAAGUAUAUAUCCUUCAUUUUACAUAUAUAUACCGAUAAUUUGAUCUUAAAUUAAAACCAUUAAAUACCCAAAAAAGAAAAAAAAAACGUCAAACCCAAGGUAUAAAAAGAAAAAAAUCACAUCAAACGUAAAGAUAAUAUAUAAAAUUAAAUGUUAUAUAGAGCAUUCGGUUGAGUUUUGGAAUCUUUUUAAGAAAAAUAGAUAGAUAUUUAUAGUUAUUAAUUCUAUAAUUUUUGUUAAACCAUUAAAUGCUAAAGUUACUAUUGGUGCUGCAUUAUAUUCUAUAAAAUUACAAACAAUAUAUAAAUUAUUGAUCUCGAUAGCAAUAUAUAUUUUCAAAAAUAAAAUUUAAUUUAUAUUAGUCUUUACAACAUUAAGUUUUUUAGAUUAUGAUUUUUUAGUAGAGUGACUUUCUAAAAUAACUUUUAAUCAGAAAGAAAAUUUAAUUUGUAUAUGUCUUUAAUUACAACAAUAACUUUUAGAUAUGAUUUCUUAUUUGAGUGACUUUCUAAAAUAUCUUUUAAAUAAAUAAAGUGAUUUAUGUAACAAAAUCUUAUUCUCCUAUAAAAAGAAAAGCAUGUUGCUUCUCAAAAAAAAAAAAUUCCCUAAACAUUUUAUAACGUUACAGUUAAUAUAUAUAUAAUAAACUUUAAUCAUGCUUAGAAACAACUUUAAAGAAAGGAUUACUGUGGCUCCUCGACAAACUCAAGAAUGAGAAUUUUAUCAGAGAGAGAGAGAGAGAGAGAGAGAGAGAAAGGGAUCGACAGCUCAAGAAGUAAGAAUAACACCACCUUAGAAUUUAAGGAUAGCGCGAUAUCAUAUUGAAUGAUUGGCCUGGGGAAGGAGUGGGGGGAGCCUCUCUUAUAAAGUUAUAAAUUAGGAAGAGAGGGCAAAGAAAGAAGAAACAAAACUCGGAAGAAACAAAUUUUAUCAGGAGUGUUUGGACCGAUUUAAAGCACUUGAGGUUGGAAACACUAAAGAGCUGAAGCAGGUCUAAAACAUUUAGAAUUGUUUGAAACCUGUGAAAUAAAUUUAAUUAAGAGAGUUAUAUGAAUUUUGUGUCUUGAACUCUUUGAGAGUAUUAAUUUUAACUUUAAAUAGAAUUUAAUUUAUAAAAAAGAUGUAAAAGAUAAAUUAAUCGCAUGUAAGAACCUCUAAUUUACUACAAUAAUCUUUCUUAAAAUUAAAAUUGUAAAAAACAUUCCAAAAUUACUCACAUAAUAAAACAAACCUUAUUUUUACUCCUUUAAUUUCUCUUAUUCGCCUCUUUCUUUCCUCUCAAAAACUCUUGGCAGCAAGAGAUUCUUUAUUUCUCUACCUGGCAUCAAUUUUCAUCAAGAUAUUUUUGUUUCUCAGGUAUGUUAGUGAUUUUGUUUUUUGGUUUUUGCCUAAACCUUGCCUUUUCCUUGUUUUUUAAUUUAACGUGGGUGUCCGGAUCAGCUUGCGCGCACCUCGACUAAUCCCACGGGCCCUGAAGUUAACAACCAUGUAAGCCUCCAGUGACUAUCAUAUGAGCAACUACAGGGCUCGAACCUGAGACCACAAAGGGAGCAAACUUCUUGAUCCCAAGCUCUUACCACUGGGCCACCACCUAGAUGGUUUUCCUUGUUUUUUUUUGUUUUACUAAGUCAAUUGUAUGUGGAUGAUGUUUGAUUGAUGUAUAAAUAUGUAUAUAUUAGAAAUAAAUAGAGAUUGAAGAGUAAUAUUUCAAAUUAUAGCAAGUAUAUAGGAACAAAAAAAGUUCUAAAAAAAUAUAUAAAAAAUUGAUAUUAGAUCUCGCAUCGAUGCAAAAUGAUAUUAGGGUAAACUAAAACUAAUUUGAGGUUUUCUAAAAAAGUUUCAAGACUAUUUCAAACUCUUCAUUACUAAUAUCUCCAGUGGGAGGCAGCCCCUUCCAUAAGACAAAUACUAAAAAGCUAUUCUCCCCUGAUCGACACAACACGUAUGUGAAUGAUGAUAGGAAUGAAUAAAUAAAUAAACCUGAUGAAGAAUUUUGUGACGAAUAAAACAGAAAGUAGAUUGUACUGUACAAAACCCUGACUUGGACUAAACAUCACAUUAACCAAUCAAAAUCCAGGUAUCCACUCAUAGCCCAGACAAAGCAUUUUCCUCAACUACAAGUUCUGUCAGAAAGUUUCCACGUGUCCACUCAUUGGGCCUAGUACAAAUAUCUUACUGGCAUCUCUCUCUCCUUACUUUUUAGGACUGUUUUUUUUGCUCUGCUUUUGUUAUUCGUAUUCCUUUGUUAUCGUUCAUCUCUUCCACUAAUUAAAGAGGUAAGCGAUCCUUUCUAGAUAGCUUGUUCUUAGUUUUUCCUCUCUCUGUUUUUGUUUUUUUCAGUCUUGGUAUAGCUUCUUUUCUUUUUUGCCCUUUUGAACAGUUUUGAUAUAAUUUCUGAUUCUGGUUCAUUAGUUGUUAAUUGGUUUUUCUGUUCUAUUUUUUGUUUUCCAGUUGAGUUUUCUUUAUGAUCAAUUGAAGUAGUGAAUUUUUCUAGUUGAGUGUUUUUCCUUGUGGGUUUUCUGUUAUCGUUUUGCUAGUUUGUGUCUUAAUUCCUCUACUGUAUGCAUCGUCUGUGUUUGCUUAUGGGUGAAGUAAACAACGCUUGAAACUUUAUGGCUUGUGUUUUGCUUUAGUUUCCGAGAAAAUGGAAUUAAUCUUAAAUUAGCGUCAACCAGAAAGUUUUCUUAUUACCAAAGUGGUUAUGCUUUGUGAAAACAAGUUUCUUCUUUGUGGGGAAAAAAGUGUUAGCAAUUCUGUUGUAACCCCUUUUCUUAAUCUGCCAAUUAGGUUAAUUAUGGUUUGAAUAGAGUAAAAUGUUUUUUUAAUCAAAUAAUGUUUUUUCUUAACAUCGGUAAUAGCCAUGAAAACUGCCAAGGGCAAGGGGGCAGCGAGGACGGAAAAGAAGGAAGUAUCACUCCCAGUUGAGGACAGGUAAAUAUUCUGUUUAGUUAUAGCUAAUUCAUUCUUUUCUUUCCUUUCCUUAACCAAUCUUAUAUAUGAAUCACACGGCUGUUAUUCGUUAUUCGUUUCAUUGACUGGGUAUGGUAUGGAUUUUGAGUGAAUGGUUUGUCAUGUUUGCAUUUAUUUCCUCUUUCAGGAAGAUUGGAAAGCGAAAGGCAGCACUAAAGGCUACCGAGAGUAGCAAGAAACGAGCCGCGAAAGAAAAAAUCACCAAGAAGGACCCUGACAAACCCAAAAGGCCUCCGAGUUCUUUCUUUGUUUUUCUGUAUGUCUCUCUAAAUUUGAUAUGGUUUAGCAAUUAUAAUAUCAUUUUGAAAAUCACCUAAUGGUUAUGCAAUGUAACGCACCGCAGAGAAGAGUUCAGGAAGAUUUACAAACAAGAGCACCCCAAUAUGAAGGCUGUCUCAGCUGUAAGCAGCUCUUAAACACCUCGUGUUUCUUACGAUUGUGGACUUCUUAUAGCUGCUGUGAUAGAUCAAUUAAUGUAGACUGGAAUUUUGACUACUGGAUCAUGUGAUUGAAGGUGGGGAAAGCUGGAGGAGAGAAGUGGAAAUCCAUGUCUGCUGCAGUAAGUCCUAAAACCUUACUUUUCAGAUUCUUGAAUCGAGUUGGGUCUUUGAAAGACAAUGAAUUGUGCUGCCUUUGACUGGAUAGAAUACUUUAACUAGAACGACGGUGCGGAUUCUGUUUGUUAAGGUGUUGCAAAAACCUGGAACUGUGGCUCCCACUGGACCUGGCCGUGCACCACGCACAUGUUCGAUGACUUUGGAACUUUGUCUGGUUAACCACACCAAUGCCGGUGUGGUGUAGACUGCCGGGGCCCUAGAUGUUGGUACUUCUAGGGUCUGAAGAUUUAAAAGGACUGAGUGGUGGAAUUCAGAUAUGUUUCCCUUGACUGAUGUUGCAAGUUGGACAUAUGCACAUUCAUAUAUAUAUGUGAUUGUUUGAGUUAGUCAAAAUAACUAGUGUGCAAAGAGUAUUUUCAGUUUUUAGUAAGUUAUAUUCUCUGUCUACUGAUUGCUUCCUGGCUUUACAAAUGGCAUGCUGAUUGUAUUCUUACCUUCCUCUACUGGAAUUGGAUUUGGCAGGAGAAAGCUCCAUAUGAAGCUAAAGCAGCAAUAAAGAAAUCAGAUUAUGGGAAGCUUAUGACAGCCUACAGCAAGAAACAGGUGAAUCUUUUGAAUGUUGCUUUCUUCAGAAUCAAACGAACUUGCCUUUUCUUUUCCCAGUCUCAUGACUACAUUAUGCCUCUCCCAGGAAACGGAUGAUGGUGGUGCUGACGAAGAAGACGAUUACAAACAUUCUCACAGGUCCAAAUCUGAAGUCGAUGGCCAAGAUGACAGUGAUGAGAGUGUAGGGGUAAUCUUUUGUCAGCCUCUGAUAUCUCACACUAUCAGAUAUGUUAAAUAUUAAGCAACUCUUGCACUUGCACCGCAUUUCCAUCCCCGUAGUGAUAUCAUGAGAAUGCACACUUGAAACUUCAUAAUUCAGACAUCUACUCAUUGUUUUACACGGUUCAAUCCGUUGUCUAAGUUAAUUGUCACUGUAGAUGCCCCACGUUUAAAGAGGCCAGGUUCUUUGCUCUAAGAUCCAUUUAAUAUACAAUGCUUUUUCCCAGUCCAAGAGAAUUAAUAACUGGUUCUUUUUACAUGCAAAUGUUCUUGUGCACUAAUUCCUGUCAACAACUGGUCAAGAUUAAAAGAAGACCUCAUUGUUCCAUGUGCUAGUAUGCUUUAGGUUAUAGGGAUUAGAUUAUUCGUUUUAGGUUUCACCUGCUUGGGUCCUCUGCUCCUGGACCUUAUAAUUUCCUGAACUUGUCAGAUUCUUACAUCGUUAGUUUUACUGAAGAGAAUCAUAGCUGGAUUACCUGAGUUCCAGAUAGAGCGAUUGAUGAAUUUGGGAUUGUUCUAUCUUCAAUUACUUUAUUUUUGUAUGCGGUUAUGUGGGAGUUAUUCUGCAAUGGAUGGUUUAUUCUUUACUUCUGUUGAUAUAGAUCGACUCAUGUCCUCCCUGCUGACUAUCAGUCUUCAAUUACUCAUCAAAUAAGUGCAUUUUCUUUCAUUCAUACUUCUCUUGUUUUCUUUAAAUUAGUCCUAAGAUAAGUUGAACUAUCAAUUUUCAGGAGGAUGAAGAUGACGAGGACGAUGACUGAAGUUGGCAUGUAGGCUGAUUUAGCCUAUGAUUGAUCCAGGCCAAAAAUCCUAGACUUAGUGAGUGAAGCUUUCAGGUUAUGUCUUGUCUAUGGUGGUGAUUUUCUGAAAUUUUCCGAAGUUUCUCUGCUCUUAUUGGUGCUGCUAAGUAGUCAUGUAAGAUUUACUCGUGUACCUGCCACGCAUUUAUCUGACUAUCUCAGUUGAAUCAUGAAUAGAUCCUGAGCGCAACAUACAUUUUGCUUUGGUAUGCUACCUGCAAAUUGAGUAUUGCCUGGUGUAGAAUAGCGAUGAAUAGAAUUUCUGUUUGUAAUAUGUGGGCUACCGGUAUAACUACAUCUCUACAUAUGCUAGGGUUUUCUUUUGGGGAUUCUUAACUGCAGUCCAUGGUGAACAAUCAUAUUACCAUCACCUACAAGUAGAUAAAUAUUUACCCUGCCGUUUACUGCACCGGAAUUACCAGUUCCCUACCAUCUCUGUACCUGGUGGUUUCAGGAACGAUGCUGUAAGUGUCCAUGUCCGACUUGUUUGUCUUAGUCAGAGUGGCCUGGAAACCAGGAAAAGUAGCUCACCCUUUGUCUCCUUAUCUGUACGACUAAUAUGCGUUGCUUGACAAAAUUGUAACCAGACCACAAGCCUUGAUGUAUCGGUUAAAUUGCAAUUGCGUUGUAUCUAACGGUUGCGGAUAAUUGGCAUUAAAUCUAAUCGGUCUUGUGCCAAAAAAUGGGACAAAAUGCUGGUUAAUGCACUCUCUCUGAAGGGUAUCAACUCCAGGGCUUCUGUAGUAGCUACGACCAGGAGGAUAUUUACCCACCUCUGCAAUUGGUUAGCACACACGCUUUCUUUCUUUCAGAAAAAAAAACCUGAAAAGUUACUAACAUAGAGUCAUAUCUGGAAUUUAUAGCGAUUUUGGUUUGAAAAAGAUCCCAAAAUUUUCAAACAGGAUUAUGGAGGACGACUUAAUUUCAUUUUGGGCUCCAAGAGAAGCCAACUAGACAGAUUUAAGUUGACUGGAACCAAACCACCAAUCCAAGAGCAAGUGCACAUAGAUAUUUUCUUAAAUAGAGAACUUUCUAUAUUUCUAUAAAAAAAAAUUUAUACGAGGUUUGAUUAAAAAAAAAAUGCUGCGGUUGACUGUACAAAGAAAGUACAGAUUCCUUCUCUCAUUGGUGCAUGGCUGUAGCAGAUAACAGUCUGCUGUGUUUUUUUAUUUAUUUAUUAUUAUGGAUGAUUUCUUUUUCUAAUUUAUGUAGGAUUCAUAUCACAAGCAAUUUUAAUCUCUGUACAAUUCUUGGAUCUAAGCUAUUUCAUCUCUGUACAAUUUCACCUGUCAAAAAUUAAAAAAAGUAACCUGACGAUCUCUCCAAGCUUUAUUUUAUCGCACUCGCUAGUAGAACAGACCAGUUCUAUUAAAACCAUGUAGUUUUUCAUGGGCUGGAAAGAAAAGAACUUGAGAUGGAAGCAUGUUUCAUACGUGUAAUGUCGGAACAUGUCGCCGGAAAGUGAACAAUGUGAUAGGCACAUGCUCGCGAGGGACACGCCCAAGUGGGACUGCAAUUGCCCGUCAUUAUCAUCAUUAUAAUCAUCAUCAACACUAAAAGCAACAAGUUGAAUCUUAGAAAAGGAAAGCCAUAAAAUCAAUGAAUAGGUGCCCACAAUUCCUACAUGAAACCAAUUAGCUUUCAUCUUGGUGUUCUGGUACGUGAUUUUAAUCAUGGUUUAAUUAGCUUUUGUUUUGGUGUAAGAUGUUAAUCAUGGUUCAGCACAUAACAGUACAUAACUGAAUUUUUUAUUUACUGUUUGUAUGGCAUUAUCUCCAACACUAAUCAUGUUAUGAUGUCAGUUCUUGAAGAAUUUAAGGCCUCCGUUGUUGGUGUGUAAUGAAAUCUCUUUCUCUUCUUAAUGAUGUCGGAACUUUGUCGCAGUAAUUCACGCAUGCACGUGCAUGUGCGGGGUAAAGAUCAUAUAUAGUUUGUUUCUUUGCCGUGUAACUAUGGAGUAGAUCCGUGUACCUAGAUUUUGAUUAAUGCUUGAGAUGUUCUUCACUUACCCAAGUUUAUUUAACUUUGCUUACCCAGUGAUAUCCUAUUUAUUAGGAAAAUUUGCUCAGUUUAUCCUUUGCCUGAAUAAACCUAUUAAUUUCAAUUUAUUUUUAUAUUGUAGAUCAUUUUUCAAUUUAUAUAACUAAAAUUGAAUUAAAAAAAAAGAAGAAGCUAGAUCACUAGUUGAUUAGUUCAACCGAUUUAAUUGUUUUUUUUUUUUUUGAUAUUAAUCGAUAUAUUAAAAAUAAGCUUAGCCAUUUAGAAAAAAAAAAAAAAAAAAACAGGAACAGAAACAAGAACAACAGAAUGGAAGGGCAAAAAAAGGCAAGAAUUCUCCGAUUACAAUUCAAACCUUACAAAUCUAGUUAAUUGCUCCAAAGAAGGAGGUCAUUUACACUUUGCACAGGUGGUGGUUGCCGUGUAACUAAAAUUCCUGACACUUGAUUUUAACCCCAUAGCCAACCUGUGAAGAAUGAAGUCAAAACCGAUGGAAGGGUUCUGUUAAGUCACCGUAAUUCAAUUACUUGGUAGAGAAAAGUGACACUGCUUUUCAAACCAUUCCAGAGAGUUGUUGAAUCGAUAUCUAAUAAAGAAUUAAUCGAAAUCAGGUAAUUAUCAACAAAGAGUUGAAAAAUAGGGAUCAGAAGUGAACAUAGCCGUCAAUUUAAAAGGCUAUGACUGUCAUCUUGAUCAUCUAUGAGCAGCUAAUAACAAAAAUCCAGAAUUAAACAAAAGAACCAGCAAAAACCAACACUUAAAAAAGAGAGAAGGGUGACAGCUUUUUUAAAAUCUUUUACCAUGUCACUUUUGCUGUUUCAGCCUCUUUGUUUUUCUUAUUUCAAGGUAAAGAGAUUAUCAAGAUGAUAAAUUCAGGGAAUCGAUCGAGCUUAUUCACAAACUGCGUCGGUCGAUUAGUGAGAUGAUUGGUGGUGUGAAAAAAGUCUACAAAUUAAUGCCGAACCACUUUAAGCUAAGAUAUGAGGAUUGAAAGACAGCAAUAAAGUGGGGUUAUGUGCAUUUAAUUAUCAAUUAGAGACAAAAGUAAACAAGCACCAAAAUAACCAAGGGGGAUUUGGCCGGCAAUAUCAAUCAGGAUUUAUCACUUAACAGGACUGCUUUUGUUGGUAUUUUACUCGAGAGUUUUAGGAAGAUUUGGCUACAUCUAAACACCAAUGAGGAAGCCUCCAAUCAUAUCGGCACCAAUUUAAUUAGCACCAUGCAUCUCACCAUACAAGAAAAACAUCUUUAGAACAUAUGGCCGGUGCAGCCGAGAUUAUAUCAACAUCAGGCAAAAAAGUUAUCUGGUGGGGCUGCUAAAUUGUCUCUUCCACUAGCCAUAUAUUAAUUCUUACAAUAGGAUCUUUUACCUUUUGUUUACUAAUCCUUUGCACUUCUGAUUCUGUUCCCUUGCAAUUUUCACUUCUCUUUACACUGGCGUCCUUUCUUUCUUUUGUUUUUUUUUCCCAGUCAUGUUAUAGUUUCUCUCGUCCUCUUCUGAAAUCAACUGCAGCUUUUGGAACACUCUCUAGUAACAUUCAAGCAAUAUAAAAGAAAGUGAUGAGUCAUGAGAUUUAAGUUAUUUUACAAAAUUCAUCAGGCCGCACCUUAUCUAGGUUGCUAAUCCCAUAAGAGAAAUCGUAAGCAUGCACCCAACCUCUCUCAAUGGUCAAGUCCUUUCUACCACUAGGCCGCACCUUGGCCAAAUUAAGUCCUCUCCAUGUUUGGUUAUGCGUUCCUCGUACUGGUCUACAUCCCUCCUCAAUGGAUUGGUUGCGCUUCGAUUUUUGGUAGACUGCAUGUGCAACCCUCCUGACAGACCGAUCAUGCAUCUUUUCUCAAGCUUUAUACUCUUGAUCGUGAAUUGUGACUGUCCAAAAGAAUUGUUAUACAUGGCUAGGCGAGAAGCACGCGACAAUAUUGUCAUACUUGCCUAACCUGUUAAUUAGGGAACAAAUGAUGUAUAUAUGUUAUUAAUGCUACUGCGUAUCAUAACACAUGACAUUCUCUAAAUUUAUCAUAUGAUUACCUAGAAAACAAAAUUAUAUUUUAAAAAAUAGCUUUACGAUAGUCUCUUUAAUCUUUAUUUUGUCCAAAUCUGUGUGUUAUCUCCUCUGCACUUGUCCCACUACAACAUACCUAUAUAUUUAUACGUGAAAUAACAGAAUCCCUUACUAUUUCAAAAUCUUCCCUUCGUACAAGAACUCCAACUUCUCUGUAAUUUCACUUCAAUCUAAAAUGGAGUACAUUAUUUUUAAUAGAUCUUCUUUUCACAUCCUUUCUCCAAACAGUCGCUGUCUUGACAUCAAUUGGAACCAGACGUGCAACCUCUGACAAAAUUAACCCACAACCUCAUUCAUGUGGACUGAGCGGAAAAUAAAUCGGAAAGUGCUCACCCUAACACGUCUGAAGAAGAAAGUACAUUCUGUCACAAAUUUACAUCUCAACAGCGCGCACGAGCGACUCAGACCUCGUGUCUCGUGGAUGACCCCGGCCAGAAAAUAUAUUUGGGUGUACAUUUUUUUUUCUUCUUCGUACCAUUAAAACUUUUCUCAUCAAAAUUGUCUGUUAAAUUUUGUUGAAUGCAUAUCAUAUGUGAUUGUUAAGUUGAUAGAAGCAUGUUCGCCAAAUCUGCAUAAAGCUCUUGAAUUUAUUUAUAAUCGGGUGUUUAUAUACAAAUGUCUCCUGUAUCAAACAAUUAAUUACUCGAUGGAGGGGCAGAUUUGUCUCCUCAUAUUGAUUGACCGUUGUAUACAGGAUACACGUGUUACUUAUCGGAUAAGAUUGACCAUACAUAUUAUCUUUUGUUAGGUUGCUCGAAAACCUGCAAGAACUUUUUGCACAGUUCAGUAUUUUUAUUAACCACACCGGCAUUGGUGAUUAAAAGGGUAGCAGUAUACUUUUUUCAAAAAGCAUGUCCUGCUCAAGAAAUUAAUGCUCUUUAAAGGCAUGGAGCCUGCUUGAUGAAAGUCAAUACUCCACGGUUGUCAAUGGACGUGUUAUGUACCGGAUCCAUGUAUCGUGCAGCGGCAGGGGCAGUGAUUGAACACGAAAUUAGAAAAACAAAACCAAAUUUUGUAUUGUCAAAUCGAAGUUCACUGAAGCUAUCUAUGUUGGUAGGUACUCUUUCAAGAAACGCAGCUUUUAUUGAAAGGUGUCAUCGAUAUUGGAUAAGAUGAUAAAAUCAUAAACCUGUAAUAUAUUUAUUCACAGAGCAUCAUAAGAGGUGGUUCCAGUGUUUAACGAACAACAAAAGAUAAAAACAUUCUAUAAAUCUAUAAUGUUUGUUUUUAUGUUUUAAAAAAAAUUUAAAUGUUUUUUUUUUUUUUUACUUCAAAUUAAUAUUUUUUUAUAUUUUCAGAUUAUUUUGAUAUGAGAAUGUCAAAAACAAUUUUUAAAAAAUAAAAAAAUAUUAUUUUAAUGCAUUUCCGAGUAAAAAAAAUACUUUGAAAAACAACUGCAACCAUACUCUCUCAAAUACACUUAUAUCUUAGUCUCGAAGAGCAUAUUCUCUUUGGAGAUUAGGAAAAACAAGAUUGUAAAUUAGUCUGGAUGGAUCUUGCAAAAUAAAUUCACGUGAUACUUGUUACUUUAUACAUGAAAUAAUCUAUAUUUCCAUUAUCCCUGUUAUUUUGUUAUCAGGGAUCAAUAUUUUUAUUGAUUUUCUUAUUUCACCAAAAAGAAAAGCAGAUGCCUUCAUUGAAUAAAUUAUCACAGCGAACAUGACACACUUGAAGAGAAAAACAUUGAUUUUGAAUUGUGAGCUUGGAAUCAACCGAAGUGAAUCAAUAGAUUGGUCCCCUUCGCAGAAGAAUUAAAUAGGUUUCAAGAUUUCUUAAGAUCGCGUGGUCCUUUUUCUCAUAUCAUAUAGCUAGGUGCAGCAGUUUAUUUAUCGCCACGUGAUUUUAACAUAUGAUGCCGUGGACAUUGUGGUCCAAUGAUUUUAAUAGUUGGAGAAAUGGGUUUGCAUAUUGUUAAACUAUUGUAUCCAUGCAAGCUAGUACAGUACCUCGUGUUUAAUGACUGUUGGAUGGUUAGAAAUGCAUUUUUGUUGAGCGAUGCAUGAGAUCCAAUUAAGGGUGAUUAUUACGACAAUCGAAUAUACCUAUAUAUAAUGCAUUUUAAUUUAUGGAAUAAGUUUUUCUUUCUCUCCUGACAUGGAUAGAAUGCUAGAGCCACGACGAGUAUUAUUAGCUGGCAAAAUAAAAGAGUGGUUUUGCUACUAUGGAUGUCGAUCGAACCAGCACCAUAAAGUUGAUAAACUAUGGUAAUUGAUAACCUUGUUGUGGUCUGGUGGGUAUUUUAUACUCCAUUAAUUCUCGAUAGAAAUAACUUGAAUUCGUAGAGUCUUUGCAUUUGGUAUGAAGCUUACUGUUACUAGACUAAGGAUUAAUUGGUUAGCUCUAUCGAUCCUCGUCUGCAUUAAUUAAUUAGUGCCUCACUGUUCGAUUAAGAAAACACAUGUUGUGUAGCAUUAGGAAGAAGGCAGUGAAACUUUCCUCUUUUCGCACGUAGUCUUUCCUUUAAGUACUUUUCUUCCACGGAGAAACAAGUUCUGCUCGGGGAAGCUUCAACCCAUCAAACCAUGAAUGGAUAUUGCAAAGCUCGGUAUGUUUAUUUAAAAAAAAAAAAAAAAACCUUUUGCUUUAAGACAGUGACACGGUACUGUGAUAUGAACUCGUAUCGAUCAAAAAUCCGUUAAAAAUACAUAUUAUGUUAUUAUAUGUGAACAAAUUUGGAAGGAUAUUUUCAUAAUAUCAUCAUAAAAUCAGAGUUCAGGAUAUUAAUUUUCAUGAACGAGACUAAUCGUAUAUAUAUAAACAUGUUAUAACAAAUCAAAGUCAAGGCUAGAACUUAAAAUCUCAGGUUGAAUUAUUCGAAUCGAUAUGUGAUGACAUUGUAAACCAUUAUAUAAACAAAAUAUGCAUCUCAGAGCAAAAAAAAGUAGUGGACGUUCAUUGAUUGCUUAAUCAUAUACGUGGUUUACAUUAAUUCAUCCUUACGCUUGAUCAAGUAAUACAUUGUUUUAUCGUAAGCUUGAUGGAAUGCAUUAAUUAAUGAUUGAUAUAUACAUCAUAUGCAAUCCAAAUAUUAAUAUACAUGGUUAAGAAGAUUUGUUGUUCUAAUAAUUUUAGUGUUCAAAUUCUUAAAUCAACACUGACAAUUUAUUUUUCUUAAAAUACUAAAUUUAUAUGAUGGAUACGGUAUUAAAGAGAUCGUAUAAAAAACAUUUAAUUUUAAUCAAGUUACAAAUCGAUUUGAAACUAACGAUGAUUAUAAAUAAAGAGCGUGCAUCUUAACUUUUUUAACAAAUAAAAUGUCGGCAGGGGAGUGCAUAGCACACGCGAAAGCUAAUCGAUGGUGCUCUGCAUGGAGAGUAAUUAAUUGAGCAAAUCCUGCACUCUUAGAGAUCUAGAAAUAUUCGAUCUCGCCCACGCCUUUUUCUUUGACAAUAAUGCCUUUCAAUUAUCAUAUAAAAGGAUUUAAUUGACGCAUCGGAGAGCUGAGAGCAUGCACGGAUUGUACCAACUUGGACUCGCUACAGAUACUGCAAUAAGUUUUGAUAUAGACGGACCAGCUAGCUAGCAGAUAGUUAUAAUUAUUGGUGUUGCUCAUGCAUCUCCCCUUUGGUCACUGAAAAAUCUGGUUGAUACGGUGACGAUCUCUGCCGAGAAACCAAGUUGUGUAUGAUUUGGGCCAUUACGAAGGGCUAAUAAUUAUCCCCACCCUUCUGUGGACACGUCUGCCUCUGGCGAUCUGCUGUCUUUUCUUCUGGGAAUUAGAACGUAUCAACUAUACUCUUAGCAGGAAAAAACGAGUGUACAUCCCCACUUGUUCAUCUUCUAUGCACAUAGACAUGGUCACAUCAAACGUGGGGCGACAUUAAUUAUUGAUUUAUCAUGCACUCCAAUUCCUAACCCAGUCAUCAUCAAAUUGGUGUCUUUUCAAAUCGGUUACGAAUUUGUAUUGUAUAUUUUCUAAUGAUAAGCACAUGUGUAUGUGAAAGAAUCUAAUCAAACAAUUAAUUGAAAACUAAUUUUAGUUGGAACAUCUACUGGAUAAACAAAGGAAAAAUUGCCUCGUAUCUUCUCUUGGAAUUUCAAGCAAAUAAUCAAUUUCAUGGAACACCAAUUGAUAAUUAGUAACAGGUAUGUGAUCUGAGGAGCAAACCAAGUAACACGCCAGUUGAUAAUUAUUUUCGAGUUGCAACUCGAAGAUGGUGCUGGAUAACUCAACAAUGCAUGAUACUGGAUAAACAUCUUAAUCAAAUUCCAUGACCUUAACACAAAUCCAAAUUCUGUCCAGAUCCCACAAAUCAGGGUCCUCAUAUGUCUCCAAACAGCUAACCUACCUAUGAACCUACUAGUAAAUACCUGAGCCAUCGAAUCCCUUUUGCGUUAAUGGGAUGGUGACAAGGUUUGAUCCAUUUAGAGAGAAUGUUUGAUUUAAUGUCAAUUAAUUGUGGGAAUUAAGAGAAUGCUUAACUGACACAAAGGCAACGAGAGGAGGCACAAUCGAUCACACGAUAGGAUUCUCUCCUCGGUAACUUCAAAUUGAACUGAAUAAAAACUUGAUGUGGGUACUUGCUAUAUCGGCAUUAUUUUAUGGGUUGUCUAGUGGGUGGAAAGCUUUGAUGCCCCUUAUGGGGACCAUGUGGAUGAACAUGGUAUCAUAACCUCAUAUUUAAAAAAUCAAACCCUAUAAUUGCAUCAUACUCGUCAUUAUUUUUAGCCACGUGUCUGAUGGAUAAGCUUGCAUUGCAUUAUCUUCUUAGAAGCUUCAUUUGUGGGAGCUCACACCCAUCUUGGCUAAAUGGAUGAUGCGGCAUGAUCUUAAUUAGUUUCUUUCCUGAUGAUCAUUUCACUUAAUAAUGGCAUAAAAAAGGAAGGGCUUCGGUGGUUUUUGGGGUAUCAAAGAACAAUUAGAGGUAGCCAACGGACUGAAUCGAGUGGAAGAAGUGGGCAGCGCCUUAAUUACAGUGACAUUUUAUCGGCUCUGAACCUUAUAAAUUAAACACCAUGUACCUUUAUUGAAAAUUUCACAAAUCGAAAUAUGCAUGGCUCCAUGAUAUCGAAUUUAAAUAAUAUAUAGUGGCAGAUCCAAAACAAAGAUGCAUAUUAAAAAAAAAAUCAAUCUGGACUGUUUUUGUUUUUGUCAAUUUGAAUCAUACUAUAUUUGGGAAUUUUUUUUAAGUGAAUUUUCGUUCAAGACGAAAAUCUCUCUUGUUGUUUGUUUAAUUAAGGGUAUAUAUAUAUGUGUGUGUGUGUGUGUAUUGAAGCAUAUAUAUAUAUAUAUAUAUUAUUAAAGAAAAAUCUAAAUGUUCUACUGAUAUAUUUAUAUAAAAAUAUAUAUAUUUCAAGUUAGAUUCAGAUAAAUUUCAAGUUAAAUAUAAUAAUAUUCAUAUCUUAGAUAACAUUAAAAAAAAAAACAUUCUCUCCUUUAAAUACAAUAUUUAAUUAUCAUGUUUGAAUUAAAAUAUAUAUAUAUAUAUAUUCUAUAUUUAAGUGGGACUGAACCAAUAGUCCACGUGCUUAGAGGAAAAUGCUUGUUGCAGAACGGAAAAGGAACUUGGGAAGGUAUGGAUGUUGCUGUCCCUCUCUCCACUGAAACCUCUUUGAAAAAAAAUUAAGGGAAAAAUGAGGGAUGUUAAGUACUUUAUGCGAGCAAAGGAAAAACAAAUAUAUAGAAGUGACGGUUGCAGGAGCAAACAACUACCGUAGGGAUUGCAUUGAUAAGGUUAAGGUUAGAUGUAUACGAUCUUUGCUGGUCUUAGUUUUGUGUUCAAUUCAUCCCAUGUAAGGAAAUCUAUAAAUAAAAUAAAUUAAUCAGGACAUUGAUUGAUUGGAAAUCGGAACAACAAGAAAUUAAUAAUAAAUAUUGCCAUCCUAAGUAGUCAUUCAACUUUUUUCUUCCUAGUUUUCUAGCAGAUAAGUCUGCACUGUGAAAUGCUUAAUGAUUGCUUGUUACUGUGGAUGAGUUCUGAUAAUGAAAAUUGAACUUUUAAAUCUGGGAUUUGAAGAUGUCGGGUUGAAAAAAAAUAAAGAAGAAAUAAAACUAAGAGUGGAACAAGAUGGAAAAAUUAAUAAAAUCUGAAUCUCACGGAAGAUGCAGGGAUGAAAAUAAGAAGAACAAAAAAAAGAGAUACUUUUUCAAAAAAAAUAUUUUAUAUUUAAUUUUUAUCACAUAAAUAAAAAUGGUGAAAAUCAAAUUCGUGACCAUUUAAUUAUUAAAAUUUUGAUAUUAUAAUAAAAAAAUUUAUUUUAAUUUAAUGGCUUAAGUUAGAUAAAAUUUUCAAAAUAUAAUUCAUAUAACUUUUGUGAUAUAACCAUCAUCUGAUUAUAUGUUUUUCUAUUAUUAUUUUUUAAUGGUAAAAUUUAAAUUAGUGACUAUUUAAUUAUUAAAGUUUUAAUAUUAUAAUAAUAAAAAUUAUUUUAAUUUAAUGGUUUAAGUUGUAGAUAAAAUUUUUAAAAUAUAAUUCAUAUUAUUUUUGUGAUAUAACCAUCAUCUGAUUAGACGUUUCUCUAUUAUUAUUUUUACUUGGAAAAUGAUAUGUGAAUGAACUUGUGUUACCUCUAAUGCCACCCUUAUCUCUAAUGACUAAAGAAGGAGAGGCCACAUCCACCCGCUCGAUGUUGGAUGAGAUGAUCUUAGUCAAGGUCAAAUUCACUCUCCACCAAUAGCGUUGGAUCCCCUGGUAAGCAUCGUCAAUUUCUUUCCUCGGCCCGACUCUGUAUAUUUUUUCUGCAACUAAAUUAACAUGUACACUAAUUGUCUUGCAGGGUUUCCAUCUCUAAUCUAUCUACUCUGACCUGGAUAUUAGACGGUCCAAAACCUAACAGAAAACUUGUCUUGCAAAGUUAAUAAUACUUCAACCCUCGACAACCUUUAAAAGGUUGUGUUUAGAGAGAGGUGUUAAUCAUCCUCGUUAACCACAAACUUUGAGUGCUGGGUGGCUCGUCCUGCGACGGAGACCCCGUCAGUUCUUUUUAACGUGACAGAAGACAGACUCAUUGAUUUACGUGAAAUUAAUUUGGUUAAUUUAAUUAUAUAAUUAUAAAAACAUUAAUAACAUUAAAAAAAUAGUGUUUAUUAAUGUUAUAAAAAUAUAUUCUUUAAAUACUACUAAAAAAAUCUCAACCAUCUUAUUUGAUAUUAAAAAAAAAUAAUAUAUAUAUAUAUAUAUAUAUAAGAAAAAACAAAAUAAUCUCAUAAAAAAAAUAUCUGAAACUUAAUUACGAGCAAAUCAAAUAUUAAAAAACAAAUUUAAAAAAAAUAUAUUUUUAAAACAGGAGGGAAAAACAUAACUUUAGUUAGUAUGUUAAAUUUACGACCCGUUUGUGAGAUUGGUACAACCCUAUACAGAAAAAUACAAGAAAAACAAUGGAGAUCAUCUCAAGCAAAGUAAGGGACCGUUUAGGAACACAGUUCAACCCAUGUUUCUAAAAAAAUGAUUUUUUUCCUUAAAAUUAAUAUUGUUUUUGGAUCGUUCUGAUACAUUGAUAUCAAAAAUAAUUUUUAAAAAAUAAAAAAAUAAUUAUUUGAAUGCAUUUCUGAGUAAACAAAACUUUGAAAAGCAACCGCAACCAUACUCUUAAACACACUCUAAAUGGUGAAAGGCUAAACUAAAAAAAUUAAUUGCAAAAAAAUUGAAAAAAAAUAUCAAUUAGAGUUAACUUUAUUGACCAUCGAUCCAAGAUAUGAGAUUGAAAUUAUCAUGGAAAAAAAAGGGGCAAGAAUCAUGAAGUUAAAGGUCAAAUAAUCUAACGUUCAAGAAUUAUUUUUUUAAAAAAAAAACAUAGAAAAAAAAAAGUAAAAUCUUCGUAACUUAGAUUAUUAAAACAGGUUACCCCAUAAAAAAACCCAUAAAAAUCAAUAAAAAAUUUUCUCAAUCAUUCAAAAUAAAAAAAAAAUACGUUUUUUCUCUGUCAUUCAAGUCAAUGGUAAGAACUACGGUUUUUUCUCACGAUAGAGGAUCCUGUUAGACGUCUUUAAUUUUCUUAAUAACGAGGUUCUUUUAUUGGGUUAAAAUUACAAGUACAUCAACUUUCCACAAUUUCCUUUCAAAAACUGGACAAUUUGGUCAGUGUGGGCCCGAAAUAAUUCCAUCUCCAUUCCCGAGUACUCUUUCUUUUCCAUUAUUUUCAAGAACAAGAGAAAAUACGAUGCUGGAGAAUUCUGAGGGAAAAUUACUUUUCUUGAGGAGAAUUCCAAAUAAAAGUUGUCAAAGCAGAUUUCUAAGAUUGGUUUUAUGAUUAGGGACGCUGAUCAUGUAGUUGAUGGUGGAUAUAAUUUUUUUAAUGAAAAAACCGUAAAGAGAGUUUGAGAUAUUUGAUCAUUGAAUAUUUGUAAAAUUAAUAUUAAAAUAAUUUAAAUUUGAGUUAGAAAAAAUUGAUUUUCUUAGUUAUUGUUGUUUUUAUUUAGUUUAGAAAAAUAUUCUCCUGUUUUUAUUUAGUUUUGAGAAAAUUAAAUAUUUGUGAUUAAUAAUCUUAUUUUUUUAGUUUAAUUAUUUUUUAAAAUAACUCAAUAAUUAUUGACGGAGGAAGAUCAAAAACUAAUAUAAAUAAAGUUGUUGAGUUUAUAUUUCAUGUAUUAUACUUCUAUGUAAAGCCAUACUGGGCUCCUUCUUAUAUGUGUUUCUGUCUGUUUCAAAAUAUCUUGGAAUCCCUCUCCAUUUUCUUAUCCCCUACCUUUCCCUCUUCCAAAAGACACAGCGCUCGUAGCAGAGCUCAACCUAAUCUCAGCAGACGCAAAAGAAAGAAAGUUUUCAUUUUUACUUAGGAUUUGUUUUGGUGACAGACAGACAGAUAGAAAAAGAAAAAAUGAUGCCUCUUCUCUAAAUCCUACUUGAAAGGAAAGAGAGAAUAAAAGCUGUCAGAUACGGAAAUAUCCACCAUUUAUUUCAUUUCCACAGGCCUCUUAAUUCUUAUCAGAUGCCCUCCCCUCGGGUGCUCUCUUUUCCUUCCAUUAAUGCUCUAAACUAUCUUCUCCUCUCUCUCUGAAAUUAACCCUCGUCAUAUACAUAUACACAUACGACCAGCUACUCGUGUGAGUAAACAAUACCACUAGAUGUUACAGCACUAAGAUAUCUAUCACAAAGCUCAAUAUCUCAUGGCGGUUUCUGUUUGUCUUGUUCUCUUUAUUGUUCUCCCAGCGAUAGUCUUUAUCGUUCACAGGAGUUCCCGGUUCCGGAGGCUCCGGCUGCCGCCGGGGAGUUUGGGUCUGCCCUUUGUUGGAGAGACUCUACAGCUGAUAUCUGCAUACAAGACUGAGAACCCUGAACCGUUUAUAGAUGAGCGGGUGAACCGGUUCGGUUCGUUGUUUAAAACCCAUAUUUUUGGUGAACCGACCGUUUUUUCUGUUGACCCGGAAACGAACAGGUUCAUUUUGCAAAAUGAAGGGAAGCUGUUUGAGUGUAGUUACCCCGGUUCGAUAAGCAACCUGCUGGGAAAACAUUCUUUGUUGCUAAUGACGGGUAAUCUUCACAAAAAAAUGCAUUCCUUAACCAUGAGUUUCGCUAACUCUUCAAUCAUCAGAGACCAUCUCUUGGUCGAUAUAGACCGGUUGAUCCGUCUCAAUUUAGAUUCUUGGUCCGACCGGGUUCUUCUCAUGGAGGAGGCCAAGAAGGUAGCUUCUGUUAUUUUAUCUUCCUUCUAAUUAAGAAACUCAGGACGCCUGUUCCUGAUGAUGCCACUGAGUUGACUCGGUUUUGGGUCGUUCCAGUUUACUUGAAUGAUAUUGUUAUUAUGGGUCUGUCUUGUGAUUCACGUUACAGGGAAUUAAACUGGUGGGUGACAAACAUUCCAAGCAUGUUAGCAGCUUAGCAUACAAAAUCAAACCAGACUAGUAGUAAAAGUCACACUCACAUACGCACGAAUUACUUUUAUUCCCUUAAUUAAUCAUGCUUCUUGCUAUUAUUAAUUUAUUUUUGCUGUUAUAUACUUGGUUUUUCUGCAGUUAGAAGGUUCCAUCUAACUAAUUGCACACCAUUAAUUAAUUAGCAAGCACUAUACUAAUUUUAUCUGGGCCACGCCGUCUAAUAUUUUCCUUCUUCUCUUUGAUCCGUUUGUCUCUUUUUAUUGUCUUGGGCAUAUGUUCUUUGCAGACUACAUUUGAGUUGACAAUGAAGCAGCUAAUGAGCUUUGAUCCAUGUGAAUGGACCGAGAGUCUGAGAAGAGAGUACGUGCUUGUUAUUGAAGGCUUUUUCAGCGUGCCUCUACCCAUCCUUUCCCCCACAUACCGCAGAGCUAUCAAAGUAAAUAUUCUCCUGCUUUUUUUUACCCCUCCACACUUUUUUCCAUUUUAAUCACAUUUGUAUAAUCAAUGGAAAAUGUCAAAUUCUUUUUUUUUAAAAAAAUGGCUUAGGACGAAUGUAAAGUAACCAAGAUCAUUGUUCGUUUUUUUCCCCUAAAUUUGUAUUGAUCUUUUUUUCUGCCCUUGGAUUUUUGAAAGGAACGGAUCAAGGUUCGCCUUUUCUUUUUAUUCAUGAAAAAAAAGGUUCUCACUGAUGUUACAUAUUAAUCCUGACGUACUUAUCUGUUGAAACUUUGUAGGCUAGGACUAAGGUGGCAGAGGCUUUGAGUUUGGUAGUGAAGCAAAGGAGGAUAGAGAGUGAGUCAGGAGAGAAAAAGAAAGACAUGCUUGGAGCUCUUUUAGCUUCAGAUGAUCAUGGAGGCUUCUCGGACGAGGAGAUAGUAGAUUUCUUGGUGGCUCUGCUUGUUGCAGGCUAUGAAACUACAUCUACAAGCAUGACUCUUGCUGUUAAGUUCCUCACCGAGACACCUCUGGCUCUGGCUCAGAUCAAGGUAAGUAUUGUUGAAUCACGUCUUCCAUUAUUUUUUCCCCCUUGUCAUUAAUCCUACCUAAGCUUAAACCUAUUUUCCUCUCUUUGGGGGGGUUCUGGGAGGUUGGAAGGCAAAAAAGUGAAGUACCAUUUUUCUAGUGGACCCAGAUUCCUAUAAUCAUCUUGUUGGCCUCCAUAGAAACCUUCUUCUUUUCUUUUUUUCUCCUUACAUCAUGUCAAUUCUCAACCGUUCACAUUGAGUGGUAGGAUAAAGAGAGAACAAAAAAGAUGAAACGGGUUGUUUGUUUCCUUCUCUCGCACGUGAUCUAUGCGAAAACUGUAUGUAAUAGGACCAAAAACCUUUGCCACGCGAGUUCAUACAAAAGGUCUCCUCUUCUAGGGGGUGGUAAAUGUAAUUCAUCGUGCAUGUUGUCUUUUUUAAGAGAUCGGGGAAGUCAGAGAGUAAUUCCAUUGCUUCAAUGCGAUGAAUAAGAGAACAUCGAUCAUUUUUGAAUAAAAUGAUACAGAGUAUUGGCAUUAAAAUAUAAUAUAAUAGUAUUAUAGGAAUUAAUAUAUGAGCAAUAUUAGCAUUGUAACAACCCUUCGAAAUAAUAAUGAUUAUAUGGGUAGUAAAUAAGCAGUGGAAAUGUUGUUCACACAGGAAAAAGAACGAGGAUUUUGAGAUAUAUCAAAACUCUAAUUAUAAAAUUAUCAAUAAAUUCAACGACUACAUCAUCAACAGUAAUUAUAAUGUGCCGCCAUACUUAUCUUGAAAAACAAGUGAGCCACCACCUUCAUCUUUAAAUGACGAGUAUAACACACUGUAGUUGUAGUCAUUAUUGGUAAUUUUUUGUUGUUGGGUUCGUCUGAUAGAAUCAGUAAUGAUAUAAUUGAAAUUUAAGUGCGCCUCCCAGAUGUUUUUUUUUUCUAUUUUUUCUUGUUGUAAUAAUUGAGUCUAUUUUAUAAUUUCCAUGAAAUGCUCCAUUUUUUAAUGGCGAUAAGUUUGAGUGUCUUCUGUCUCCAUUCACUACUGUGUAAUUUCUCUCAUUUUUUCUGAAAAAUGUUAUUUUAUUAAAAAAAAUUACAAAAGUACUAAUUUAAAAUAUAUAUAUCAAAUGUGUACCACCAUUUUUUUCCACAGUAAAGUGACUGUAUUAGGUUUCUAUGAUGUCGACCAUUUUUUUCCACAGUAAAGUGACUGUAUUAGGUUUCUAUGAUGUCGGUCAAAAGUAGAUGCAAAAGUACAUGAACGUCGUAAAGGUCAAAGUAGAACCCAAAAUUCGUCGAAGCGGACAAAAUGAUACCUUCUAAAAACCUGACUGCUACCCUGAAUUCCCUGUUCUUUUGACCAAUUUGUCUUUCCCUAAAUGACCUAUAAGUCUAAAACACCCUUCAUCAAAUGAUUCUCUUCUGGGUGGGUUUUUUUUUCCGGUAGCUAAAUAUGCCCCUGUACCCCGGCGAGUCGUAUUGGGAUCAUCGGAAACACUCGUCUCUGAUUUCGAUGAAGAAGAUCAUCCAACGGCGGUGACCGAUGUAAUGAAGUUUUUUACCCCUAGUCUUGCAAGCGUGUGAAUCUGACCCUUUUUGUAUAUUCCUAGGAUUGCUUUGUUCCUUUGUGGCUGCGGUGUGAUGGUUAAAUCACAGCCGCUGGGAUGCAUUUGAAUCAGUGUGGCGUGGGUCCGUGAGGGAACCGCAUGGUCAUUGUCACCAGUUAUCAAAUUGGGCUUAGAAAAUACUUUUUGAGUAGUUUGGAUAAGACUUGCCCGUAGCUUAAGAUGCCCACAAAAGCCCGCGGGCCACGCUUAAAUAAUUCUUUAUUUCAUUAUUAUUAUUGUAUUUGAACUGGCAGGAGGAGCAUGAACAGAUUAGAGGAAAGAAGGGCGAGGAGGGAGCUCUUGAGUGGAGUGAUUACAAGUCAAUGACCUUCACUCAGUGUGUAAGAUACAUUUACAUGACUAAUUAGACUCAUUAACAGGACUGUAGGAACUUGAUCUUGAUUUAGCCUUGCUUAACUCUAUUUUUUUGCGUUUAUGCUAUAUUUUUUUCAGGUUGUUAAUGAGACUUUGAGAAUAGCAAACAUAAUAGGUGGGAUAUUUAGACGAACAAUGACAGAUAUAAAUGUUAAAGGUGGGAAGAUUGUUCGUGGCAUAUUUAUCUUUAUAGUAUAUUUUACCAGCUAACAAUAUAUUUAUCCUUAAUCUAUACAGGUUAUACAAUUCCUAAAGGAUGGAAGGUUUUUGCAUCCUUUCGUGGUGUACAUUUAGACCAUGAAUACUUCAAAGAUGCUCGAACUUUCAAUCCGUGGAGAUGGCAGGUAAAUCUCUUUGCUGGCUCAUGUAUUUUCUCUUUUUGAUUACUUCAACAAGUGACGAGCGAGUGUUUUCAAAAAAUAAAUAUUCAUGAGCAGGACGACUCGGGGGCAACAUGCCCAGCAAAUGUGUUCACUCCUUUUGGAGGAGGGCAACGGUUAUGCCCAGGAUAUGAACUUGCUAGAGUAGAACUCUCUGUUUUCCUUCACCACCUGGUCACCCGUUUCAGGUAUCUCCUGCAAUCUUUUUCCAUCUUCCCCGUGCAUGUAAGCCUAUAGAUAUAAUCUGUAGUGCUAACUUUUGUCUGUGAACUUGUAUUUUCCAACAGUUGGACCCCAGCUGAACAAGACAAGCUGGUUUUCUUUCCAACUACGCGGACACAAAAGCGAUAUCCCAUCAAUGUGCAGCGUCGAAAUCGUGUCUAAGCCAUGUAAAAGUAUUAGAGCGAAAGAGAAGUGAUGUAGAAGAGCUGGAGUCCUUUUAAUGAUGGAUCCAAUAAAAGCUCAAGUAACAAGAUAGAAGCUUAUUUUGAGUUCCGCUAUAAUGGAUACCAUCAGUAGAGGUCUUGGGCUAGAGACGAUUACUCAACUCCUACAGUACCGCCUCUCCUCCCGUGCAAAUUGACGACUAUACCCUUGAAUAAAAACAUUCUACUCACGCCACCCACCCCAAGCCGUAACCCCCACUAUAUACUGUCAGUCUGUCAGUAAUAAAUAAUUUUCUUCGUUGUAUGCAGCAACCAGCUAGUGUUUAAAUCUACUAUAUUAACUAAGGCGAUCUUUCCCUGGAAAUAUUCAAAGUGGCGUCAGAGUGAGCUUGUUUUUCCAAUUUAAUAAAGAAGCAUCAUGCUCUAGAAUCGGCCGUUUCUUUCUUCUGGACUGACGUUGUGAUGAAUCUAAAAUCUUAAAAAGCUAAAAAGAGUUAAGACGUCUGGUGCGCGAUUUUAAAGCUAGAUGCCAUGUGAUCUACAUUUCAAUGCUACUGUUCACUGGUUAGCAAUGCUUGCAAGUUGCAGCUCAAGAUACCAUCGGACUCGGGCCUUUUUUUAGGGUUUGGUGGUGGUGUGGGUUUUAGAGGGAAAAGAGAGUAGAGACUAGAGAGGGUAUAGCUGUCAAUCAAGAAAAAAUGAGUGAGUGGAGGUGCAAUUAUAGCGUGAGAGUGCGACUAGCACCUCCUCCGGAGGGCAUAUCCCGUAAGUGCUAAGUGGAAGCCGGCAACCAUCGUUCUCUCUUCUCAUGAAAGAUUGGGUUAUCGGCUCUCUGGGCAGGUGGGACCUGAAUCAUCACAUCACAUGCAAACCUCUCCCUCCAUGCUUCAGCCCCAAAAAUGUAACUUACCUGCUGCAAUUACUAAUUUUGCAGCUGGUCUAGCCAAAAGUUGUAAUCAUUAGAUAGUAGAUACAACUUUGCCCACAAAAAUAUAGACUCCACCUUCACCUGGAGCCUAAGAGUAAAAUAAAUAAAAAUAGGAACUGGAUUAUUCAACCAUAUAGACAGUAUUUGAAUUUGCUCGUCAUGGAUUCGGUCACAGUACAAAAUAAACUAAAAGCCUACUAAAUAUUAUGAUCGAGCAAUUUAUGCGUUUUGUAGGUGCAGCAUCUUCUCCUCGAGCCCCUCGAGUCCUGAUUUCUCUUUAUGUUGGACCCAGAUCAUGAACUCAAUCAUUUCUUCACCGGACGGCCGAAAAAAUGCUAUGGGCGUCUAAUUUUAUUCGAGGACAAGAAGCAAACAAUACGAUUGCUUUAGGCUGAAUAUGCGGCGCCCAUCUUGAAAAUCCCAUGAUUUUUAGCAUAACAGAUACGCAAAAUUUAAAUUCAAAGACACAGGUACAAAGUUCCCUCUGCAUUGCCAUCCACACGUCAGUUUGAUCAGUCUCUAAUCAUAACCACCAGAAUACAGAACUUUGAUGGACAUUUACUGAUUGUUGUGUCUUAUAAGCUUAACAACUACGGUAGAAAGAACUGGCCAUGCAGACAUCCUAAAGUGACGUGCAAAUGGUAUAAUUGUCAUGAAACAUCACUAAAAUCAAGAUGUGAUGAUUCUUCUCAAAAACAGAAAACAAGUCAAGUUGAAAUUACUUUUCCGACAUGCAUCAUAGCUCCAAUCGUAUGGAUAUCCUAAACACUUAUCACGAUCAGCCAUGUGAAGAAGUAAACAUUGAUAAUACAAAUGAGGCUCUGACCUGAAUGUGCUUUACUGCAGAAUGCAAAAGUUCUUGACCAAAGCAUUGGCCACUAAGGGUGGGGGUGCUGAAAAAGAUCACCAACUUUAGGUGGGCUUCAUAUUUGAGGCUGAGAAACCCAUCAUCUACUGCUUUCCUGAUUUUUUAACACGGAUUCAACAAGCUUAACUUUCUUUGUAUUCUCACUAUUGAGAAGCGAGAGUUUCGCAAUUGAGGAUUUCAGCUGCAAUAUUUGGGCAUCUAGAGCAUAAUUCCUCCCCCCUAUUUUCAUUUGCUGAUUUGCUACAUCACCUUUCGAAGAUUGGGUGAACCUUCUCAGCCUUGCUCUUAAGGUAUCAAUGGAAGUACGCAAAGCAUCCAAUCCAACUCCUGUAAAAUGGUCUGCAAAAUAAUUAAACAAUACAGAAAAGUUUGUAAGGUGAUGGCCACACUCGUUACAACCACCAAAAGACAAAAGUGAAUUGACUUCAAAAUACUACAAGUACUGUUGUGUGAUAAAGGUAAAAGAAAAGGAUAUGACCACAGAAAGGAAAUCAAAGUUCUGCACAUGAAACGGUAAUGGAUGGGCCAAAAUAAGAAAUGUCUCUCAGAAAUUUGCAUAGUUUUAUUAAAAUAGUUGCUGCGAGCAUAAAAUUGAUUACCAAGCUCAGACUUAAAUUCACGUUCUGCUUUAGACAAAGGCUUCUUAUGAGCCCCAGGCAAGUUCUUCAAGCAAUGCAAGCGCUGUUCCAGAAGAUUGUGUUGGUGCAUUGCAUUAUUAAUCCUGUCCUCCAAUCCUGACUGCUUCCUCCUCACUUUUGAAAGUUUCUCCUGUGCUUCACCUAAUCGAGCAUGCUGAUCAUCAAUGAUUCUCUUCAACCGGGGGCCAUGAUGCUCCAGUUCAAAGUAGACCUACAGUCAUGAAGGAUAGCAUCUCCGUACAACUGAUUAAAAACCCAGUGCUGAUCUGACAGUAGUAUCUUAAUAAAACUUAAAUGUCUAGCCAAUCUACCUCUAAGUAUUUCAAAUAUAAGCAAACUGAAAAGUCUAUCUUAAUAGCCAAAUGCCUAAAAAAUAAUCAUUAUAAUAACAAUUGCACUCCUGAAACUUAAAUGAUAAACCUCCAUAACAUGCCAGCAGAGAGCAUCGCCAGAUCUCCAGUGCCCGUGGUCCUCAUCGACAGCAAUUCAGAACGCAAAAUCAUAAGGAUAUCCUAAAAGUAGUUUUCCUUCUGAAACAAAAUUCUACCGUUCACCUAUGGGUCAACUCCUAAUACUUUUUGGUUGGCAAACAAGCCUUAACUAUGCACUCAUCUUAUUCAACUAUAACUUGCCUAGUGGUUCAGAAUUGAUGGUUAUACGUGAAAAUAAAUUCCAUUUUACAAACUAGAAUGAGCAGGGAGUCUAGUGAGAAGAGGCAGCAACAAAAGUGACCAAAAUGAGUGAAAGGCAGCAGCAGCCAGUAUAUUCCGUGGGGGAUUCUCACCUUAUGUGCAUACUCGACAUAGUUUUCAUGGAAAAGGUUUAGGUACUGGUGAAGAGUUGACCGGCCUUCAAUAGAAUCAGCAGCAACAGAUCGAAGAUUUGGUGAACCCUGAGGAACAAGAACCACCUUAGGACCAAUAAGUAGUUCUUUGCUUAUGAUGUCUGGAGGAUUUCUAUUUGUCCAUUCUUCCACAGUUUCAGAUUUCUUCUCCAUGUCAACAUGUACAGGUAACAAUAAAUUUAAUGUUCUCAUUUCUAGCACAACACAUUCUUGAUUGGAAGUAAUCACUGCAAUCCACGAGUACCCAAAUGAAUCUGACAAUGCUAUAAAGCCACAAAGAGGAGAAGGUGUGGAGUUCUCCACCUGGCAUGUGCUAAGGACAGGAUGCACAGAGGGGGUCCGGACCAUCUCAUCCUUGCCACCAGACUGACUAGUAAAUGGAAGAAAAUGCAGAACAAUUGAGUCUAUCCCUCCAUCAUGAACAGAAUAUAUUCUUUCAGGCAUAACGGGGUCAACAAACAUUGAAAUAUAUGACCCACUUUCUGUUUUCCUUGGUAAGGCCAAAUCCACAAUUGCAAGUCUCAACAAAGGUGGUGGAUGACCUAACCAGACAGUAUUAUCAUGUGGUUGAUCAAGCUUCACAACAGGAAGCUCACCUGAGAUAGACUCACAAAGCAUUGCAAGACCGAUAAUAUGGUCUUGGGAAUUAACACGAAGACGAGGUGGGCUACCAACCAUCCAGACUGGCUGGAUUUCAUCAGCUAGGGCGUCUAUUUGCAUCUGCCCACCACUCCAGGCAGUCACCAGAAUUGAGUCUUUGCUGGCUAAAUCAUAGAGAAAACUGAUUGCACGACCUUCGCAUUCUGCAACACUGACUGCUGGGUCUUCAUCUUCCCCACCAUGAUGUACUUUGCGUAGAGGGCCCUGGAACAUCAAAACAAACUUGUUAGAUUCUCAAAGAUGUUAAGAUAACACUGCAAGAUCUGAGCAACAUCUUCACAGAAAAAUCAUAACAUGUCCAACCAGAACCAAUCAAAAUACUCCUCGAAGUAGCCAUAUACAGAGAUGAAUUCUCACAUGAAAAGAAAAAAAUAGUGUCUGGAUGUUUAACAUUAAUUGAGAAAGCAUUCUGGGGAAACACUAGCAACUCAGAAAACUUCCCGGUCAUUUUUAUAACUUUGCCUGUUAGUUGGCUGUCUGGAAGAAGCAAGUUCAACCCAAAUAAUCUUACCCUUACUCGUCUCAAUAGUUUGCAAGAGUACUUCAGAUGUUCUGAGCAUGAGAUGUGAAAUGUAAGAAAUAGAAUGAAUAUUACCUGCAAACAAAGUGAUGCAUCAAAUACAGCAUAAGGAUGAGCUUUUAGUGUUGAUAACCCCCCCUCCUUUGAUUCAUGGGCUAACUCGGGAAAUGUUGCUUCCAACCAAGAGAUUGCCCGAUUUGAGUUAUUUACAGCAACUGGAUUUGCUGAUUUCAGUCCAAAUGUUUCAGCAUCACUAUAUAUCUCCAACACAGAUUCCCAUUUGUGGACACUGCUCCAAAAUAAAGCACUUAAUUUUAGCAAACAUCAAAUUCAAAAAUCAUCUAGGACAUAAGGGAGAAGUUUGGUAUAUGCACUUUGAUGUAUAAUAGACAAUUUAUUGAUGCCAUGUCCAUAUAAUAGCAAAAGUACAAAUAAGAAAAGAAAGAAAAAAAAAUUCAAAACCAUUGAUCAAGGAAUGCAAGCAUAAGAAAGCAUCAAGAUGGUAACAUAAAUACUUGUGGUCCAACUUUUCGAGUAUCAUGAUUUUGUAAAAUGUCGAGAAUACAGUGCCCAUCUAUCAUGAAAUCCAAAGAAAGCUACAAGCUAGUUAUAAGAUAUCGGACAAAAUAUACCUUCCAAAUGGAACAAUUGGGCAAAGAAUGUAAACUGAACCAUCACUAAAUAAUAGGAAAACCUGCAGGAUGGGAAAAAAAACGAGGAAUGAACAAAAGAUGAAACUACUACAUGGCAUAAAAUACAAGUCUUCAAACCUAGACAUGAAAAACAUGCAGCACCGUGAAAGAUGACGAUACCACACAAAAGUCGCUAUUUACCAGUGCAAUCAAAACAUAUCAAGUUGAAAGCAUCAUAGAAAAGCAUUAAGACUGCAGCCGAUAUUAUAAUUAGGCACAUGCAUUAAACACCAAACCCGAAACUGAACUUACACUAAAUCUGUCCCACAAGUGAUCGCCCCCAAAAGAAAAAUCAACAGGACAGAUUGAUGCAGCAUUCCUGGAUCUACCUGGUUCAACAGGCUGUAGAUAAUAUUCCUGCUCUGGCUUCAGGACAUCUGAAGACAAGUCAAACAAUCUGGCCAAAAAAAUGAAAGAAGUUAAAAACAACACAACAAAGUUCUAGUCAAACAUAACAGCAAGCAUGAUUGGCAAUAAUUUCCAUACUACUACAUCAAUCGAAAAUAGUUUAACCUAACCAUGAAAUUCAGCACGUGUUUACACUUUCACAAAUAAUACUUUAAUCCUAGAAUGAAACAAUCAACGUUAUACAAUUCCAAACAGAAAUUCAUGUACCGGAAAACUGAAUCAGAAGAAAGAAUUCCUAAAUGCGCAUCACUGUAAGGAUGCCACGAAACUCUUCGCGUCCGUAUUACAUUGCUCUCAUUAAAAUAAAUUUGUGAACCAAUGGACACGGUCCUGCGCAGCAACAAAAUUAUAGUCAUUAACAAAACAACCUGAAAUUAAUCUAAUUAAAAAUAAAUAAAUCAGAAAAUCUACCUGCAAACAAUGGCGUUAUCUUUACCAAAAGAGCGUCCAUAGAGAUACAUAACACAUAAACCAUUGGUGCCGGAGAGAACCAUCGCAGAGCCAUUUCUAUUUAUAGAAAUUUUAUUAACCUCAAAAUUAAUCUCCGCAUCAGUUUGCAGUACCUAAUUGUGCAAGGAAAAAGUAAUCAGGGACUUUUGAGAUUUGAUAAGCUAUCGCAGUUAAAAUUAAGCUAACUAUUGAAGUGUAAUUACCUUAGAAAGAGAGGCAGCAAGGACAGAGGAAGGUUCGGGAUCUCCGAGCCGAAUAGAAAUUCGAUGGAGGCAACGGAGGUUUGAAUCCCAAUAGUAAAAUCUAGAAGCGCAGUCCCAAGCUAGUAGAUUAGAUGGUGAUCGAGGUGCGGUGUCUUCGUCGGAAGAAGCGAAGAGUGGGUGGUUUUGGAGUGGAACCCAUUGGAUAUCUUCUUUGGGAGUUAGGGAUUUUCGAGAAGAAGAGUUUGGGUUUGAUUCUGUUAAGUCGAAGUUGAAUCUCAUUUUGGUUUGCUUGUUUUCACGUCCCCUUGCUUUGCUGGUGAGGACUGAGGAGGAUGAUAUUCGGAGCGGGAGGAAUCAACCCUGUCUCUAUCUAGUUUGGGAAGAUAAAACGUCAAACGAUGCCGCUUCAUGCAGGAAGAGACUUUUAUUUUUAUUUUUAUUUUUUUUUAAGUUUAGUUUAAAUUUCCCCGGCGAAGAGUCGGAGACUGUAGCAUUCUAAACAUAAGAGAUGGGCCUAGCUCAGAAAUGUGGUCCGGUACAUAUAGUAAGAAAGAGCCUGGUGUUUUUACAUUUCAAGUUUUUAAAAGAAAUUAAUUUUUUUUAUUUAAAAUUAUUUUUUAUAUAUUUUCAAAUUAUUUUAAUAUAUUAAUGUUAAAAAUAAAUUUUAAAAAAUAAAAAAUAUAUAUUAUUUUAAUAUAUUUCCAAACAAAAAACACUUUAAAACUAUAUUUUCAAACACCAUUUAAAAAAACCAAUGAAAACUCAGCUGAAAUGAGCUCUUUAUUAUAGAUGGCAGCUCUAACCGGAAAAUCAAAAUUAACUGUGAUGUUCAUUCAAGUGUGAACUGAAAUACGAUACAUCAUUUGUAUUUCCAAAUGAUAUCUCAUCUCAGAUAAAUAAAAAAAAAUGGGUCUUAAGAAGGAGGUAUCUCCUUUGCAUGAUGAUUUGUAGCAUAUUGUUUUUUAUGUUUCCAUGUGAUUUGAUUAAACAAUGAUGGCUUUGAGGUGUAUUUUUUUUAUAUUUUCUGAUCAUUUUCAUGUAUUAAUAUUAAAAAUAAAUUUUUAAAAAUUAAAAAAUAUAUUUUUUUAAUACAUUUCCAAAUAAAAAACACUUUAAAAAACAACUACUACAACACCUCCAACAAAUCUCUUCUAGCUAAAUCCCUUCACCUUUCCCUUGUUAUACCAAAAACUGCACAUUUGUUACAUGAAAAUAAUAAGACGUGGUAGGUCUAUUCUCUGGUCACGUAACCUCUAUGGUGAUUCAAAACCAGUAGUAUAUACGUUGAACCCAUGACAUAUACAGUGAUCUAUAGCAUAUCUAAAUGGUUGUUUACUAAUCCUAGCCGCCAUGUUAGUUUUGUUUCUUCAAUGAUCUCCAAGUUGCAGGUUUUCUCGAAUAAACCUGUCCACAAAAGGCCAGAGACUGAGUUAGUUGCUCGAGUUCGACGAAUUGAUCAAGGAAAAGAAGUCAAAGUUUGGUGCUUAUAUUGGUGAUGAUGGAAAUCGGUUAAAAAGCAGACAAAAGGAGAAUUUAAAUAUUACCUGCAACCUGACGCUGAAGAGUUUGGUUAGCCAAAGAGAACAAAAGUAUCUUGCUUUCAAAUGUUAGUGUUCGUCACUUCACUCUUUCUUCCAGCAAAAUCUUAUGAUACCUAGGAAACACCACGUUCUUGCAAGCUGAAACCUGCAGCACAUGCAUGGCACAAACCACAUUUAGAACCAUUUUAAUCCAGCACCAGCUACUACUUUUUUGUCAAAGCAUUUUUAUUCAUUCAACAUAGAAAAAAUUGUGCUAAUUUUUGUGGUCUUUGGCUGUUUGGCUACGCGGGGAACUUGGAUUAGGGCGUGUGGCUUGAGCGUAUCUUGACGCCAAACAUUGGAUGCUGCUGGCUUUUAUUUGCCUAAGCUGUGUUCUUGUCAAUAUUGUCAAGCCUUGCAGUUCAAAUGACUGAAAUUACAACAACUUGAAAUAGUUUGAGACUCAAGUAAUAAUUAAAAAACGGGGCCUUAGAUCUACUUUUUUAUACUAGGGAAAAAAAUAUUGACCUGCCGAGAAGCAGCCUAUGAAGGAACAGAACUUGCCACGUUAUUAUUUUUGAAAGAUUAUACUGAAUAUAAAGGGAUGAAUUUGUAUGGGCUAAGAAGAUUCGUACUGAAUCGGAAAUUGAUAAUUCGUAUGAGAUAAUAAGAUUCGUAUGAGGGGGUGAAUUUCGGUGAUGAAUACAAUUUCUAAAGAGAAAGGGAACGAACACCUAUCAAUGGAGUAAAGUGGUUUCAUAUCCUGAUUUAACAAAUGUGGGCACCAUUGUAGAUUCGAGAAAAAAAAUCAUAUAUAGUCAAAAAAAAAUUCUCCAUCUCCAAGGGCGGCUGCAUGACCAGUUUCUCUUGAUACGAGGUGCAGUGUUUGUUUUUUGACCAGGAAUAUGGAGGGUGGAUCCAACAUCCAAGUGAAGAACAUGGCUCGAGAACACAUUAAAACAUAUAAAAAAGAUAUCAACAUUAUGAUCACAUGCUACCUGAAAAUUCAUUUAGAUUUGCUCGUGCUUUUCCCCAUGUCAUUUUUAACUCACUUACACUAGUCGGCUCUAAUGCACAUGGGGGCCUCGGGAAAGGGUUUUCGAGAGGGAUCCAAUGAAUCUAUUGACCAAAUCAUGGCAGAAUUAGUCAACGAAGAGACGGUUAGCUUAUGCUAGAGAGCUUUUCAAAUUAACGACCACUCGCUAUCUCUCACAGCCGCCGCGUCAGGUGAUUUUCUCAGAAUGAACAAAAUAAGUUCCUUUCCAUAUUGAUAAUAACCUUAAUAGUUAAGCAUGUUAUUUCUCCUCUGUUUAUGUCUAAAAUUAGCCUACGACCUCCCCCCCCACCCCCCGCACCGGUAAGAAGGACCAAUUCAAAUAAUUUUUUUGACCUUUCAGAAGAUGAAAUACUCGACCCUUCUACAGAUGAAUUAGGUGCUGGCAAAUUGACCAAGUUUAUUAAAUCACAGAGAAAGUGCGAUGCGACAACCCACGACUCUGAUCGUUGAUGCGACAACCCACGACUCUGAUCGUCCUACGUUAUGUACAGUUGUAAGCAUAAUUCGUUUUUGUAAUCUUUUAAUACUUCCAUUUAAUUAACAGCUGGAGUAGCCUGGCUAUUACGCUUACAUUUAUAAUUUUGCAAUAUGAGCAUCAUCAACAUCGUCAUGAUCCAGUGAGAGAGACAAAGAAGGGAGGUGAAGACUUACAGCUUCAAUGUCAAUUUUGUACACCAAAAGCUUUCUUCUUUCUCUGCAACUUGUUCUAUACGCCACAGCAAUAUGACCGAUCGCUAAAAGCAGAGAGCAGAUAAACAAGGCGAUUUCCAUGGCUAUAACAUGCUCUCCUCGAUCCAUACUUGAAACUCUGAACACACGUGGUGCCUUAAACGAAACGUAAAUUAGUGAUGACACAGAACACAUCGUUGUAAUUCCCAAGUAUGGUCCUCUUGAAAGCCUUGGUCCAUCACACAAACUAUAAACACCUAUAACAACAGUAAAAAAAAUUACUAAUUUUCCCAUAAAAACAGGAAAGAUUUAUAGAACAAAGAAUAAAAUUGAUUGGUUAAUGAUACUUACAAAUGAUGACAGCUGAUCUUAUAAUGGAUAUGAGAGGUAUGUCAACGAGGGAGUAACGAAAAUCAUAGUUAUUGAAAAGGGAAGAGAGAGUUUCUGAUGAUAAAGAAGAAGGAGAAAGCGAGGCGGAGAGGAGAGAAAAGGGAAGGAGAGUAUCAGCUAUAACAAGAAGAAUAGGAGCAGAGAAAAGGAGGAAAGAUAUCAACAUGGUGAUCAAGAAGAACAGAGUCUUUACUCCUCUCACAACUCUUCUUGAUUUCUCUUCUUUUGCAAAACCCAUCUCUUCUUUUCUGAGUUUUUGUUGCUUCUGCUUCCAACUUGUGAAGGGUCUACCAGGUUAUGUAUGUACACAGAAGAAUUUAAAAGGGUUGUGGAGACUUGAGAAAGCCUUGAGAGGGAAGGGACUUAAAAGGAGAUGAUUGAGUUUACAUGGAUUUAAAAGAAUAUUAGAAGGAAGAAAUUGAAAUGAAAAGAAAAAAAUUGCCAUCGAAGGAAGGUGCUGCUGCGGGCCAAAAGGUUCAAUAUUUUUUACUUGACUUGUCCACUGGGGACAAGGAUGACAAAGCCUUUGGAACUUUGCACGCGGUAGUUAGCAGUCAGGUAAAGAAUUCUGGAGGGCAAAAAAUAAAAAUUAACAGAAAUAACCAUAUUGUAUUAGAAGACAAUUAACGACGGUUUUUAAUGUUUGUUUACUUAUUGCAUACAGUAAAAGUUUAUGUUCUGUUUUUAUCAUGGUUGCCGUAAGUGUGUUUGUAUAUUUGAUAAUUAUUAUUUUUUAAAAUAUUUUUUAUUUGAAAAUAUAUUAAAAUAAAAAUAUUUUACUUUAUAAAAAUUAUUUUUGACAUCAGCAUAUCAAAAUAAACUGAAAAUAUCAAAAAAAUAUUAAUUUGAACCAAAUAAAAAAAUAUUAUUUUUAAAAAAAGUGCUUUUAAAGCGUUAAAACAAACGAGAACCGAAAAAUAUUGAGUGCUCAAUUCAAAAUACUAAGUUAUUAGAUCAAUUUACGAGUUAUUAAAGUAAUUCUGAUUUAUUCUGAUUUAUCAUUAUUGUUAAAAUAAUAUUAUUAUUAUUUUCAAGAUACUAACUUAAUUAAGUUAACUGUUACAAGUAAAGUUAAUCGGGUUCAACUAAAAACUCAACCUGGAUCAUGCUUCAGCUCCAAGUUUUGCAGGUCAGUCCAACUGAACAGGUAAAAUUUAAUAAUUAUGAUUUUUACUCGGUUUUGUUCGUAGUAUAUUGAUUUAGUGAUCCAGUCAAGAGCAAAUAAUAAUGGGUUUGUUACAAGUCAAGAAUGUAAAAAACCAAGAACAAUAUAAUCAUAGAGACUUCUAAAAUAUUCAAUUUUUAUUCAUCAAAUUUAUAUAUAUAUAUAUAUAUAUAUAAAAAAAAAAAAAUUUAAAUAGUGAAGCUAGAAAAACCUAAUAAUAUUAAAUGAAAAAAAUAAAAAUUCUAACUAGAACGGAAAAAAUAAGAAUAAUUAAAGAAAACAUAUAUAAAAAAUUAAUUUAAAUAGUGAAGCUAGAAAAACCUAAUAAUAUUAAAUGAAAAAAUAAAAAUAAAAAAAAUAAAAAUUCUAACUAAAACGGGAAAAAUAAGAAUAAUUAAAGAAGGUAUUUAAUUUUUUGAAAACGCUCCUCGAUCAUCUCCCAAUGAAAAUGCAGAAUUCGUUUUCUAAUUAUCAAAACCUAAUUUUCCUUAAAAAAUUAUUGUAGCUUUAUAUAUGUUGAUAAUGUUUAUUAAAAUGUUAUUUUUGCCACUUUACUCAAAAAAAAACCUUUGCAAGGCUUUUAAGGGCAUUCAAACCUUUUUCACAUGACUUAUUUAUUAUUUUUAAAUUGAUCGAAAAUAAAUAGAUAUUUUUCUAUCUUAAUUGCAUGGUAAAGUGAUCAUGAUACUUUUGAAGCAAAAAUAAAUAUGAUAUUAAAAGAUAUUUUUAUAUUUUCACAAUUAUUUUUUUGUUAUUACAAUUUGGAGGGCAAUUUAGUAUUUGACUAUAUAUAAAAAAUAAUAAACAAUUAAAACGCACAGUUUAACAACAAAAAUUCUUUUAAAAUAAAAAAAAAUUAAGUAUGAAAUCAGGAGAUAUUUUUCACAAUGUUUGUAUAUAUAUAUAUAUAGAAAAUGAGUUCAAAACUUUUUUGUAUUUAACUAAAAAAAAAAAAACAUGCAAGGUGCAUGUAAUGCCUCCUAGCAUUCAAAAAUAUAAUUAUGUCCUGUUUUUAGAAGCUUUGUUUCCUCUUUUUGUUGAUGCAAUGCAUGUCUCUAAUGACGGUCUUAUCUAUUAUCAGUGGGUUUUUUUUAUUCUCUCUCUUAUACCCUAAAAAUUAUAGCUUGACCCUUUUAAUUGUUAGUGUUUAAACUUCAUACCCUAUUAUUUUGAUUUUUUAUUUUUUGUCAUGAUCUUUAUGUAAAAGUUUUAUUUAUUUUUAAACCCUAAUUUAUCAAAUAUUACAUUCUCAAAUUUGGUCAUAAUCCUUUUGAUUUUUAUUUAUUUUUACCUUGGUUUUUUUGUAACAGUUUUAUUAGAUUUUAAUUUUACUCUUCAAUUCAAAUUAAUAAUAUUAUAUUUUAUAAUCUGGUUCUUAUUGUUUUGAUUUCUAAUUUUUUUAUAUAGGACUUUUUGUAAAAGUUAUUAUUCUUUUAAAUUUCACUCAUUUAUUACAAUAUUAUUUUUAUUUUUAUGUCAAUUUCGAGCCCCAUUUUUUUAAUUUUUUUUAUUCAUUUACUAAAUUGGUUUUUUUUUCCGAUUUCACCCUUAAAUUAAAUAUAAAAUUUAUUUUAUAUUUUAAUUUUAAUCCUCAUUCUUUUAAUUUUAUGUUUUAAAUUUUUUUUUUAUAUAUUUUUUUUCAAUUUCAUCAUUCAAUAUAUGAUUGAUUAAGAAUUAGAUUUUAUGGUUUUUUUAGGUUGGGUGCUCCGGGUCAUCAAUUUGAAAAGUAAACACAAUUUUUUUUAAAAAAAAAAAACUUUACAAUUCUCUUUAGUUUUUUUUUAUUAAGUUAUUUCAGUCAUAUGAUUUGAGUAUAGGUUUGAUGGGAUAUUUCGAGUUGUACAAUUCUAAUUAACAUAGUUACAGGUUUUUCAUGAUUAAUUUUUUAUAUAUUUUUUUACUUUAUUUCAAAACCCUGAUAUUAUUUUUUACAUAAAAAAUAAUCCAGUAUCGCGAUGAAGCACGAUAAGAGAGGCUAGUUUAUUUAUUGUACAUGAUCUGAAUAUGAAUAGAUGGGGAAAAUUCUAUCAAUCCCAAAAUGCCAUCUCAAUCGAUUAAGAAACUAUAUAUUACUAGUGCAGGGGUGCGUCUGAGUAAUGGUCAUGAGAGUAACAAUCCAUUAUCUAGAUCUGGUCUUUCCAUGUUAUUCCUUCUUCUUCGUUUUGGCUCCUGACAAAUAAUACCUGUUAUUUUAUGGUGAUAAUCAAUUUGAGGAAAUGAAUCAAAUAACAUAAAAAAAAAAGUGAUUUUUGAGUGGCAAGGCAUACGUGAUCCACUCUGGUUAUUAUUAAUAAUUUCUCGUUAUAUUCUCGGAAUAUUCAUGUUAUUAAUUUUUUUUUGAUAAUAUCAGAUGUGCUGUCCUUAAACAACACCUCCAAGAUUUCAUUUAUUUUUUUUAAUUUUAUUUUCUUUUCCUUUUAUAUCUUUUCUUUAAAAUUUAGGCCAAUCUAUUUUUUUUAAUUAACAUGAGUAUCCAGGUCAGCUUGCGCGUACCUCGACUAAUCCAACAAAUCUCAAAUUUAAUAGCCAUGUAAGUCUCCGGUGACUAUCAUAUUAGUGAUCACAUGACUCGCACUUGAGACCGCAUGAGAGCAAACUCUUUAAUCUCAAGUUUUGGGUACCUAUUACUAGAUGAUUAAUCUAUUUUAAAUUUUUAUUUAAAAUAGCGCACUUCUCAACUGUUACUUUUAAAAAAACCAUAGUUGUCACUUGCAAUUUUUACCGGACCUUACUAUUUUUCACAGUUUUGUUAGCCGGUGCUUAGCUUGUAAAAAAAAAUCGAACCAUGUUAGAAAGGGAAAACACCCUAUUUUUCUUAAGAGAAGUAAAAAACUUUCCUCGUCUUCUUUAUUUAUUUUUGGUAGUAAACAACUUCAUUUUUUUUUAUUCUGCACCAAUAUAUAAAAUGUUCAGCGAAAAGCUCGAAUUGCAGUUAAUUCAUUGAUUAUUAAUUGUCCAGUAGAAAAGUGGCAUUAAAAAUAGGGAAUUACAUAAAAUCCAAUCACGCUGAUGCUUCUUUGCACGGUUUUAUGAUCAUGCUGCAAAGCUUAUGGUUUGGUUACCGACUCACUCGAUCAUCUCUGCUUCGGUUUAUUCGUCCAUGCCACGUGUUUUUCUAAAGGCCAGCUUCGUUUAUGAUUAGCUGGCUUGUCCAUUUUUUUUUCCAAUCCACCGGAGGGGAGAUACGUAAACUGUUAAAUCAAACUUACUCACGUGGCCUGCUUUUGCAUUCUAAUCCGAAGGGUAAUAUUGUACUCUUCUUUCCCGAAAUAGAUUUUUUUCACCUGCAAGUUUGUGAUAUCUUGAGUUGCCAACAAAUACCGUAGCAGCUUUUGAGGUUUAUCUUUAAGAGGAUAUUUCAAUGGUGAAUGUUUAUAAUUUUUUAUUGUGGAGAUCUUAGCUGUUCAAUCCUGUGAUGGAUGGAAGAGAGAUUUCAGAGAUAGAGAGGAUCACUCUCCAUUAUACUAUAAAAAAUAUUUUAUUUUUAUUUUUGAUAUUAAUAUAUUAAAAUAAUUUAAAAACAUUUAAAAAAUAAUCCAAUGUCUUUUUAUGAAAAAAAAACCUUUAAAAAUCACGUUAAAAUAGAUUGACUCUCGUGUGAUGUGAAUGACGUUAAAAGCAUGCAAGGGCAAAACUUGAAUUAGCAAGUUCGCUAAAUUAUUUUUUAAUUUAAUUUUUUAAAAAUUAAUAUUUUUUUAAAAAAACCCCAGUUUAAAACACGAGCCAAACAUCCCGUAACGAUAAAUAUCAUAUAAAAAAUAACUUCAUAAAAAAACAACACAAUCGAAUCGGACUCAUUGUCAUCUCUGAUGUCUGUGCCUUGCAAUGCUUAUCAAUAUCCAAAUCUCAAUUGAAAAGAAAAGAAAAGAAAAGAUCACACUGAACUUUUCCAUGCUAUUUUCUAUCUGUAACCUUAGCUUAUGCAAUUCUUUUAGGAAGGUAGUCCAAGCAGGAAAAGUUUAUAACACUCCACAGUUUCAAAAGCCCAAUAAUAGCCGUCUGUCACGUCAUUGCCCAUUGCUUGCUGCACAAAUCUAAUUAUUUGUUAAUGGUAUACCGGUUGUUUUUUUUAAAUAAAAAGUUACAUGCAAAUUUAUUAAAAUAAUAUUUUUUUUAUUUAUAAAAAAUUAUAUUUAAUAUUAAUAUAUUAAAAUGAUCGAAAAAUAUCAAUUUAAAAUAAAUAAAAAAACUUCAAAGUUUUUUUUAAAAGUUUUUAAAAUAAAAAAACAAACAAGUAUAGCCUAUAAACACCGCACAGGAUAGGUACUCCGUAUCAAACAACAUGCACACAUAGAUCAUGGUACACGCGCUUCAUCGUGUCACUUUUUUGGAGUUAUCCUUUUAUUACAUCAUUGCUUACAGACAAAAGCAAUAGAACAGGAUACUUGUAAAAAAAAACAGACAACAAUGGGACGUAAUAAACAGGAUAGCUCACGAAAUUUCAGAUCAUGGAAUAAAAUCAUCUCUGUCUUGCGUGCUCGUGUAAUUUUUGUUUUUUUUUAAAAAAAAAAGUCGUAAUCGCACACUUAAAAAACUGCAAAAUCACACCUUUCUUUCUAUCUUCCGUUGCCAAGCAUCUUUUAUUGCACUCGAUUUUAUUUUUUUGUCAAAACCUAAAAAGGUUUGAUUCACAUUAUUUUCAACUUCCUUACGAAGAUGUUUUGCUUGUAAGCCAAGUGGUCAAGUAAACAUCGGUCUUUUAAAAAAAAAAAAUUGUGUUUACAUUAGAGUUUCAACAAAUCUUGAAUUACUAUUUUUUUUUAAUUAUUUUGAUGAACUGAUAUUAAAAUAAAUUUAAAAAAUAAAAAAAUAUUAUUUUAAUAUGUUUUUAAAUAAAUAAUAUUUAAAAAAAUAAUAAUUCAGCUAUAUGUAUUCUAGAGCCGCUUAUAGCUGAGUUACUGUCAAAUCUUGCAUACACCUCCUAAUUCUAGAUUUCUAUAGCUGACAUUUUAUAAACAUGGCUCACGAAGCUAACAUGUGUAAGUCGCAAUGUUUCCUGGCCAUUAUCGAUGGGAAGUUCGGGUUGAGAAAAUAUCACAAAACUGCAAGGAACACUUCCAGCUCUUCAAUGGGACAGUUGUUUUAGCAGUUAAAAUUGUAUUUCAUAAUUUAUUUGAAAUAAUUUUUUAUAUAUUUUUAAAUCAUUUUAAUAUAUUAAUAUCAAAAAUAUUUUUAAAAAAAUAAAAAAUUAUUUACAUAUAUUUUCAAUAAAAAAAAUAACAAUAACCACAUUCUAGAAUACUUUCAAAGCAGCUGGCUUUGCCGGCUCAUGACCGCUAAUACUUGUUAAAUUCAUCAAUCGGAAAAUAGUGAUUUUUUGACCUACAUGACGGGACCAAAUUCCCAAGACACCAAUUUUUUUUUCCUCUCUCACGAAAGCAACAAUACAUGUACUUCUUGCAAAUAGCAACCAAGUUAUUUUAAAAGUAUUUGGAAAUAUAGUAAUUAUUUUUUAAAAUAUUUUUUAUUUUAUAACAUAUUAAUUUAAAAUAAAUUUAAAUAAAUUCAAUUUUUUUAAAAAUAUUUUACGACUACAAUGUUAAACACUGUUUAUAUCCGACUCUGGUCCAAAUCUUAGAUUUUUAUGGGAACAUGUUGCAAUGUUUUUUAAAAAUAAUUUUUUUGUUUGAAAAACUAGUAAUCUUAAAAAAAAACACUCGCGCAUCUGGAUAGAAUAGAACAAUCUAAUAAAUGGUGCUGGCAUAACAACACAACAACCAAGUAUAAGAGCGUUGCUUUUCAUUUCAAAACAUAUUAAUCUAAAACAAAAAAAAAAUAAAUAUUUUCAAAAGCAUUUUACAACUACAAUGUUAAAUACUAUUUAUAUCCUACUCUGGUCCAAAUCUUAGAUUUGCAUGUGAACAUAUGUCAAUGUUUUUGAAAAUAAUUUUUUUAUUUAAAAAACUAGUAAACUUAAAAAAAAAAUAUCCCACAUCUUGAUAGAAUAGGACAAUCCAAUAGAUGGUGCUGGUAUAACAACACAACUCUAUUUUUUAAAAAAAUAUAUGAAAGUUUUUUUUUUAAAAAUACUAACCAUGUUAUUAAAAAUUAAAAUUAGCGGUGUACCAGAAAAACAUAAACUUAAAUGUCAUCCUUGCAUUUUCUAAAUAAAACUAUUUCAUCAUACAUUAAUGAUGUACUAGAUAAAGAAAUUUUUUUUAUUUUUUUAAAAUUUUUAAAAUUUAUUUUUUAAUCAAUUUUUUUUAUCUGAAAUUAUUUUUCAAAAUUUUAGUUAUCGAAACAACUGAUUCACUAGUGUUAUUUUUUUCUUGUUUUUUUUAAAAAAAUUCUUAAUCAACCUGCUAGUUUAAAAAUCAUAUUAAAACUCAAAUUAACUAUAACUAAUUUAGGAAUGUUAUUGAGUUUUAAUUUGAAUACAACUAAUUAUUUUUAUUAAUAAUUAUCAUAAUUAUUAAUUAUUAAUUUAUUAUAAUAAGUAAAUUAAGUAAUCUUAUUGAAAUUUAAAUGGAUUAUUUUUUAGAAUAAAACGAAUAAAUCAGUUAUUUUGAUUUGUAGAGGAUAAAUAUUGUUUGAAAUUUAAGAUUAAACUUAAAAAAAAUCUAUUAAAUUGUGCUAUUGAAAACAUUAUAAACCAUGUGAUUAUAACAUUGUAGAACACAACACAACCUAUUAAAUAUAUUAUUCUCCAAUUAUUUUUCUCAGCACGUCCUGUUUUUCCAAAUCUUUUUUCUUAUGAAAAAAUUAAACACACAGGGAAACCAUGCUCGACGUUCACUUGUUACAAUGCGAAUUUGGCUUCAGUGGCAGCUUAGUGAUUUACAAGUUUCUUUCCCUUCUUGAAGAAUAUUUGGAAUAAACUAUUCAUCACAGCAAAAAUAAGAAACCAUGUACUGGAAGGAAAUAUAUCACGCCAACGAUCUCACAUUUGUCACGGGAUAAGAAAUUGUAUGGAAUCUUCCUGGGAGGGAAAAGAAUAUGGAGUUUAGGACAAUGCCCUAGCUUCAAGCCAGUGGCGGAGCCAGAAAUUUUUAAAUAAAAAGAUAAAUUACUAACAAAUAUUUAAUAUUAUAUGCUAUACAUAUAUAUGUUAUAUAUAGAAAUUAAUUUGAAAUACAUGUACCAACCCAAGUCAAGUAAAAUUAAUUUAAGAAUACUUUUAAAAUGAAAAAAACUUAUGUUAUAAUUGUUUUCUUCGACAUUUUAUAUUUUAAAACUGCUUCAUAAUAAUUUUAUUUUUAAUUUUAUUAAAAAUAUAUUUCUCAAUAUAUAUUACAAACUUUCAUUUAUCUAUUUCUAAAUCUUCCAAGGACUAGGAAAGUUGUUGACAACAAUUCUAUGCUGACAUAUGGUACAUAACAUUUAAAAUCAUAGCUUAAAAGAAUUGUCACAAAUUAAUGUUGUUCUUGCUGACUUGUUGUUUUGUACAAGUGAUUAAAUAUAAAUAUUAAAUGUUUUUUUUUAAUUUAUCUAUUAUAUUUCUAAUUUUUUUAGCUGUCUUGUACUUCAUUUUUAAUUAUUAGUAAAUUCAUUAUUAUCAUUUUUCAUAUGAAAUUCAUAACAAAACUUAUCAAUUCAUCAAAACUCAUUUCAAUUCAUAUCCAUUAGCAUAUAAUAUUACCCAUACACGUAUUAAUUCAACAAACCCAUAAAUUAUUAUAAACCCUAACAUUUUUAAUAACUAAUUUUUGGAGAUGUAGACCCAGUAUUUUUGGAGCUUCCAUAUUUGGUUGACCUAUCAGGAAGAGAUGAAGUGAAAUUAAAAAUUGUUUUUGUUAGAAAUUAAUUUUUUGGUAUGUUUUUUGAUCGUUUUAAUACGCUGAUCUUAAAAAUAAUUUUUAAAAAAUAAAAAUAAAAUCAUUUUAAUGCAUUUCGGCACAAAAAACAUUUUGAAAAGCAAUCGCAACCACACUCCUAUACAAGUAAAGUCUCUAAUAGCACAAGUAUAAAAAAUAUAACUGCUCGGCAAGCCAACUAUUUUUUCAAACCCAUCAGCUGCCUCAUUCUAUAUAUAUAUAUAUAUAUAUAUAUAUAUAUAUAUAUAUAUAGACACACACACACACCAUGCAUAGAAUUCUCUAUAUUAAAAAUGGAUAAGAGAAAGGAAUCGGGGGAGGGGGGGGCAAUUGCCCCCUCUUGCCCCUACGUGGCUCCGCCACUGCUUCAAGCUAUCUAGGUUAAAAAAGAUAGAAUUAUUUUCAGAAACCAAAAAAAUAAAAAUAUGAAGAAAAAACUAAAAAUUGUGGUCCCUUCAUCAAACAAUAAAAAAGAGACCGUGACCCCUUCCUACGUCUCUGGGUACCCACGCGGAGAAAUUGGGAUACUUGAAUACGAUGGUUUUGCCACGGCUGACCGCUAACUAGCUCUUCUAGAAAUUGCAAGGAAAAAAAAGAAGAAGCUAAUAAGCUCUUAUAGAAAUUCCUACAUUAACAACAGCCAAAGCACCUUUUUUUUUUUCUCCUGGUUAAACAAAUAUAUUUUUUUGUUAUUUUUUUUUAUAUUGUUUUUCUAUGAGAUUAGUGUGGUUUGCAAGUUCGUCAAGAUAAUUCAGAUUGCUUUAGUUGCUCCAGUUUAUGAGUUUGAUGAAGUUUUUUUUUAAUUGAAUUUAGAUUUUUUAUAGUCUAUUUUUUCUCAUAUAGUUAAAAAAAAAUAGUUUUAUAGAAAAAUUAUGUUAUUAAACUUUAUAAAAUAACAAAAAUUAAAGAACGUGGGGAAACCACUGUUCACUCAACAACCAUUGUAUUAUGGAUUACAACAGUAAUCCACUGUGUUUUGUUUUUUUUUUAAUUUUUGUUGUGAUUUUUUUUAAAUCUAUUUUUGUCGAUUUUAUCUUUUAAAAUUGAGAUUAUUGAGAAUUUAGUUUUGUAAUUUGUCAUUUUUUUGUCUUUAUAUAAGAUUAGCGUGAUUUACGGACUUGCCAAGCUAGUCCUAUAUUUACGAGUUUUAUGUGUUGUCUUUUUUAUUUUUAAUUGAACUUAAUUUUUUUUACAGUGUUUUUUUUAUAGUUAAAAAAAUAAAUUUGACAAAAAUUAUAUUAUUAAAUUUUAUAAAACUAUUAAAAAUUAAAAGAUAUAAAAAAGCACUUCACUCGCAUAUAUUACACUAUAAAUAACAAUAGUAAUACGCACUCCCCUUCAUCAAACAACAGGAGAAAAAAGAAGACCGUGACCCCUUCGUACAUCUUAGGGUACCCACGCGAAUUGCACGCGGAGAAAUUGGGAUACUUGAAUACGAUGGUCUUGCCACAGCAGGCCGCUAACUAGCUCUUCUAGAAAUUGCAAGGAAAAAAAACGAGAAGCUAAUUAGCUCUUCUAGAAAUUCCUACAUCAUCCGCUGUUCAGCGAGUCUUAUAUUACCAUUAAAUAAAAUACACUGGCGAUGGCAUACCAUGAAGAGAACCAUACUUUUAUGGUAUGCCCUAAAUAGGAUACUAUGUGGUUUUACCAACACAAAGCUUGUGUAGAUGCGAGGAACUGAUUAUUUUCUAUAGAACAUUGGAUAUCUACGAGGAGCGCAGCACUAGAAUUAUCAAGUCAUUAACAUGCUCCCUCUCAUGAAAACUAAAGGGAAUUGCAUUUCUGAAAGGAAUAAAGCCAAAUCCGAACAAAUACACCGAAUGAAUUCAUCUGCCAGACUGCGAGCCUCGAUCACACGGAUCCUGUAAUCGGGUAUUUUUUUUUCUUUUCUGGAAAGAUAGAAGAAAUGGAGGCCAUGUUUGUUUCCCGGAAAGUAGUUUCCGGAAAACCACUUUCUAAAUUUUCCUGUAUUUGUUUGCCAUUAGAAAAGUUGAUCAACGGAAAACACUUUCCAGUAAAAGAAAAAUUUGGUAUGGUUUCCAUAAAAGUAUUUUCCCUUUUGGUUGUGUUUAUUUUCCGGAAACCACUUUCCAAACUUUCCUGUGUUUGUUUGCCAUUAGAAAAGUUGGUCAACGGAAAACACUUUCCAGUCAAUGGAAAAUUUGGCUUGGUUUUCAGGAAAGUGUUUUCCUGGAAAAUUUGGGCGGAUAACACUUUUCGGAAGUUGUGAAAAAUUUAAAAAUGUCAUUAUUUGCUGACUAUAUCAAAUUUGAUCCUCAAACUUUUUAUUGCUAUAUAUAAUUUGUUUUGAAUAUUUAUUUUUCAAAUUCAUCUCUUAAAAUUUAAUUUUUAUAUUAACUUUGGUCCUUAUUUUUAUAAUUGCUAUUUGCUUUUUACUUAUCAUUUUUUUAUUGAAAUUUUUUAUCUAUCAAAUUUGGUCCUCAUUCUUUUGAUUGUUACUUAUUUUAUUUGAAAUAAUUUAUGAAAUGUUAAUUAUUAUUAUUUUAAUUUUUUCAUCUUUUUUUUUUAAUUUUUUAGAUUUGAUCUCUAUUAUUUUGAUUAUUAUUUAUUUUAUUUGAGAUAAUUUAUGAAAUUAUAUUUUUUUUCAAUUUUAUUCUCAUUCAAAUUUUUAAUUUGUAAGAUUUGUUUCUCAUUAUUUUAAUAAACUUGAAAAAAAUAAAAUAUUAAUAAGUUAUUUUUCAGUUCAUUUUCCAUGACAUAACCAAACACUGAAAAAUGUUUUCCAACUUAUUUUCCAUUACACUACCAAACAUCGAAAAAUACUUUUCCAGAAUUCACUUUCUUCAGAAUUCAGUUUAUAAAAAAAUUUACUUUCCAGCAAACAAACAUGGCCGAAAUCUAGUCCUUACCCAAAAUUUUUUGUCUUAAAAUCUGUCUUGGAACUGGCUCAAAAAUAUCUUCAAACCCGUACAACAUGGGUUUCAUAACCCAUCGCGUAAGAGCCCACUCUACUAACAAGGCCUAUGUUUCAAUAAUAAUUUUAAGACGAGCCUAGCUUCAAAAAAGACUACUAGUAUACAAGGAACUUGUCACGUCUAGAGAGGCAAGUCGAGGUGAAGCGUUGAACGCACACAAUAAGAAGCUGCUGUUUGGUUGCUGAGAAAGACAGGGAAAGGAGUAAGAAAGAAACACUCCUUUUGUUUUAUCACGUCUGUCUUCCGCUGUUUUUGAACACCUCUCCGCUUCACUUUUUUCUUUUUAAAUAUCUUUAUAUAUAUAUAUAUAUAUAAAGAAUCGUGAUUGCUAUUUAUCUUUUCAAAAUCCACUAUGAUUCUUUUUUGUGACUCAUAUGGAAUUCUGUUAACUAAUUAAUGUUAUAUUGCAGGACUGGGGUAUGCUUUCCUUCAUUACAUCUCUCAAAAGCAUGCUACGGUCUGCAAAUGCAGUUGCUGUUAUUACAUUUCCACCUUCCCUUCUUUCACCAUCCUUCUGUAAAAGAUGGCAGCACAUGGCAGAUGUGUUACUGUCUGUCAGGGCUAUCCCAGGUUUAUUGUUUCUUACAAGUGCUUUUGUGCUGUUUAUUUUAGUUUUUAAACUUCUGAACAGGUGCUCUUUCCCAAACGAGGACAAGGAAUUGGGAAAACUACUAACUGGUUACCAAGACAUGGUUGGCUUCCUUAAUGUGCACAAAAUAGCAUGUGUCAAUACUCAGGUACAAUAUCAUUAUGCUUUGCUGUUAUCAUAGGCCAUGGAUAUUCUCUAGCUUUGUGAUGGGCUUUGAUUAUGCAAGUAGACAUGCACAGAGGAUUACAUGCACAGAUACACAUCAAGAGGGGCCACCUAUGGACAUAACCCUACGACCUGUUUGGUUAAGGCAUGUUUGACUCAAUUGUUGGCCUUGAAAUAGUUUAAUUCCUUUUAAAUCAACAGCACCAGCACCAGCACCAGCACCACCACCACCAUAUAUACUCUUAUUCAUCUAAAUACGCAAGUUCAAUUGUUUCUUCUCUUGAAAGUUCCAUAUAGAAUAGCAACUCAAUUUGCAAAUGUUUGUUUGAUCAAGAACUUGGGUCAUUCCAAAGACCCUGUACCAUUUUGUUUAUCAUCAUAGCGUCAGGGUUGCAUGGUUCUGUUGUUUUUUCUUUUCCACAGGUUCCCGUGAUUCUUGAGGCAACAGCAUUCUCAAUAAAAUUGCAAAUGCGAAGGUUUUUAGUUUUAGAGUGCUUAAAUCAAGCCCCUGUUGAUGGUUCAAGUGGGACUUCAUAGGCACAUCUGGUGGUUGUUCUGUGUCCUCCAAAAGUGGCGCCCCUUGAUUUUUAGCAUCAUUGCAUAUAGAUCACCAGGCAAGUGCUUGUCAAACCAACACUGAGAGUUCACCAGGAACGGAACAGAAACAUUGUUGGUCCUUGCAGGCAGAACACUCGAGGGUUUUUAUCAUUAACUGGCCUAGCAGCGCAAUCGUUGAAUAUGCUGUCGUGGACAAUAAUCCAGCCUUGGAUGCAAGAAAGAGGGCCAGUCUCUGCUGAUACAUCCCUUCGGAUUUUCAGUGAUCUGUUUUGCUGAUUGAUUUAUCCAAAAUGUUGGCAAAGACAGAACAACAUAAAAUCAAUCUGGUAGUUUUCUGAAUGCCAGUUUUGCGUCCUUUAAUUUUAUUUCUGAACAGAUGCCUUGUUUUUAUUACCAUGGAACUUCGAUGAAAAACUAUUAAAAAAAUAGUGAAUAUAUAUAUUCUAAUUAUACGGUUUUCUAGAACAUGCAUUAGUGAUUUUGUUUAUUGGGCUAAGAAGUGCCCCGUCUCUCUGAUUAGUUUUCAAUAAAAAAUUUUGAGGUUGGCUUUCUUCAAUUAUAUUUUAGCUUUUAAAUCGAUUUAUCUAGUUAUUUGUAGAAUUCUAUCUAGGAUUUCGCACUUUUUUUGCGCGAGUGCGAGAAAAAUAUUUUAUAAUUAAAAAAAAUUAAGAUUAGAUCAAUUAAAAAAGAAAAUAAAAGAAGCACUCGAUGAGCAUUAACAUAAAAUGUUUUAUUAAAAAAGAUAAUCAAUGGCUUUAUUCCAAGGUCUUGCGACCUAUUCAUGUCCAAUUUUGUUAAUUUUAAUGGGGAAAUAAAAUUGAAGGAUGAUAUUUUCCGAAAUUGCUAGUCCACGUUUAACGUCCUGUUUUGACCAAAAGGGUGGAUUUGUUUCAAGCUCUUAACUUCCACAGGUCUUUUAUUUUUUUGGUACAUGGACCAUCGAGAGUUGUUUGCGCUUGGUUGCCGGGACCGUGUGUUCUAUUUGUAUACAUCCCGUUUUCUCCCAAACUUAUAAAAACAUAAGGGAGUAUGGCAACGCGAUCCUUGUGGCGCACCCGAGGGAAACUCGCGGUGGCAGCCACUGCGCUUCUAACUGGGGGUGCUACAGCCACCGUGGCCACUUCCGAGGAUCCAGCGACUGCUCUAAAGCUCUGCACCGCCGUCCCUGUUCGCCUGUAUCGCAACACUGUCACUGCCGCCUCUAUUGCCUUCGGUACAUAUCUUCAGAGCUUCUAAAUUCUCUCUUUUUUUUCAUCACCAAUUCACAGAGAUACGAUUCCAUCGUUAAAUUCAAUUUUGGCUUAGAUUUUGCACUUAGCGCUAGAAUUAUUAUAUUUAUGAUAGGUGAUAACUUAUAAUUGUAAAUAUUCUAUGCGGUGUAUACAAUAGCAUUUUCUUAGAUAACCUUGGAUUUUUUUUAAUUUGUGAUCGAUGAGUAUCGAGAAUUGUUGAGAUGAAUUUAUAACGACGAUGGUGUCUGUUUUCUGCUUUGUCGAUAGAUUAUGAAUACUCGCUGUGGGGGUUGUCGGAAGGAAGUGUUGAGAAGGCGAAAGUUAAACAUGAAGUUCACUUAAGGUCUGCACGGAAACUUCAAGAACUUUGUUUUAAAAAUGGAGGAAUUUAUAUUAAGCUUGGGCAACACCUUGGUCAGCUGGUAUGCUUUCAAUCUGCUUCCUUUAGCAUAUGCAUGAAAUUAUACAGAAUAUCUGCUCUGUCAAGUUAAUGUGCUAGAUGGGUUAUUUGUUCGUUGAGUAAUUAAUCAGUUGCGAGUAUUAUUAGUUGAUAAUUUGUUGUGCAAACAGGAAUAUCUAGUUCCCGAGGAGUAUGUUCAGACAAUGAGGGAGUCAAUGCUGAACAAAUGUCCAGUUUCUUCGUAUGAUCAAGUGUGUGAGGUUUUCAAGAAAGAGCUUGGAGAGACACCGGAUAAAGUAUGUAUCAUAACGUUGAUUUAUUUUAGGAUGGAGACUUGGAACAGUAUGUCCUGAAUAAAGGCCUCUUAUAUGCAGAUUUUUGAAGAAUUUGAUCCUGUUCCAAUAGCAAGUGCUUCCCUUGCACAAGUUCAUGUAGCUCGAACACUUGAUGGCCAAAAAGUGGCUGUGAAGGUCUCCAUUGUUGCCCCUUUAAUUGAAAAUAAGUUUUGUAUUUUUUUGGUGGAAUUAAGUUUUCACGUUAACGUUUAGGAAAUGAUUUCUAGGGUUCGCCUUUAACCUCCAUUUUGUUUUAUGGAUAUUCAGGUUCAACACACUCACAUGACAGAUACUGCCACUGCAGAUCGUGCCACUGUGGAAGUGCUUGUGAAUACCCUACAUGGUGUUUUUCCUUCUUUUGAUUACAGGUAGCAUCAUGGAUGGUUCCAUCCUAUAGGAUGUUUACCUGUUCUUGUAUUUCAUGAUAAGUUGUUCACUUUUUGGAUAUCCGGCAUACUAAUCAUGCACGAUAUGCAACCACGUGCACUUGGAUUUUGGUUUUAUGUGAGAUGCACAUUUUUUUUCUUUUUUAAAUGUGCAAAUAUUCCUUUCUCCUAUCUGUUUAUAAGUGGUUUUUCAUGGUCUUGAAGAGCUAUUUUUAAUUGAGAUUUCCUUGAAUUACUUGUGCAGAUGGUUGAUUGAUGAAAUUCGUGAAAGUUUACCCAAGGCAAGUUUCUGAAAAUUUUUGUAUUCUCAAGUAUUUUUUACAUGCACAAAGUCAUUCUGAAAUUUGCAAAAGCAACGUAAAGUACUUGUCUAAUCAUUCUUUAAAAUAAACCUGGUUGGCCUGAUCAUAGUGAUUGCAACUUGCUGGUUUUUAUUUGCUCAGUUGGCUUCUUAUGUUCUUGCAGUCACAAGAGGAAAGAUAAAACUUUCUGCUUCAAAUUAAGUCAAAGGAUUUGUAAAUGUCCCUCUUUUCUGUUAAGCUACUGCCAUUGUUGCUAUUCAAGUCUGACGAAUGUAUCGGUUGCACACUUUAGCACAAAGUUCUAUUUUGCUCUAACAAUAAUAAGUUACUGUCCUUUUCCUUUACUGGAAGUGAACUGCCCAGUCUGUUGUAGUUAUCCAAUCAUAGUAUAUGCAAAUCAGUAGUUAUAAGUACCAAAGAUCAUGCAACUUUAGGACUAAUAAUUUAAUGUUCAACUAAAAGUAAGUUUUGAUUAAAGAUUCUAUGUAGAUCAACCCUAAUUAUUAUGACAUGUUGAUGCCAGCAGGUUAACCCUUUAAUUAAACCUUGUUGAACCUUUAACCCUGACAUUUGUUUUUUAUUUUUUUUUGUUCAAAGACAGGGUUGGUUUUCAAAACACUGUUACCAAACAUUAAUUGAUGCCUAAUAAAUAUUUUUUCUUGUAGCCUUAAUGCAUGUCUUUAACAUUAAUUGAUGCCUAAUGCAUAGUUUUUCUUGUAGCUUUAAUACAUGUCUUUAACAUUAUUUGAUGCCUAAUACAUAGUUUUUGUUGUAGCCUUGAAACAUGUCUGUGAUUUGAUAUAGAUGCACUCUUAUUAAAAUUGACCGUGAUUUUUCUUUUCUUUAUUUUUUUUUUUCACAUGGCCUUCAGGAAUUGGAUUUUUUGGUUGAGGCCAAGAAUAGCGAGAAAUGUUUGGAGAAUUUCCGGAAGCUAUCUCCCCAUAUUGCAGAAUAUGUUUAUGCUCCAAAGGUGCAUUGGAAUUUAAGUACUUCAAAGUUAUUAACCAUGGAAUUUAUGGAUGGUGCACAUGUGAACGAUGUGAAGACCAUACAGAAACUUGGGAUUCAGCCCAAUGAAGUUGCAACAUUAGUAAGCUCAUGCAGGCUUGUUUUAUUGGUUUAGAAGUCAACAUGAUUGAGAAAUUUCCAUCUCCAACAUUCUUAAAAUUAAGCUAUGGCUUGAAAGUAGGUCUCGGGAAGAGUGGCCUGGCCCUGGUUUUAACAUUCAUUGUUUUGCAUGAACUGGCCACCCUUGAAACUUGAAAUCUCUUUUUCUUGCUUGGCAGCCAAUUGUUUUACCAUUUUCGUCUACUAAGCUUUUUAAAAAAAAGAUAUGGUUCAUCCAUUUUGGCUGAAGGAGAUGUGUUGUAAUAAACUGACUUCAUCUCGUGAGCUUGUUUGAAGGCAGUCUAUUAUCAUUGAACCAUUGGGUUCAAUUUCCAAUGACUAACACAUGUUUACUGAGAAGGAAAACAGUUGAUAUUUGAGUUGCGAAGUUUGAAGAUUUAGUUUCCUUGGGGUGACAUUAAGACGGUAUACACUUUUCUUUUGCAGGUUAGUCGAGUUUUUGCAGAGAUGAUGUUCAGACAUGGAUUUGUGCAUUGUGACCCACAUGCUGCUAACUUGAUUGUUCGCCCUUUGCCAUCUGGUAAAAGGACCAUUCUAGGUCAGGCUUCUUUUUGCUGAGAUUGUCUUUGACCAUUUCUGUAAAAUUUCAUUGGCUGGUCAGCUGCUUAAGUAGUUUCAUCAGCAAUCAGCAAUCAGGAAGCAGUUAGUGUUAGUUUAUUUUCCAUUUUGUUAUUAUCAUUUGUUUUUCUUUAAUGCUCAUGAUUAUGCAUAUGCUCUCUGUGUUUCCAGGUCCAAUUUCACUAGUCCUAGUAGGCAUAGCACCUAUUUUAUUUUUACACAAGUAGAGCACUGUAACUGAUGAACCAUUAUAAUACUGCUGGAAAUCAACCUCAUUGGCCAAUUUGCUAUUCAUUUAUAAUUGCUUACCUUUGAAAUUUGUGCUAGUGAUCCUGGAUUUAAUGUCUUCAUUCACCUGGUUCAGUCAAUUGUAACAACACUAUAGAAGUUUUACAGGGUGAUACUCAAAAACUUUUCUGCACACAAUCACUUUGAAAAUUCUGGUUUUAUGUAUAUACUUGGAAAGGUCAUCCUAAUAUCCUCAAGAUGUUUGUGGGCAUUAUUUGACUCACAGAGAACCUAAAUCAGGGGAUUUUAGUGCACAGUACUUGUAAAACUCUAGGAAAUGCCAGCAGGUACCAUAUUUCUGGCAAUCUGUAAAUAUGUUAAUGGUUUAAUUUCCCUCAAUCAAUACUUCCUAGGUAGUGUUAAGGAAUAGAAAGCUUGUAAAAAUUCUGGCUACUUUUGGUAAGAAAUGCUCUCGUGCAUAAGCUGAAGAGAGAUCCAUUUAACUAUCUCUGUCCCUCCAUCCUCUUGGAAGGGGUGGGGGAGAAGGAUCUUUGUCCUGGUGUUGGUUGGAUUGUUAUCUUUUGUAUUAAAGAAUGCCUUUGAUAUCUUGUGCAUUACCUGCUCAUGGUUCUUGAAAACUACUACUCUUCAAAGCUUUUCAUAUCCAUGGACUAGUAAUGGACGUCGAAGAACCUUCUCCAUGCAAUACUCUCUUUUAUAUAGCAGUUUGUAUGUAUAACUAGUUGGUUCUCAGAAACACUAAUGUCUCAAGUUUCCCAUAUGUACAGGCAAGAGAAAACCACAGUUGGUACUCUUGGACCAUGGUCUAUACAAAGAACUUGAUUUCACAACUAGGUUUAACUACGCUUCCCUUUGGAAGGUGCAUUUUUACUUCCAUCUUCCAUCAUUAUUCACUUGCAUCUUUCCACUGUUGAUGGCUUAAUGCUGGUAUUCUGAUGUUAUGAAAUCUGUCACAGGCAUUGAUUUUUUCUGAUGCUAAUGCAAUAAAGGAAAACAGUGUUAAAUUGGGUGCUGGAGAGGAUCUAUAUGCACUGUUUGCUGCCAUUCUUACCAUGAAGCCCUGGAAUAGGAUCAUUGACCCAUCCGUUGAUCAUUUGGUUAUAAAAGGCGAUGACAGCGAGCGUUCAGAACGGCAGGUCUGUCAGUCUUCUUACAAAUACAGAUAUGCUUUGGGACGUAUCAUUGUGCUUCUCAUUGACAAAUUAUUGUUACAUUGUCCACAUGGAUGCUUUCCAUGUAUUUAUUACUUGCUUUACAAUUUGUAGUUUUGUACCCUUUGCAGAUGUACGCAUCUCAGUUUUUUCCUCAAAUCUCAGAGCUUCUAAGGAGGCUGCCACGAGUAAUUCUGUUGAUGCUGAAGACAAACGACUGUUUACGAUCUGUAAAUAGUUGUCUGGUAUUGUGCAUUAUCCUCCCUCAUUAUUGUUGCCAUUUAUUAUUGCGGUCUUCUGGUUGAAGUUAAUUACAAUUUAUUGUUAAGUAAAUCUUGGAAUUGUUUGUAAUCAAAAUGAAUUAUGGUCAGUUGCAAGGAUCUUCUGUCGAGACAUUUUUCAUCAUCGGAAAAGUUUCCUCCGAGGCAGUUGUUGAGGCAAAGAAGUUGCAGCGAAAAUCCUUACUAAGCAGGUUAGAUGUAUUGCUGGAGGAAAUCUUGUUGGAAGUUAGACUUCUUGGAAUGCAGAUAGCCCUGUGGCUUCUACAUCUAAGGAGAGCAUUGACGGGAUGAAUACAAACAUCGGACAUAGAGCCUGUUUCUUUUCUUUUUUCAAAUUUUUACCACACAGUGACUUCAUAUUCUUUCUCUCCGCUGUCCAGAAGGUGCUUUGGGCACGGAUUGAUACCGUGAUUUUUUUUCUUAAACAGUUAAAAGGAAAAGAUGUAUCAUUCAUUCGAUCCAAUAAGAAACUCGGGAUGAUAAUUUGUGUUGUAAAACCCCUCAAUGGGGAAGGAGAAAUUAUAAGACACGGACGAAUGGAAUUUAAUUUCCUUGUGAUUUUUGGAAAUGAAUAUCGUGUCCAUUUGAAUUGCUGUCUUGAACACAUGUAAGUUGUCGAUGUAUUUUUUUACGUUUCUUCGUCACGGGGAAUCUCGUGUCCGUUGUGAGGGACACAAUAAUAGUGAAACUAGUCUUUUUACCGAGCCAGAUUUUUUUAAAACAUUAAAAAAAAUUAUAAAAAUACUAGGAAGUAAAAAAUUUGUUGCAUCUUGGUCAAAAUACUUUUAUUUUUUUUUAAUUGGUGGCAUGUUAGAUGAAAUAUUUUUAUAAAAAAAAAUUGAGAUGUAUAAUGAUAAAAUUAUGAAACUCACACUAAAACAAAUAAAAUAUUAGAAGGUAAGAGCAAAUAAAAUUAUAGAAUUAAACGAAGGUUGAAGCAAAUUUUUAUGGAAAUAACUAAUAAUUAUGAAAUUAAAAAAAUUAAUUUAUAAAUUAUUGCAAAUAAAAAUAAAAAUAAAAAUAAUCAAAUUUGAAUGAAAAGUAAAUUGAAGAGUUGUUUUUAAAAAAAUUGGAGGGUAAACAUGAAUAUAGAUAGAAUAUUGAUUAAAACAAUUAUAAAAUAUUAAAAAUAAAUCAAUCUAAUAUUUUUUAAAAUGAAAUAAACCCAACAUAGUUAAAACACUAUAACAAACAGCACUAAAUCUUAAAGUUUUUCAAAUGCAAUAGUCAAUUGAGUCAACCACGCUCCUCAAAGCAUAUGAUGAUGGUGUGAGCUGUUGGGUGACUGUGUGGUGUCCUGUACCAUUUGACUGUCAUUUUCAUCCAGAAACUAUGGAAACCUCAUAUUGUAGUGGUUGGGUUUGUGGGAGCUGUAGCAAGUAGCAACCACUACUGUCAAUCGAAGAAAGUGAAGGGCAACAAACAUUACAUACUAUCAAUCAUGGCACAUUGCAGGCGGUCUUUGUCAGGGUCCAAUCUUGUCUCGUGACUGGGCGUGGGGCUCGGCGUGGCAGUGCGUGCACCUGGUUGGACCAUGAUCAUGAUAGUUGACUGUGUUUAUGGAACUCUCUUCCAUGCCAAACCCACCAAUUUGGUGGCUCAAUCAGUUUCACGAAUUUGGCCGUCAAAUUUGGGUUUAUUACGUUAACCUUCAGGGAGGGAGUAUAAUUACACAAUUCCUGUUGACAAGGAAGACGCCUCAUCUUUCUUCAAAGAGAGCGAUCCUUUUGAGAGUUUAGGAUCAUCUGGUGGCUAUGGAUGGUCCAGGUCGCAGCAGAAAGGUUGCAUUAAUGGGGAAGCCAUCAAUGGCUGGCGUGGUUCGGUGGUUGGGUAAUGGCAUGGCGUUUGCAUUUACUUCUUCAAACGCGCAUGAACAUUACUCGCCUAUUUUCGCGCGAGUAGGUGGAACCUAUAAACUCGCCUUUUGCCGUAUCAUUUCAAGUUCUAAACUUGAAAGCCUGGAAUAAUAAAAACACAACCCUUCUUUUAUUUAUUAGGAGAUAUUUGUCAUGUUUUAAUGAUUUUAAUUAUCUACGUUAUAUCUAAAAUUCAACGCUUUAGAUGAUAUCUGGCAUUGCCAUACAAUGAUAUUUUUAAUUUUUUUUUUAGUUUUUAUUAUUUUAAUGUGAUGAUAUAAAAAAUAAUUUUUAUAAUAUAAAAAAAAUAAUUAUUUUAAUAUAUUUUCAAUCAAACAUAACUUAAUUUUUUUUUUUUAAAUGAUGUUAUUUUUUCAUAUUUGAGUUGGGUUAUUUUGUAUAUUCCCAUUGAGUAGGACUCCCAAAGUUGUGGAGGGAAGAAAUGAAAGAAGAGAGGAAGACACUUAUAGUCUGUUACAAACCAAGUAGUGGACGUCUAUCUAUCCAUCUUUAAUGAGGGUCAUGGGAUAGCUUAAUAAAAUCCGCCAGUCCUCGAUUUUUACUCCUUUCUCUAUCAACCUCCUCCGCUCAUAAAAGGAGCGUAGAGCCACUGCCAUUUUCAACCUUCACAGCCAGACACGAAGAACAAAGAAUUUUGUGUUUAAAGAAAAACAGAACGACCUACGGAUUUGUCAAAAUGGUGGGACCUAGUAGACCGCAAUUUGUUCUCUUUGGAUCCUCCAUUGUCCAACUCUGCUUCAGUCAUGGCGGUUGGGGCUCCAUUCUCUCCGAUAUCUACUCUCGCAAAGUAUUCCUCUUUCUCCAUUUGUUUAUUUUAUAUUUCACGUGCUCUUUGAAUGUUGCUUGAUUUAUUUCUUUUCGAAUACAUAUAAAUUGAAAUGAAGAUUUUCCCUAAUGAUAUUUAUUUCACUGUUUUGGCCAAUUAACCCCAGCACUGAUUAGUUGCCAUUUUCAUCGUCUGAUUAGGCUAAUCUUUUUCUGUUUGCAGGCAGACAUAUUGUUGCGAGGCUACUACGGAUGGAACUCGCGGCGUGCUGUCCAGGUUCUCGAUCAAGUUUUUCCCAAGGUAUUUUCGUUGAUAUAAUAAUUUCUUUUAGGAGCAGAUUAGACGUAAAAAUUGAUCUAUUUGAGGAAUCUCAUCUCUAAGUUGGUGAAAUUGAUCGUGCUAUUAGCUUGUUAUAUGGGUUUUAUGUAUUGUAGGAUGCUCCUGUGCAACCAGCUCUGGUGAUAGUUUAUUUUGGUGGUAAUGAUUCAAUGGGGCCUCACUCAUCUGGCCUAGGCCCUCAUGUACCCCUUGAUGAAUACAUGGAGAACAUGAGAAAGAUUGCAGUUCACCUCAAGGUUUUCUCCUGGUUCUCACUAUAUAUAUAGAUCAUGGUUCACAUGUAUAAUAUGAAUGAUCAAAGCAAUUCUUCUCCUUAUUUGAUGAAUAUUGCGGUAAACUUUCUUUUUAAGGGGAAUGAAAUCUGGGAGGUUUUUAUGCUGCUCUCGAAUACCUUUAAAUGAUUAAAUGCUUGUUAUUCAUUUCCUGAUUGCUGGACUAUGUCCAGUUAUUCUUUUGUUGUGUAUAUUUUGUAAUUUGGCCCUGCAAGAACUCAUCAGAGAAUGAUGUUUGAUGCUUCAUCUAACACUAGAUAUUUGAAAAUCAGAGCCUCUCAGAUACAACCCGCAUCAUUUUUAUGAGCUGUCCACCUGUUGAUGAGGCCAGAGUUAGUUCAAGCACAAGGUGCUCUGAUUCGUUAUUUUCUUUUCCUUCUUUUUUUGUUUCUGAUCAUAGAAAUUCUGAACCGUCUGUUUUUCUAAAUUCAGUGGAAUUUUCAGUGAAGUGGUACGAACAAAUGAGUUGUGCCAAAUAUAUUCCAAUUCUUGUAUAAAGCUAUGCCAGGAAUUGGGAGUGAAGGUUGUUGAUCUUUUCUCUGCCUUUCAAAAAAGAGAUGGUUGGACCACUGCUUGCUUUACGUAAGUUUUCUUCAUCUUCCUUCUGCUAACAAGAUCAAUGUUCAGAAGUGUAUAUAAUCUUAUGUAUUGUUUGGUCUCCCUCAUGUAUCUUCUAUGCGUUUUCUAUAUGAUGCUUACAUGUGGUGGUAUUUUCCUUGCACACAAUUAUCGAUGAGGCUUAGUUUCUGUUUCUCUCAUAUUUGGAUUUUUUUUUAAUUAUCACAUUAAAUUUUUUAUUGACAAACGAGCACCGGCCAAAAAAGAUAUUGGAAUAUAACAUAAUUUGGUAAAAGUUGUUGUUGGAAAACGUGACUUUAAAAAGUUAUGGUUGGAAAUAAAGAUAUUUAAAAAUUAUUAAAAUGGACUGGCACAAAUUCCAAGAAGAAGAAACAUGAGAGAAGAGAAAACGAAUGAAAAAAAAAAAAGAUCUUAGAGGCACACUAAAGCUCCGAUAAUAACACUCUCGUACCAUUAGAAGAACUCGAUGACACCUAAGAUCAUCAAUGGUGAUCGAAGUGGACCACACGCGCCAUUCAAAGGAAAUUAAGCCAUCCACCGUCUUUGGGUGGCACGCGUUGGCCCACUCUGGCCACUAUUGAUGACCUUUCUUGGUGUCAUUAUAUUUAUCUUGUUAAGAUCUUUCUGAUGAUACCAGGGGUGUCAUCAUCGAAGCUUCAAUGUGCCUCCGAGAUUUUUUUCUUUUUUUUUUCUUCUCUCUCCUCUUUCUUCCUUGGAAUUCAUGUACUUCCAUUUUAACCAUUUAGAGAUUGUUUAUCUAUGUGGUCCAACUGCGCUUUUCAUAAAUUUUGAUUUAUUUUUUUGUUUCAAAUUAAUUUUUUUAUAGUAUUUUUAAAUCGUUUUAAUGUGUUGAUGUAAAAAAUAAAAAAAACAUUAUUUUGAUGCAUUUUCAAGCGAAAAACACUUUGAAAAACAACUGCUAUCACAAUGCUAAACACCACCUUAAUGUCACAAUUCCCACACGUGAAUUUUACCGAACUAUGUUAUUUCUCAAAAUCAUUUUUGACUAGUGCUAGUGCCAAUUUUUCCCCCCCAACUAUUUUAGAAAGAAAAAACACCCUCAUAUUUGUUUGUUCGUUUUUUUUUUGUUAAUCUGGAUAAUAGACUCCUUGAUUGUUUACUUUUGUCGUUAUAAGGAUAGUUGCUCGUAAUCUUAGGAUAUGUGUAAAAACAUCAGGUUGAAAUCCAAAUGCUUGCCUGCACAGUUUGCAGUAUGUUGCGGUGUCAUUUGUCUAUGGGAACUCACGGGCUGCAGAUAUAUAUAUAUAAUCUAGGGACUAUCUGCAAAAAUCAGAUAAACGAUCCCCAUUUUCAGUUUUUGCAUUGCCGUGAAAAGUUAGGCCAUCAACGCGUUUGCUUUCCCAUGAUGAAAAGAUAUUAUUAGCCAGCUUUGAUGGAUUAGAUUAUGUUGUUGUUUCGGAUGGUCUUCUUAGGGCUAAAACUUAUCGAGCCACCUUGAACUAUCAACCGUUUUGAUUGACACUUUUUUUUUAAUAUCUAGAUCAUGGUGUGUUUGAAUUAAGACCCCCUUUGCUAGGUUCCAAUCACUUUUGGCAGUGAGACCACUGUCAAAUGAAAGUUUCAAUCAACAUGAUUUCAUGCAUUCAUGUCUUAAACCCAACCAUCACUGCAUUUCAGUGUUCUAAAGGUUGGAAAUUUCAGAUUGAAAAACUAAUAAUCAAAUUUUUGAGUUUGAUUUGAGAUUCAAAAUGGAUUUUGAAUUUAAAUGUUGUUUUCAAGGUUGAAAGGGGUUACUUUAAUGGUCUUUUUGGGUGGAUUUGGUGGUCACAGUGAUGGAAGUUUGGUGGUGAACAGUGAUAGAAGUGAUCCUAAUCCAAACACUUCAUAGUUCACAUGUAUUAAAAUUAAAAGAGAGAAGGGUUUUUCUUAUGUGGUUUAGUAGUCUUUUAAGCAUUGGCCUUUCUUAGUGCACAACCUAGAAUAUGUUCUAUGGACUCAUCGAACUUGAAUUUUAUUCUGUGGAGACUUGAGAAGACUUCCUGGUUUUGGAAUUUGGAUGCUAGAUGUGCACUGGUUUUGGAUAUUGGAGUCAGGUGUAUACGAGCGAAACCUGUCGUCCAAUACAUGUUAUCUCUAAACAGAUGGUCUCUCCUUCAUCCUAUAUGGAAAGGCAGGCCGUGCUGGUUAAUUUAGCUCACAAAUGACUAGAUAUUUCCUCCUUGUUACAAUUUUUACUGGCUAAUGUUAGCUUCCAUUGGGAAGUACCGUCAUGAUUUAAGAUUGUCAGGUUGUCUUCUCCUUUUACCACAACAAUCAUAAAAAAUGUGAAUCGAAUGUCUUUGGUUGACUUAAACUGGUAGUAACGUGUUUCAACUUUCAAUUUUAAAGUUUCCCCCUUCACUUUUUUCCAGAGAUGGCAUUCAUUUAUCAGCAGAGGGGAGCAAAAUAGUUGUGGAGGAGAUUCUGAAGGUGCUAAAGGAAGCUGAGUGGGUUCCAUCUCUUCAUUGGAAGUCCAUGCCCACCGAAUUUUCAGAGGAUUCACCAUAUGAUCUUGUUGCUGCUGAUGGGAAACAAACUCUAAAUCCCUCCGAGUGGACAUUUCACAGGGAGGUUCAUUGGGACUAGGUUGCAAAACUAUCUUUAUGCCUUUUUCAAAUGCCGGAGCUGCAACUAGAAAUUGAAGGAAACAAGCAUCCCUUACCAGAGGCGGCAUGAACCCACAAAAAAGACUCAGCCUAGAGUGGAAUAAUUAUAAUGCAACUCAUUCUUGUCUACUGUUUCUGAACUCCCUUCGUUUUUAAUUGAACUGUUCCUUGUAUAGCCAUAGGUUUUAGCAGUAACAUUAGUCUCUAAAAUGGCAUGGAUGGUGCUGUUUUGAAUAAUAUUCAAAUGCAGCAGCGCCAUUUCUCGCAUAGACUGUAUGGUUUCAAGACGAACCCAUCACAGGUGGUUCCGGUGCCAAUUUGUUCCUUGAUUAUCAUUACAUGCAUGGUUUCAGCAUGAUUUUUCCAUCUUAAAUCUCUCUUCAUCGGGCCUUUUCUUUUCGUUUUUUCAUUCACAAGAAAAGUAAGAUGUUACUGUCACGUUCCAUCUCACAAGUUCUUUGCUAUGAGAAGUAGUGUUUUCCUGCACCCAGAGCACCAGUCAAGCGGAAAAGAGGCCUCUAGGGAAUAAGGAUUCCUGGUUCGAAUCUUAUUUCUUAUAUUUCUAAACGGGUUAUUUUUUAUGAUUUGAUUUUUGGAAUUGACUGUUACCAGGUGGAUGGUGUCCACUACUAUGGUCACGGUAUAUAUUUUUUUUUUUUUCAAAAUCAGCUCUACCAUAAUUUACAAGAGUUCAAUUGUAACUGUAGUUUAGCAAACCUAAUUAAUUAGUUCUUGUGGUUUCACGAAUUACAUAUUUAAUUUUUAUGUUUUCAAAUUCAUUUUUAAUCCCUUCUAUCCAUUUUCCGUCCCCUUCCAGUAGAAAGAAAGAAAGAAAGAAGGUGAAUAUGAUGAAAAUAUUAACGAGAAAAUAACUUUUUUUUUAAAAAAAAAAAUACUACUAAAUUAAACAUACCCAACGCAGCUCCCAUAAUUAUUUAAUUUUUAAUGUUGGAAGAAAUUAACGAACUUGUUUUAAUAAACUACGAGAACUAAAUUAUGAUUAACUUGGGUUUUGAAGAACAGGACUGGCGCUGCUUCCACUGAAGGAAGUUCUCGGAAGCCACGAAGCAUAAACGAUGCAAAAAUUGAAUGUUUCGUUGUCCCUGAGAUGCAAUAGAUAUGUGUUUUCAGAUAUUAUGAUUAAUUCUUAAGAUUCUUAAAAGUAAUUGAUGCGCUGUAAAAACAGCUAAAACUUAUGAAAAUAUACUGCACCAAAUCCAACCUCCAGCCCUCUACAUUAGCGGCAUUAGCCAACAGGUACAACAUUUACCCUAGCCUCUCUUAUUCUCUCUCUCAGCCGUUCCACAAUCAACCACCGCCAACAGCCCUCUCCUCUAUUUUUUUCAUCACCAACGGCGUCCUCUCGACCAGCCACCGUGAGAUCCAGACAACAACAACGGCGUCCUCUCCACCAGCCAUCGUAAGCUGUUCUGUUUGUUUUUAUCCUGUGAGGUCAUAGUGGGGAGUUGCAUAUAAGAUUUCCAAGAGAGAAGAUCAAGAAAUUGCUCUAACGGUUUGGUUUUUCAACUCAAUUUCUUGAAUUGCUGUUUUGAUUCUUUUGUUCGUAGGAAACCUUUUCUUCUUUUGUCCCUGUACACUUGUAUUCUUGGGCAUUUUAGCUAUUGAACAGUCUUUUAAUUUUUUUCCCUUCCCAUUGUGCACUGGCUAGGGACCAACUAAACUAAUACACUGUGAUAUCACAGUGGUGACACUGUUAUGGGGAGUUUUUUUUUUUCUGACUGGGUUGGAGAGGGAUCAGGGAUGAUGCAUUUCAUAAAAAAAAUUGGGAAUGGGAUCAUUCUGUUUAAGUAUCAUCAAGAAUGACAGUAGUGUUGGCAGAACAUGUAAAAUUGAUGACCAGAAGACUGGUUUCAGGAGGUAAAAAAUCUCAUUCUGUUUUGUUGAGUUUGCUUCCUCAGAAUAUUUUCUUGGAAAUCUUUGGAAAAUCUCUUACCUUUUUCAAAAUGGGACCAAGACUAGAAAGAAAAUUUUCCUGAUUAGUUGGGACAGUUCUUAGUCAUAUAUCCUAACAGUAUUAUUUGCUGGUUUUAAAAAAAAUAUUUUCUUUCUUUUUUUAAAACCAGCAAAUAAUCCUGCUUGUCAAUAAUACAAAACUAAACAGCUAGAAAAAUAAAAAUAAAAGACUGACUUGAUAAGUAAAAUCUUGUAGAGCAUAGAUUCCAAGCUCCAUCAAUCUAGCAGUUGCCCCGCUGCUUUGUUUCCGGUCAGAUUCAGAACAAUUGAAACAAGAUCUAGGAAUGUUGAAAAUAAAUCAAUUUUUUUACAAUUUUUUGAAAAAAUCCAAUCUAUAAAAGAGAUGGGUAAAUAGGGCUGCAACCUAUAAAAUACAAUAUAAUUAUGUUUUAUUUGCAGCCUGGAGGUAAACACGUGAAAUUGCUUCUGCACUAGAGAAGCUAGAAGACCGAUAAAAUUGAUAACAUAAAACAAUGGCAAAUUACUAUGACAUUGAUAGUAUUCUCGUGGAGGAAGAGGUGAAAUUUUUUAUCCUCACCUUAUAUUUUAACUCCUAAAUCUCGUAAUCCUAACAUAAUCACUUUUCUAUCGUGUGUUCACACUGUCUUGCAGUUUGUCCCGGUUGUGUUUCAAAAGGCUAUAAAUGGAGUGAAAAUCGAUGAAAGUACUGAAAAAGGAUAUGUAAGUUUUAAGUAAAAUAGCGUUGGAGAAAGACUUCACAAGUCAAAUUACUUCAUAUAUUCACCUUGUUUUUGACGUGUUAAUUAAAACUCAGGUUGAACAAGGUUCAAAGACACAGCUACCUUUCUGGCUUGCUCAUGAAUUGCACAUGAGGCAAGCUGUAUCGAUAGGUGUUCCUGCCUGUUUUAAUCAAAAGUAAUUGCCUUACUUGCUCAAAGCGAAUAUUUUUAUUUUACAUUAUGAAGUGAGUUAGUGGGAGAUCCAUCUUCAUGUAGGGUUGCUUUAUGUCUUAGUAGAAGGGUCCAAUUGGUUUUCCCGUUUGUAGUUCUCAAGGAUAGAAGAUUUCUUGUUGAAAUUAUUUAUGUCAUUGCUGUUAAAACUUCAAUGUAAAAUGUAGCUCCUUAGAAUUAUAGAAACUUUGCUCAAGUCCUCUAGGAACUCCCCGAUUUUAAAACUUCAAUCUAAAAUGUAGUUCCUUUGAGUUAUAGAAACUUUGCUCGAGUCCUCUAGGAACUCCCUGGUUUUAGGUUUCACUUUCAGGGGUUUAUUUAAAUUAAUUGCUCGUUAUGAUAGUCGAGUCCCCAAAAAAUCAUCACAUGUGUACAUGGAGAAUGGUUUGUCUAUGCUGUCAUCCAACAUCUAUUUACUUGUACAGUUGUUUUUAUAGCUUAUAGAUAGUAUUUCUUUUUCCUCACCAGAACAAGGCUGGAAAUUCAGGCAGACGCUGCUUGUGUGGACCUGAGAUCCCGCUGUCCAUACUUUUAUGAAUUUGGAUGCAAGCUAGCUCCACUGUGAGUCUCCUUCCCCUGCCUAUCCGUUCAUGUGUGUAUACAAUUCCUGUUGUGAUGUCUUCUUUUAGUGCCUUUUGUUGAACUACCAUGCAAGAGUACCUGCAUGAAAUGGUGUCCUGCUUGUGAAGCAUUUUUUGCUAAGUGUUGCUUUCUCGAUUUGGAGGAGGAAACAUGCAGCUCAAUGUGUUUAAUAUUUUUUUAUGACCUUCCCUAAGUGAUGCCUUAACCUUUUGACUUUCUCAGUCUGUUUAAUCAGAUUGACAAUUCCAAAACAAUCCAGUUAUGUGUUGGAUACAAAGUUACAAACUAACACAUCAUGACAUCCAAAAGCAUAUCAUUGUUUUUAGAUAUAAAAAUCAAAUGUGGGCUUCUCCUAUGUCAGAGCAAUAAGGUUAGCAACCAACCAGAAGAUUAUGGAGUGCUUUCAAUUUUAGGAUAUCUUCAGUACUGUAACUUGAAAUAAUCAUUUCAUUACCAAUCUGUGCCAUUCAUGAAUUUACUAAUGUCUAUCCUUGUCCACUUCAUUAGACUGUUUUAAAGAAAUUAUUUGGAUAAGAGUAUGGCAUUCUUUUUAGACCGAGACAAGUUUUCUGUUAGUGAUUCCAGGUUGCUUAGUUUUAUCUAGGUUUCAUUUGUUGGUAGACUUCAGUGUACCUGAAGUCUAGAAGCAAAAACUAUCUGUUUUCAUUCUCAAGUCCAGGGAUCAACUGAAGGCCCUUAUCGAGAUCCUUGCAAUAGAAAGGAAACAUAUGGGAGAAGUAAACUGUCAAAAUGAAUUACUUCACCCCAUGCAUUCUGAUUUUCUGUUUAGCUUUGAGAAGUUUAUAUGUUGUGAAUGGGGUCAAAUGCUUGACAAUCAAUAUUGUUCAUGGGCCUUUUUACUCUGUGGUCAAACCCCAAGGCUUUAGACAUACACUGUACUGUGGUUGAGUUUACAUGUUGUGAAGGCUGUGCUUGGCAACAAUACAUCCGAAUUUACUUUGGCAUAUUUGCUAUGAUUUGUCUUAUGCAAUGAGAGAUUGUGCGUUGUUGUCCUGGUGGAGGCAAAAGUGCACAAUUGACAAGUGGUGGUCGAAUGUCGGUCAUACCUAUUGACAGUAAAUUUACAUGACACCAGCAAUCUUUCGUUUGGCUGACAAGCUGGUGUUCACCAAGCUUUUUACCUUUUCUUUCCGAGGACUUAUUUGGUUAUUCAUAAUGAUGCUUAGGUGUGAUAAAUCCAUUGGAUUGUUGCUUGCAUAUGCAUUUCGAAUCCGGUAUAAGGAAGUCCUACACAAGGCACACACCACAGCAUUUGCAGCAGCUUCCAGAUUCCUGAUGCUCCUGACUAAAGAAGAAACUUACAGUGAGAUUCUUUUACUUUUGAGCGUAUAUUUUCUGCUUUCAUGCCGCACAUUUAUGUUGCAAUGACAGUAAUUUAUUUCUCUGCAUGUUUAGUGUAUGAAGCAGCUCAAUCAUCCAUGGCAGCCUUUAAGAAAUGGCGGAUGGGUGGCCCCAGAUUGCAGAGAGCUUCAAUUCUUGGGAGGAAGAGAAAACCAGCUGAAUAGGUGCCCAUUUCCACCCUGCCGACAUUCUCAAUUCAAGCACUCAUGCUGCUGUUAUGUCUUGGUCCUUGCCUUGAGAUUGAUGCAUGAUGGGUGCAUUCUUGCAUGAAAAGUAACAAAGCACGUCCUGGUACUAUAAUAGUUCACUCUCCAGUUUCGUUUUCCUCCUGAUAAUUUUAGCUUGAUAUUUAGCCCCAGAGGAAGUUGGGGGCAGGGGUGAGGCUGUUUGGGGUGUUGAUGCAACUGCAGUCGCAAUUAGACAAAGAAACUGACUAUUUACUAGUUGCCAUGGUAAUUGAGUUGAUGCGAUACAUUUCAUCUUUAAUUCCGUGAUUUAUAAAAAUGAUCCCUGCUCAACUGUACAUCUAUUUCUUUGUAAGCCCAAAACAAUCAACCAAAAACUUAAAUGUGAUCAAUGUAGGCAGAACUUCUGCAUAAGAUAUUAUACCAUUUGAAAUUGGCUACAUGAUAUGCUAUAAAUCUUUCUUUUAUUUUGAUGGUUUUUGAGAGUGAUAACAAUUGUUUUUUAGUGCCUGUUUUCUGAAAAAAUUUGAAUUUUUUUUUAUUUUAAAUUAAUAUGUUUUUGAUGUUUUUAAAUUAUUUUGAUGUGCUGAUCUCAAAAAUAAUUUUUAAAAAAUAAAAAAACAUUAUUGAUAUACUUUUCUAAAUGAAAAGCACUUUGAAAAGCAACCACAAAACACUUACAUAUUUUUUGUUUGGAAAAACAUCAAAAUUAUUUUUUUUUUAAAAAAUAUUUUUUAUAUUAAAAUAUUAAAUUAUCUAAAAAUAUUUAAAAAAUAAUUUAAAAUAAAAAAAGUUAAAUUAUAAUAAAAAAAAACAUGUUGAAAUUCAAUUCUAAACACCCUGUUAAUACAAAAUACAAGUCUUUGUUUCCCUGAUUUACGAAGUUCAGAAGGUGAUGAUUACUCGUUGCAAGCCUAGCUUUCUAUUCUUGAUACUGCUGCAUGCCAUUAUUUUUCGUGGCUAAAUUGAUGCAUGCUGUGCGAAGACAGAUGAUGGUAAUGCAUCUCCUAGUGGGCACAAGAUCAUCAAAACCACUCCACUCCGAUAAGCCCCAAAGCAAAUGGCUUUGUCAUUCCUUGAACUCUUCUCACUAUAUAUUUAUAUAUAUCAUAGUGGUCACCUAGAUCUCUUGUUGUGGUGAUAAUCCCAUCCCCACCAUUAGCCGACUUUUCCACAAGUUAUGAAUGAAUUGCACAUUGUCAUAAAUCGUAACUCAUUCAGAUACAUAUCAUCAACAAGUCUUUGAUUUUCACUCUCCACUUCCUCUUCUAUAGCUAUCACAUCAAUUGCCUCUUUACCUGGAAGAAAUCACACAACUUUUAAACUCACAUUCAGAGACCCUGCCAUCUUGCAAGCAUUAGGCUUCAUCAUGCCCCCGAGUCAAGAGCAUGGCAAAAUUUAGCUGAUCUCUGUGAUUGCUAAACUGGUUACAAAUGUUCAAAAUGAGGCCUUGAUCAAUAAAUAUCCCCACAGAGCAUGAUAGGAGAGUCCUCUUUGUUCAUCCCAUCUGCGCUGGAUGGCUUGUGAAAAUGGAAUUAGGAUGAAAGUCACGCCUAAGAACUAUUCAAGCUGGAAAGGAUUUGAGCACUUUUUUUUUCUUGUCAAUAACAGGACGUGUUAUCUUACAUAACCAUGGUGAUUUCAACACAAGCUCAAGUUGAUGAAAUAGUGAUUGCAUAUUUAUGUCUCCCAGCAUUAAGAAUAAUCAAAGCCUGUUGGCGUUCAUAAGAACUCCAAGGGCGACACUUCCAUUCCAUGGGCUGGCAUACCACAAUACAUGGCAACCAUGAAACCGCCUAUGAUCUUGGCGAAGUCCCAGAAUCAUGAGAGACCACUAGCAUUGACAAACAGAUCUCUCAUGAGCACAAAAAAGGAAGUAUGACCCCUGUGGCAAAGUCUUCGAGUUUCUCCAGUCCUCACUCCAAGCUCUCCAUCAGGUAAUGAAUCCACAAACUACCACUUCAGCAAGAGUGGAUAAAUAAGAGAGGAUUUUUUUAAAAAAGAAGUUUUUUAAACAAGGCAGUUCUGUCUAUAUGAUUGUUGUUAGUUGCUCUUUCUCUAUAAAAAAUGCUAUCUGCUGCAAUUAGGGCUUAAUAUAGAUGAUUAGUCAUAACCAUAAAAUUACAGUUAAUGUAACGACUCAAGAACACAACAGAUAACACACAAAAAAACAAGCUCAGCUCUUAUGAUGUUAGAAGUCAAAUUUGGUAUCUGUUCACCUGGCUAAUUGAAUUAAGGCUUCUUUGAGCUUGUUGGAGACAUUUUGUCUGUGCCUUUAUGACGGCUGAGCUUAUGGGACCACAGUUCUCUAAAUCCAUUGACCCAGCCACUGUAACAGUAAAAUUCUUGAACAAAUUCUAUUGCAUCUUCAACUCAAACAAAUCCAUUUAAUCAAUUAAAUUCCAAGUGAAAAACCCAUUUUAAAUUUAAAUUGUUGGAUGAGACCUGCUAUUCAUUUUAUAUUCAUUACCUGCAAUAUAUAUCGUAGUUUUUUCAUAAUUAUUUCUAACUAAAAAUGACAAAAUGAUGAAUUGAAAGUUCUAACUAAAAAUCUGAGGAAAAUCCACUGUAAACUUCGUGUCCAACUCAGAAAUUCCUCUCUUUUUUUCCACCUUUUUGUUGGCCGAUGACCAAAGAAUUUAAAUUACUAGAAUCUCUAACCCAUAACUUUGUUGCUAUCAAUGGGAUCAGGAUCCCGUUGUUUGAGUUUAAUCAGCAAUGAUAAUACAGCAUCGUUCAACAUGAUCCUGAUCCCUGAAUAGAUUAUCUCUCUCGCCUCUUAUUAUUUGAGAACUUGGUUGUUGAUUGGCAAGGAAAGAAAUGGUAGCACGUGAUGUUUAGAGUAUCAGGUGAAGGAUAAGUAUCUGAAAGAAACUAUCUGAUGCAUACAUAAUUUAAUAAAUAAAUAAAAGAGAAAAAGUAGGUGAUCUUUUGCUGUCGUGGCAAAACUGGGAACCUGUUACGAUCUUUCUUCUGAUCCAAUCCCGGUGCAGUAAUAAUUAAUAUUCGAAAAAGAAAUCACAGACAAGAUAUUUCUGCAACUUCUCUCGUGUGUUACUUUAUGUGUUUUGUAAUAGGAGGUCCAGAGAUUUUUAAGAGUAGUUUUUAAUUAAAAAUAUAUUAAAAUAAUUUCUUUAUUUCUUUAUUUUUAAUAGUAGUAUAUCAAAAUUAUUUAAAAUACUUAAAAAAAAUUAAUUUGCUUGACGCGUGUUAACCACCCAAAUUGCAUCUAGCAACUUGUAUCCUGUUAGUUUGAGUUUUGUAAUUAGAUGUAUAGUGUUUUUUUUAUAAGUGUUUCUUAAUUAAAAAUAUAUUAGAGUUAUGUUUUUUAUUAUUUAUUUUUAACAUCAGUAUAUUAAAAUAAUUCAAAAUAUUCUUUAAUUUAAUAUUUUUUAAAUAAAAAAUAAUUUAAAAAAACAUAAGCUGUAACAUGCAUCCCUUUUCUAUAAUAACAAGAUUUUUAUUUGGUUUCACCAUAUUCGUUCAAACACAAAAUAUAUUAUCUUAGUAAAAUUCAAAUCAUUAAUCUUUUAAAUAUCUAAAAAAAUAAUUGUCAAUUUUAAAAUUUUAAUUUCAUUAAUAUAGCUAUUGCGAUGUAAUAGAGUUUGAAUUUUUUUAACCAAAAGUGAAAAAUUAAGGAAAAAUUACUUCUAGUAUCUUAUAAUUUUAUUAAAACUACACUUGCUUACUCAUUUUUUAAAAAUUACAGAUUAUAUUAUUAAUGAGUAUAAAAUAAAUUAAACUACAUAAUAAUAUUUAUGAUAUAACUAAUAUGCAAACAACAAAGUUCAUGUUAUAAAAUAUAAAUUUUAAAAAAAUUGAUUGGCAAGUACAAUACUACCAAACCAUAUAAUGACGGAGUAAUUUUUUCCAAAUUGAAAGAUGAAAAGAGUGUUCGCUGCCUACUCAAUGAAGAGAGAAUUACAAAUUCCUUGAGUUUUUAAUAAUUGUUUUUGUGGUGAAUUGAAUCUAAAACUGGAAUUUGGAUAGCACCAAGCACAUAUCCAUUCAUCGCAAUAUAUUUUUGUGUAAAAUAACAAAAGACCAUUCGAAUGAUUAUUCAUUCGAGGGAGGGACUGGAAACAAAAUUUCCUGGACUAAUUCGAAUACAAAGCAGAGGUCUUUGACUUAUUUGAGCUCAAUAAAUUAAAUUAAUUUAAUAAUAUAAUUAAAAAAUAUUAAUAGUAAAUAAAACAAAUAAUAAAAAAUUGACGAUAAUUAAUUUUAAAAAAUAAGUUGUCAAUACUAUACUCUAAAAAUACUAUACUAUGAAGGAGAAUAAAUAAAAUCCGGUAGAAGAGUCACCAUAUCUCUACCAUGAACAUUGUCUUACAAAAAAAAAAAAAAAAAAGCUCACCGAGAUAGUUUCAACACCACCAUCAAAGGUUGCACGACGACAUUGAAAGAAACCGCAUGCGACAUUAGAGCAAUGACCCGAAAAAAAAAUCAAACAAAAUAUCAUGAUAUGAGCAUCUCUUACUUAUAUUUAAUCAAUUGAAAAACAAAAUUUAUUUGAAAAUGCUAAAUUUAACAAAAGAAAAACAAUUAAAAAGACUCAAAAUUACCGAGUUAUUUUAAAAACCAGUGAAAAACCUAUAGAAAGAAAAUAAAAAACUAUUGAAGGAAGAAACUGAAAAACACACGAGCUUAAAAAAAAUAACUAAAUCAGGUGAAUCUCUUGGAUCUAGGUUAAUAUUCCAAACUCCCAACUCAUGAAAUUCUAAACUCGAACUCAAUCGAGAAGCUCAAUUCCUAACCAAUUGAGGAUGAGAAAGAAAAGAGAGAAAGAGAAAUAAGAUCGCCGACAUCAAACCAGAAGUCUAUUGGCCGUAUGCAUCUUCCAAGAAUGGAGAGGUUGUUGAGACAAUUCGAAUAUCAUCGUAGAAGUUGUUGUUUGGAUGUCAUGUCAUGCUGCACAUGCCACAUGAAGAGCGCGAGUAUCUCAUACGUGCUAGCCACUUUUGGCUUAUAAAUAAUAUUUUAUAUUUAUUGAAAUAUCAAAUUACCCCUUAAACAAUUUGGUUAUAAAUAAAAAUACAAAAAAAACCUGGAUGUUAGUUUGAUUUUGUGUGUGUCUAAAAUAGUAAUUUAAUUAUGUUACCAUGCUUUAAAAAAUAAAAAUUAGAAAAAGCUCCUUGUCAGUUAAAUAACCUUUUCUUCUAAGAUUAAUUUAAGUAUUUUAUCAUAUUUAAAAAAUAUUAAAAGGUCAAGCUGCUCGUGAUCAUUCUAGCAAUGAUUAAUGGACGUUACGAAAAGACUGUAUUAUCUUUAUUAAUUAGAUUAUUAUUUUUAUUUUUAUUUUUAGAAAAAUACAAAAUAAUUAUUACACUAUUUUAAUCUAUAAUAUUUUAUAUUUGGAUUCAUAGUGAAACAAUAAGUUGUUUUAGGUUUUUGUUAAUCGGAGCUCAUGUUUACUGGAUGAAGACAUUUUUCAAUUGAAAGAUAUUUUCUAGCCUUUUAAUAUCCAAGUUGCAUAAAAUAAAGGUAAAACAAAACAAAAGAACGUGUUCUUUUUCUAUGACUUCUUGUUGUCCUAAACCAUUGACUUCUCCGAUAUUUUCUCUUCCCAUCCAAAUACGGCCUAGGAUGAAGCGGAAAAAAUACAGUAAAAGAUUCUUCUAAAAAGAAAAUAAAAUAAAAUAACCGCUUAAGAUAUUUCAAAAAAUCUGCACCCCUUUUCGCACUUAUAGCGCGUGGUUCACCAAUAUUUUGGGAUGUGUUUCCGUCAAAAGAUUUAGAUUUUUGCCUUUUAGCAUUACCUGAUACCGUUAAAAAUACAAAAAAAUAAAAAUGAAAUAUUUUUCUUGUUGUAAGAAAAAAAUUUAUUUUCUUAAUCACAAAUUUAAGUAUCUAUGUUAUGUCAAAUUUUAAUUUGAGUUAUUAUACAAUUAAAAUUUGAUCAAUCAUGUAUAUUUAUAUUAUUUUUAAAAAAGUAUAUUAAUAAAAAAAUAAUAUAUAUAUAUAAAAAUCUCUUUAAUGAUUUAAAUGUAAUUACAAUGAAGAGAGAAAAGUUUAGGAUGUGAUAUUUUUAUUAUUUUUAGUAGGUUUUAGAUUUGAUUUUUCUUUUCUUCUCUAUGAAUUUUUUUAAAUAAAUAAAAUAAAAUAACAAAUAAGAUAUCGCUAGUUAUCCAAUUUAUAACAUAAAAUAUUAUGGAUAAUUCAGGUAAUUAUCUCGAUUUUUUUAACAUACCAAUAAAAAUAUUUGAGUUACUACAUUAUGUUUUUUGUAUUAAUUUAUAUAUAUAUAUAUAUAUAUUUUUUUUUUUUUAAAUUAACAAAAAUUUAAUUUUUUUAGACCUAAUUUUGACUUAUUAAAAAAUUUCUCUGAGUUUAAAUUUAGCUAGUUAAUUAUAUAUAUAUAUAUAAUAUUUAAGUCAAAAAAAUCAAUUAUGAUGUAAAUUUUUUUGGAUUACUGGAAUUAUUAGGAUAAAUAAAAAAUUCUCAUGAUUUAAAUAAUUACCGAAAUGGUAAUUUUCAUUCGAAAUUCCCUCUUAUUUUCUCUCAAAAGUAGUCGAAGACUUGGAAGUUACAGUAACAAUUAAAAGUUACACCUCUCUCUCUCUCUCUGUCAUCUCUGUAUUGUAUGCAUCACACUCUCUCUCAAAUCGCGUAGACUCAUAAAAUCCAUAUAUCAUCACCAUCACCCACAUCCACUGUCUCCUUUUCUUUCUCUCUCCUUAAAGAUCAAAAGGCUCAAAGCCAACAGGUAAUUUUCUUAAUUCUUAUAAUGUCUCGUCAAAACAAUUUUAUUCACACAUGAACACCACCCUCGAUUCAUUCUCCGCUGCCGAAUCGAGCAUGGAAGACACCUCCAAUCCCUCAAUCACUACCAACCAAAACGCCAACAAAGAAGAUGAAGUUGAUGCAGAGGUUUGGGCAACAUUCAACAAUAGUUUUCGACAAGUUCAGUCGGUUCUGGACAGAAACAGAGUUUUGAUUCAACAAGUGAAUGAGAAUCACCAGUCUAGAACUCCUGACAACAUGGUCAAAAACGUCUCUCUGAUUCAAGAACUUAACGGCAAUAUCUCCAAGGUUGUUGGGCUUUACUCUGAUUUGAAUUCCAAUUUCUCCACUGCUUAUCAUCAGCGAAACCACAACGGUAAAAAUAACGGCAAGAAGGCCUGAAUCGGUUUCUUAGUUGUAUCUUAUUUAUUCAGUGUGUGUAAUUUGGGGGUUCGGGUUUUUAUUGAGGGUAGAAUUUAUGUUGUGUCUGUCGUGGUUUAUGUUAUAUAAAGGAAAGACCGCUGUGCUCUUGAGUUUGGAUUAAUGGAGUAUUUAGUAUUUUCUACUAUGUUAUUUUUGCUGAUAAAAAAUUAUGGAAAAUGAUUUACUAGAAAAGCUGAAUGGUGAAUAUUUGUUUAAGGUGAAUUCUGGAGGUAUUUGGAUAAGCAAAUUUAGUUGUCUAGAGUUUCAGGUGAGAGCAAGUUGGGUAUUUUUGUGUGGCAAACAAGAACUAGAGUUGGAGUUUUUUUUUAAUUAAAUUUUAGGUGCAAGAUCAUUUUGGUUCUUUUAGGGUUUUCAGAAGGUAGAAUUGGCACUGGAUCUAUGUUCAUUUAAUUGAGAUUUACCCCAACUUGCUCAGGUCCACUUUGAGUUCCUUCAAGUUUGGUACUCGUGUUCAAUUGCAAGCUGUUGGGUCAUUGCCAGUGAACUUCUGUCUAACAAUUAUUGCUGGGAGAGUGAUAUGACUGCAUGUUGUUUACUUUAUUCUAUGUUUUCUUUCUAUUGAUUGAACUACAGGAUAAAGGUCUGUUCUCGAUCUAGUUUGGUUGUUUGCUGUUGGACUCUGGGAUGCCUUAAAAUCUGCUACAUCCAUGAUUGUCUACCAUAGGUCAUGAUUCACGAAUUGAAGGAAAUGUUACUUUUUUUGUGAACCUGAAGUAUUACCGUGUUACUGUAGAUUUUCCGUUCAAAUUGGCUGACAACCAUGUCACAGAUACAAGUUUAGAAGUUUCACAUGUCUUGCAAUUUUGACCCUUUUACCACCCUUAGGCUUCAUUAUAUAUAGUUUUUCUUUCGUUUUAAUUCUGUUCGAGCCAAUAAUUGCCUGGCUUGCCUAAGUAAAGUCCUGCUCUGUAAUUCCUCUUCUUCUGAAAUUGCACAGAUGACUUGCAAAUUGGAUACGACUUCUUGGAAAUUUCUAGUUUCCUUUGAUUAUUACUGUUACCUUUUCUCUUUGAGUUUUUGCCUGUGAGUAGUUUUUUUUUUCUUUCGAUUGUUUCCUACUACCAAGAUCGUUUGUUGUUUUUCAUUUCUCGCUCUCACCUCGAUUACCAAGCUGGCGAGACGGGAAAGUUUUCAUGUUGGCAGAUCCAUGCAUCAUUGAUCCGGAAAUGCAUAGUAGAUAACCCCAGCUUCCUUUCUAGUAUAUGCCACUCAAGGCUGAUGAUUAAUUUGGACUGCUCCGAGCAUAAGGGUCUGUUUAGCAUUGUGUUUGUAACUGUGUUUCGUUAAAUUUUGAAUUUUUUUUUUUUGCUAAAAUUGAGUGCGGUUUGUACUUUUUGGAUCGUUUUGAUGUGUUGAUGUCAAAAAUAAUUUUUAAAAAAUGAAAAAACAUCAUUAGCAUGUAUUUCGGCACAAAAAACUAUUUGAAAAGCACUCGCAACCACAAUGCCAAACACGCUCUAAAAGCAGGAGUUGCAAUGUAAGCUUUCCAGGGCCCAGUCUUGAUAUAUCCCUCGGGUCAGGAGGUGAAGUCUGAUAAAAAAAAAAAAAAAACGCACUUCAGAGUGCUCUACGAAAAUAAUUAAAAGGUGAUUGAGUAUAAACUGUUUUUUUCUAAUAUAUUAAAAUAAUAUAUUUUUUUUAUUUUUUUAAAAUUAUUUUUAAUAUUAUCACAUCAAAAUAAUAUAAAAAAUUAAUUCAAAAUACAAGAAAAGCCUAAACGGCCCUAAAUAAGCAUUUUGAAAGGGAUGAAGCGAACCCGAAUAUGGAAAGAAAUGGAAUGCACGCUUUGAUCAAUCAACCAUUUGCGUGACGAUGUCCCUCCGCUCCAUCAAAUAAAUAUAUAUAUGAAUAUUAAAAUAAAGUGGAUUAACUUUAAUAUAUAGUGAAAUAUAUAUGUGUGUAUAUACACAAGUAUAUUAAGAUUAAAAUAGUAUUUGUGAACAUGGUAGAAAUAAUAUUUUUUUAAAAUUAAUUUUUUACAUUUUUAAAUCAUUUUAAUAUGAUAAAAUAAAAAUAUUUUUUUUAUUUUUUAAAAAAUAUUUUAAUACAUUUAUAUAUAAAAAAAAACCUUUAAACAACAGUUACUAAAACACUCACAAACACACCUCUAAUUAGAAUGAAGUGCUAUUAUAAAUUGAAAUUGAUGGAGUGCGAUCAUCAACGUGUCCGUGUGACUCUUAUAAGAAAAGAAUUUGAAUCGUGAAACAACGUCCAAGUCACAAAUGGAGCUCUUAACGUGUCUUAUAAGUGAUGUUCUCAGUCUUCUGACAACACGAGGAAAAACUUAAAAAGUUCGGAGUUCAUUUCAUUGUCUUUCUUCCCUGCAUGUGCGUUAGGACAGAAGCCCAAAUUCCUGGUGUUUCCGUGUCCCUGCUUUUCCAAAGCAAAAGGGGGAGAAAUCUGUUGAUACCUGUUAGCUGGGCAGUAUUUGAAUAUCCAGUUGCUUCUAACUGAAACUGCAUUGGAUCAGCGCAGCACCUUCGAUGAAAAUAUGAUUGACUCAGGAACCCACCGAUUAAUAGUAUACUAAUUGCCUAAAUAUAUCAAUGUGUUCAGUGACAAAAAGUAAAAAUAAGAUUUGGAAACGUGUGGGGAUACGAUUGCUAACAGAGUUGUAUGCGUUGAAACACAAAAACUGGAAAUUAAGACAUAGCAGAGGGUACAAAAUCUAUCUACAUUGGUAUUGAUGAGUUUGCAGGGAGAUAGACAGCUGAUCAACAACAAAGAGGGCAGUCACAAAGGCAUUUUACCACUGUGUAAAACCACAAUUUGAUGUUUUGGCACUCCAUUCUGUCUUCCUUCAGCUUCAAUCUUGUACACUAUAUCCAUGCCAGAAAGCACCUUGCCAAACACAUGGUUAGAUGUUCAAACCAAAUCAAAUGGUUAAGCUUUAUUAGCUAAAAAUUGAUCAUGGUCGGCUUAUGAUUUAUAACUACAGGAUUGGUUUCAAUUAUAGUUAAUCUUAUUUUAAUUAUUGUAAAAUUAUAAUAUUUAUACCAUUAAUCAUAAAUAAUUACGAGCUCAUCUUAUGCUCUAAGAAUGCUUAAUAAAUUUAAUUUUCUAUCAAGAUCUUUAGACUUGCUUCAGACAACGUCUUUGGUUGCUAUUUAAUUGUUAUUAUGAAAGGAUGUUUAUGUGUGUGUGUUUUUUUAGAAAUAAUAUUUUGAUGGUUUGAAAAUGUUUAUACGAGUAAACUUGCUUUGUUACUGAACUUAUUUUAUUUUUAUCGUUAAUAUUUUUGUUGACAAGUGAUUAAAAUUAUAGGACAUUGAGUGGUUCUCUUGGGAAUUAAAGUAAUGUUUAGUGAUUUCAAAGUAUUUUUUUUAAAUAUAUUAAAAUAAUAUAUAUUUUUAAAAUUUAUUUUUAAUAUUAGCAUAUCAAAAUAAAAAAAGAAAUAAUUUUAAAUAAAAAAUUAAAAUUUUUACUAAACAACAUUUUAAACACGUUAUCAAGCACUGCUAAAUAAGUAACUAUUGCUAAUGAAUUCCAUGAAUAUAGUAAUUAAGAGAUUUUAAACAUGGAUGGGUUAAUUACUCUUGGUGGAAGUCAACGCAUGAAUCUCACCCCAUCAAUAACAGAUAAUGUUUAAUAGAUUAAUUGGCAUAAAUAUUUCGAAAUUUAACAUUACGCUAUUCUUAGAAUAAAUUCCUAAGAACAUCGCUGUUCUAAUCUGAUUUUACUCGAAAUUGCUUUGUUUCAGAAAAAUGUCACCUCACAUGAUUGGCUUGCAGCGAAGGCAUCCUAGUACGAGAGCAGGAUAAUUAUGACAUUUGAUAUUAGUCAACAAGAAGAAGAAGAAGCCAGAUAUCAAGCUGGUACUUUUGCUUUUAUAGUCUCCUACGAUAGAUAGAGCUACAAAUUCUCCUGUUUUAUAGGCUCUCCUCAGUCUCUCUCCCUCCCUGUCUUCCAAAUCUUCAAGCCAAAAAGGUUCUGGAAAAUAAAACAAAAAAAACCAGAUAGCGUGGCAGAGAAACUCAACGAUGGGGAGCUACAAGAAAGACAAGCAUAGACCAUCUCCACUACCAGAAUCUAGCAAUAGCAACAAAGAUGAAAUGGGGAGUUAUAAUUACAAGAUGUUUAAUCUUUUUAACAGAAAGUUCAAGAUCACGGAAGCUGAGCCACCCAAAGACGUGAAACAACUUUUUUCCAAGUUCUCGAAUGGUGGGUCCCACAUGACGGCUGAUCAGCUCCGGCGCUUCCUGGUUUUGCACCAGGACGAGCUUGACUGCACGCUGGCGGAUGCACAGAAGAUCGUGGAGGAGGUCAUUAACAGGAGGCAUCAUUUGACGAGAUACAGCAGACAUUCACUUAAUCUUGAUGACUUUUUCCAUUUCUUGCUUUAUGAUGAUCUCAAUGGACCCAUCACCUCUCAGGUUACCCCUCUCCCUAACUCUGUCGCUAAAUGUAUUUGGCACGUUUACGAAAUUUAGAGUAUCACAAUUGUGAUUUACGCUUUUAAAUCAUGUUUUUUUUUUUAAUCAUGGAUAGGGUAAAGAAAGCAAAAUCUUGUGCAGUUGAUGCCAAACCAUUUCUUUCUCAAUUAUUUCUUGUUGUAAUUUGAACUUUAGAGAAGCUCGGAAAAUGGGGUUGGAUAAAGUUUGUAAUUUUUUACAGCAAAUGAUGGGUCUAAAUAUUUCUUGCAUUUUAGUUGGGAUUCCAAAGGUGGGGUUCUCUCUCUCUCUUUUUUCUCUACAUUUUUUUUCCUGGCAAUUUUGUAUUGUGCAGGAAGCGGGGCAUUUACAUUGUGGACUAGGUGAAAGUAGCACUGCCCCCUUUUGUUGAUUUUGUUAGCGAUUAGAAUUAUACAUUGAUUAAGGUGUGUGGGCCUAGAAAUUGAUUGAUUAGCAGAAAGGAUUAUUUUUUUUUGUUAUGAUCAAGAACCAAAACAAUAACUUCUCUUUUAGAAAUUACGAAAAGAUUUUUACUUACAAGUCUUACGAACAGGGAUCUUUGGAGCAUUACUUAUCUGCAUCUUUGCCAUGUUUUUCUGGGUAUGCUUUGAACAAUUUGUAAGGGGACCGUGUUGAGUAUGCCCUUGACAAAUUAUGUCAUUCCAGGUACACAAUGAUAUGACUGCUCCAUUGGCACAGUAUUUCAUAUAUACAGGGCAUAAUUCCUACCUAACUGGGAAUCAACUGAGUAGUGAUUGUAGCGAGGUGCCAAUUGUAAAAGCUUUGCAGAGAGGUGUAAGAGUAAUUGAACUAGAUUUGUGGCCAGGUUCCGCAAAAGAUGAGAUUCUUGUUCUUCAUGGAAGGUAUAUACUGAUUGCAAUUUUACCAUUUUUGCGAAUGUCAGUACUUUCUUUUGCCUUUAUGUAUUUGUGGAUAUGCAUAUCCACUACUUUAUACAUGGAUGGUAGUAUUUCUGAAGCAGAAGCCUUUCUUUAAAUUGAAAGCAACAUUUAGCGAAAUGUUUAGUGCUAUUACAAAUCAGAAUGAAGAAGCUUUUAGAGGCACAAUAUAUCACUGUUCUGUAUAACUCAUCUUUCCCUUUCCUGAAGCAUGAAGGACAGGGCGUCUUUAACUUUUAUUUUAUUUUAUUUUUUGUUAACAAAAAUAAUAUAAUGAAUAGAAUUCACUGAAUGGAUUUCAUGCAAAAGAAAUUGGAGUUGCUAAAUAGUGAGAGAGUGAGAAAAAUCUAUGUAGGGAUAGCAUGGAUUACAUUUUGGAAAGCAGAAGCUAAUGAAGUGUUAUUGAAUCGAGUUAUUAGUGAGUUAAAGAAAAACACAUUCAUUGUAGGAAAGACAUACAUGGAUGUUAUGAUUCUGAAUCAUUGUUCUCUUACUAAGUUGUAUCCUGAUUAAUCGUAGGACCCUGACCACUCCAGUGCCACUCAUAAAAUGUCUGAAGUCCAUAAGAGACUAUGCUUUCGCUAGUUCUCCUUAUCCAGUCAUCAUAACUUUAGAAGAUCACCUCACACCAGAACUUCAGGCUAAAGUUGCAGAGGUUAGCUUUCAAUUCAUUUUCAAGGAUUUGAAUUUUCAGCUUCUCUGUUUCCUAUUUAUCUAUAACCUCCAAUACCUUUGCACGUAGAUGGUUACUCAAACAUUUGGCGGAAUGCUGUACUAUCCUGAGUCAGAUUCCUUAUUACAGUUCCCUUCUCCGGAGUCAUUGAAACAUCGAAUAAUCAUUUCAACCAAACCACCAAAAGAGUAUCUUGAAUCUAGUGGCAUCAAGCGAAAGGGACCUUUAUCACCAGGUGGAAGGAAUUCAUCCGAAGAAGAUGACGAAGCAUCAGGGAUACCAUGCCAUACAGCUGAACUAGAAGCGGAUGAUAGGGUGAGCAUAGAGGCGAAUCUUGCCUAGCUAGUCUAAGUAAGAUUUUUAAGGUGUUUCGUUAACUUUUUCACAAAUGGCAGAGCGACAGUGAUCAAGAUGAUGUAGACCUAACCGAUUGUGACAAUAAAUCAGGCCAGUUAGGGGCACCUGCAUAUAAACGUCUAAUCACAAUACACGCUGGGAAGCCAAAGGGUUGUUUAAAGGAUGCUUUGAAAGUUGCAGCUGAUAAAGUUAGACGUCUUAGUUUGAGUGAACAGGAACUUGAAAAGGCUGCGGCAACAAAUGGAACUGAUGUAGUGAGGUAUCUAUCGAACAUUACUGAUUACCGAUGCUUCAAAGAAGUUUCUAUUGCUAUUGUCCAUCUUAAAACCAGAUCGAUAGUGCUAAUAUAUGCUGUUGUUCUUCCCAGAUUUACACAAAAUAAUAUUCUGAGAAUUUACCCUAAGGGAACUCGGAUCACCUCCUCUAAUUACAAACCACUUGUUGGAUGGAUGCAUGGAGCUCAGAUGAUUGCGUUUAAUAUGCAGGUUUGUUUCCGAAACCAUAUGAUGUCAAGCAACUUUCUUUCAUGAAGGAGGCAUUCAUAAGUUAAAAGACUAUAUCCUUUAUGAACCAUGAGUGACUUGGAUAUCACGGGACUUGAUUUUUUUUUAGGCUACCUGGAUGUUCCAAUUAGAUAAGCAAUCCAAAGCUUCAUGUUCUUGCAUAUAUGAUGAUCACAGAAUGUCAGCCAUAUAAAGUCCUCGUAACAUGUGAGCUUUCCUUUAACAGGGAUAUGGAAAAUCACUUUGGCUGAUGCAUGGGAUGUUUAGGGCCAAUGGAGGUUGUGGUUACCUUAAGAAACCAGAUUUUCUAUUGGAGAAAGGUCCAAAUAACGAGGUGUUUGAUCCUAAAACAAAAUUACCAGUAACAAAGACAUUAAAUGUGAGUGUACUAGUCUUGCUUGAAAUUGAAUUUCAUUUGUCUGAAGCUCUCUUCCCGAACUCUAUUUUAUCUAUUAACAGGUGAAAGUAUACUUGGGUGAUGGAUGGCGCCUUGAUUUUAGCCACACACACUUUGAUUCAUACUCACCACCAGACUUCUACACAAAGGUUGGUUGGAUUAAGUAUCCUACUCACAUGUAAAUGUGAAAUUUGUCAUUAAACCUCGUAAUACUUGAGCAUCAUCAUUCCAACCUACGAAUGGGAAAAGGACUUUUCAACUUGUUUUGGUUAACCUGCCUUAUCCACAAUUGGUCGAAACACAAUUCACUCUGAAGUGAUUAAAAGCCAUUAAUGAGCAAACCAUAUCUAUUUUCUUUCACAUUCUAGCUUAAGAAAACGAUGUGUGAUGACAAGUAAAUGAACAUUUGAUUUGUUAUCCUCAAGGUAAUCUCUAGAUUUUGCAAAUAAGUUUGAAUCACCAGACUUGGAGAUUGGUAUCUGUGAUUGGUGAGGGUUUUGAGGUUCUAAUCCUGCCUUAUUCUGUUACAUUGCUGGCAUCUGUAUCAUGUUCCUGAAGUAUCUAUCUCACGCAUGCUUUCCUGCUAAUGAACUAAUAAUCCACACUGCAGGUUUACAUAGUUGGGGUACCAGCUGAUGCAGCAAAGAGAAAAACAAAGAUAAUCGAGGAUAACUGGUCUCCAGCUUGGAAUGAGGAAUUCACAUUCCCCCUAACCGUUCCCGAACUGGCUUUGCUUCGGGUUGAAGUGCAAGAGUAUGAUAUGUCAGACAAGGAUGACUUUGGUGGUCAAACAUGCUUGCCUGUCUUGGAUCUAAGACCAGGAAUCCGAUCAGUCCCUCUCCAUGAUAAGAAAGGAGAGAAACUCAAGAAUGUAAGGCUUCUAAUGGGGUUUCAGUUUGUAUAACCUCUACAGUAUUAUUUUUCAUUGAUGGCAUAAGCUAGCUCCAGCCCUUGUUCCUAGAACAACAGAUUGUCCAACAGUAGGUGUAUAAUUAAAUAGGCUUUAUAAUUAGUUAAAGAAGAUUGAACCUGGCCCGAAUGCUUAUGCUUUUGUUUUGCUUCAGACCGACGAUAGGGUAUGAAAAGUUACAAGCAAAGUUUUUUUCCCUUGACAAUUAACAUGGACAGCCUUAGCUGUUGCUGUAAGGUCCUUUCUUCGCUGUUGAGAUGUCACAGAUGUAAUCUUUCGUUUUUUAGGUGCUUUCACAUUACACUUGGUGAUUAGUUGUGGUCACGCGCGUAUUAAGAAGCUUGCCUGGAAGCAUCUUUAAAAGAUUAUUUAGCGAACGACUUUUGACCUAAGAUGAUUUGUUCUUCAGUUAUGGUUAAUUUUGUCCAAAAAGUUGGAAUAACAUAUCAUCUGUCUUGAUGUAUCCCAAAGUAAAACUGUUAUUUCCCCCCCCUUUAAAUGUAACCCAAUCGAGAUACAAACCGUAAAAAAACAAAUAAUAUUCCUAAAAUCCACUGAAUCUAAUCUCGUUUUGGAUGGAAAAACUCCGGUAGGACCAAUCACUUGUAUAGUUAUAUGAGGCUCCGAGCCUCUUCCUUCAUGUGUUUUUACAAGAAAAAUCCUGAUCUGGACUGAACGGUAUAUAUCAAAACCUUGUCGGAAAAGUCAAGGUGCAAAUCAGGAACCGACCAACAAGCAGUAAUCAUGGGGCACGUUUGAUCAUCCUUCCCACAUAAAAUUUUAUCAUCAUUUUAAUGGCGGCUCUGAAAGUGCGCAAUAUAUAAUAAAAUAUGAUGGGAUGGCUUGAUGGUUAAAGGCGUGCUUUUUAAUUAUCAGCUACCCUUCAAAUCUCAAGUCAGGCUAUCGAAGUUAACUUCCAUGAGUUAUUUAAACUUGUUACAAAAAACAAAAAUCUCCAGUAAGUGAAAGCUGGCCCGAAAGUCGUAGACUGCAAGGAAGUUCUCGGAAUGCCCUUGCAGAACAGAAGGUAGAUAUGACAAUGGCCCAAGCUAUAAUUAGGUCCGAAUAUGAGAGAUCCUAACCCCUUGUAAUCCGAUGUGGAACCCGUUCAGCUGAUUGCUUUUUUCGAUCUGUGUGUUUCAUCAGAUAACUUGUGAGAGAAAACCUUGAUGCUGUGGUCCCAUACUGCUUCAAAGGAGUAUCUUUUUUUAGCAGAAAGAUAUUCCGUUUUCUUUUGGUCCAGGUAACUAAUUUUUUUUCUUCUUAAGUUAAGAAUUAUCCUCUAAUUGGUAACUGAAAAGAAGGAUAUUGAAGUCAUCAACUUAUUUAACGUGUUAACAGUUCCUGAUUUCAUGGCAUGCGUGUCACUUUAACCUCGUACUUCUAGUUGUUUAAUGUAAGAAACAAGAAACAAAAUUACAGUAAUAGCCACAAACGAUCAAGUGUGAAUAAUAAAAGAAGCUUAUCCUCUCAAAUUUACGAGUUUCAAGUGCAAAUAAUUUACCAUAAACUCAAUGGAUAAAGAAUUUGUUAGUGUUAGUCAGCACAUAAAGACUGAUAUCGAAUAGAGGGGGGGAAAAAGAACAACAUCUGAAAUUUCAAACACCUCUUCACCAAAUUGUUCAUUUCCUUCCCUAGCACUCCAUUAAUUUAUCGCGAGCAGUAAAUUAGCUUUAUUCUUUCCCUCACUACGCAAGCAUUAUCACUGUUUGAUUUAGCGUAUGGUCAAAGCUACCUGUCAGCCUGUCACCAGCCAUGCGUAUAAUUUAGCAAAUGGAUCAGUGUGUAGAGUAUUGGAUUCCUGUCACUGCCACUACGCCCAUGCCAACCGUCCAAGAGAAACUAAAGGUCAAUCUGGCCGCACGCAAUUGUCACCCAAAUUUCUCUGGAAACCAUCAUCUUUUAUUGCCGACACACACCAUCCUCAAAAAUACAGCACUCUCUCUUCUUACAUGCAAAAUGACAACAAUCUUGUAAUCCUCAAAGACUCAAAUAAAAACAACAGCCAUCUUUCUGCAUCUCUCUCUAAAAUUCUCCAAUGUCCAAACAGACAUACAGAGUUUGCUUCUGCUUUCGCAGGAGGUUCAAGCUAGCAGUGGCCGAGGUACCGGAUGAGAUCAAGGCCUUGUUUGAUUUGUACUCGGAGAAUGGCAUCAUGACCGCUGAUCAUAUCCACAGGUUCUUGAUCGAGGUUCAAAAACAAGAAAAGGCCACUUUCGAGGAAGCACAAUCUAUUGUUGAAAGUCUCAAACAUUUGUCUCUUUUUCACCGUAAAGGACUCCAUCUUGAGGCCUUCUUUAAGUAUCUUUUUGGCGAUACUAACCCUCCUCUUGAUCUUAAACUUGGGGUAAUUUUCCUCUCUCUUUUUUACCCUUCUUUGUUGUGGCUAAAUUUUGAUUCUUCAAUGACUUAUGCUAAUCGGGUCUUUCUUUCUGGUUAAAUUUGGUACUUAUCAUACACAUAGUUAGAUGGAUUUUUUUUUGGUUUCAAUAUAUAUAUAUUGCUUUGGUAGCUAAAAUAGGAAGUGGGCGGGUUUUUGUGUUCCAUGUCUGUAAAGAAAGUGAAAAACUCAAGCUUAUGACUUUUGACUGAAUGGUUACUAAUAAGCUGCAUUGAUUUAAGUAUUUCAUGAUUAUAAUAACUUGUCAAUUAAUGCUAUUGGAUUGUGUAUUGCUAAUUAUCUUUGAAACGUAUGAUUAGAUGUAGAGAGUCUCAUGGGAUGCUUGAACUUGUCCAUGUCGCUAAUUAACUUUUGUUAUUUACGUUUCUUUAAAAGUGGAAUGCCUUUCAUUUUCUACCAGGAAUGUAAAAAUGAAAGCUUUCAACUAUUGUCUCUUUGUCAUGGUUUAUUUUUCUAAUUGAUUUUUUUUGGAAUUACUGUUCUGUUUCAAUUUCGUACGGAUAUCUGCAUUUUUCUUUUUUGUUUUUGCUUAUAUAUUUUAUUCUUUGGUUUCAGGUGCAUCAUGAUAUGACAGCACCCCUUUCACACUAUUUCAUAUAUACUGGCCACAAUUCAUAUCUAACUGGGAAUCAGCUUAGUAGUGAAUGCAGCGAUGUUCCCAUCAUAAAUGCUCUGAAAAAAGGUGUGAGGGUAAUUGAAUUGGAUAUAUGGCCAAAUUCUGACAAUGAUGAUGUGGAGGUACUUCAUGGGAGGUAUGCUGUUAUUGUGCUAAUAAUGGUAUCUCUAAAUAACUAUAGGAUGUGCAAUUGUUACUGCGAAAGGAAACGAAGCAGGAACCAAUAAUUGUACUACGGUGAUCUUUUUUUUUCAUUAAGUUUUGAUUUUGUUCUUGCUUCGGUGAUUUGAAUCAUAAAGAAGCUUAGUGGCUUCCUCUUUUUUAAUAGGGGAUCCAUAUGUGCUAAUCUGUAAAAAAAAUAAAAUUUGCACAACUUAUAUCCUUUAAUACUUUGCCUUGAGUGACCUUUCAAUCGUGAGUUAUGAGAAAUCAUUUCUGUUAACUUCAAAAUACUUUUGAACCAUCCUUCCCUGGUUUUUAACCUGUGGUACUUUGUACUUUGUUUAGGACUUUGACAACUCCGGUGCAACUUAUCAAAUGUUUGAGGUCAAUUAAUGAGCACGCUUUUACUGCAUCUGAAUUCCCUGUUGUUAUAACUCUAGAAGACCACCUUACUCCAGAUCUUCAGGCUAAAGUGGCUCAGGUGAGUCUUUGCUAUUCUGUAGGGAUGGGAAGGACUUACGGGCUAAUGAUUUAAUAUUCUUUCAAAUGGUUUCUAGAUGGUCACUCAAACAUUUGGAGACAUCCUGUUUACUCCUGGCUCAGAACGCUUGAAGGAAUUCCCUUCCCCUGAUUCUCUGAAGAGACGGAUUAUCAUAUCAACAAAACCACCAAAGGAAUACCUUGAGGCUAAGGAAAUUAAGGAUAAAGAGAGUCAUUACCAGAAGGGGAAUGCUGCUUCCGAUGAAGAAGCUUGGGGGAAAGAAAUCCCAAUUCUUAAUGGCCAUAUUCUUGCUGAUGACAAGGUAUUUGAAGACACUUACUAGUAUUUAGUUUGCCAGGUUUUUCUAAUUUCUUUCCAGACUAACCUUCUUGGAGCAGAAUGAAUCGGACAAAGAUGAUGAUGAUGCAGAGGAAGAUCUUGAUGAAGGAGAUCACAAGUUGCAGCAUGAUAUAGCACCAGAAUACAAACGUUUGAUUGCUAUUCAUGCUGGGAAGCCUAAAGGUGGAUUAGAUGAAUGUCUGAAAGUAGAUCCUGAUAAAGUGAGGCGUCUUAGCUUAAGUGAGCAACAGCUUGAAAAGGCUGCGGAAACCCAUGGAAAAGAAAUUGUCAGGUAUAAACAAGCCCUAAAGCAUGUUGAAAGAACUCAUCUGCAGUAGUACAUGUGCCUUUAUUUGCUGCUUGAAACCUUACUGUCACAGGUACUAUUUGUUCGAUUGUGCAUUUAAUAGUUCAAUGCUCAUGGUUGAGAAUGUAUUUAUUGGUGGAGUUGGAAGGAUUUGAAUGACUUGAAACAUUGGCUUUUAAUAUUCUAUGUGGUGGUGUUUAUCCAAUCCUGGCUUCUAAAUUUUGACUCCUUUUCUGGCAUUAUCAUUCCAUUAAUAUACUAGUAAUUAGCUUAUGUGCUUCAUAACCAUAUCCUAUGCCAUUAUUAUACCCUUCGUACUUGGAUCAUUAGAAAACCAAGUUCCAGUAUGUCUGAUAAAUGGCUUGCUGUACAGGUUUACCCAGCGGAAUAUACUCAGGGUGUAUCCAAAGGGUACUCGUGUGAACUCAUCCAACUACAACCCACUAAUUGGAUGGAUGCAUGGUGCUCAAAUGGUUGCUUUUAACAUGCAGGUUUGUGUUUCAAAAUCUAAUGAUUGAGUUCACAAGCAUAAACUUUGAGGGUAGAAAGUAAGGGUGGGAGGAUUUGGUGUUAAUCAUUCUAGUUUUUUAAGAGUUUUGGCCUUUUGUUUGUAAAUGGAUUGCUUAACUGAAUAAUUUUAUUCAAACUUGUGUUGAAAAAGUACUAGAUCGAUAGAAGAGAAAAUCAUGAUGAAGUCUUUUUUUAAUUUUGUUAUCUUAUAUGAUACUGGCUGAGCAAUGCAUUACAUUUAUCAUUGUUCUUUUAAAUUUAUACAAGUACGUGUCUCAGCCAAAUACUAAAAGUAGGUCUUUCAUUGAAGGGAUAUGGAAGAUCACUCUGGUUGAUGCAAGGAAUGUUCAGAGCCAAUGGUGGGUGUGGCUUUGUGAAGAAACCAAGUUUUCUACUGAAGUCUGGUCCACAUGGCGAGGUAUUUGAUACCAAAGCUAAGUUACCUAUGCAAAAAACUUUGAAGGUGAGUGCUUUAUUGUCAAUGCCUUUGGCUGGAAUGGACUUUUUUCAGGAUCCAUUUAAAAUGUCCAUGUAAUGUUUUCUUGUGCAGUUAAUUUUGCGUAGAUGAAUAAUUGCAAUUUUCUUGUUGCUGAAUAGGUGAAAAUAUACAUGGGUGAAGGAUGGUUUUAUGAUUUCCAGCACACACAUUUUGAUGCAUAUUCCCCACCAGAUUUCUAUGCGAGGGUAAGUAGAUACAAUCUUAUGGCCUCGUUGUCUCCUCUUCUUAAGUGAUUACGUUCAAGCCACUGCACAAUUUUCCUGCUACACAACUAUAGUCUAAUCCUAGUUCGGCUUUCCAUCAAAAUUCUCAUGUUCUUGUCAUGGCUAAGGCAUUGUUGAGAUCUGUAGUAAUGCAAGACUUUACCGUAACAGUUUUUAUCCUCGCUGUUAUUUGUUCGCUAGAUUUUUGCAGUUUACUUUUGAUUCUGUAUUGCUUAGUUCUUCUUUUUGGGCCCUCCUUCCCCUUUGUUCCCAAUAGGUAUCUGAAUCAGUGGCUACUGCCUAGAUCAUGAAAAAUAAUGGAUGAUCAAGUGCAGUUUAACUUUAUUUUGUGCAGGUUGGGAUUGCCGGGGUCCCUGCAGAUACUGUAAUGAAGAAAACGAAGACUCUGGAGGACAGUUGGAUACCUUUUUGGAAUGAGGAGUUUGAGUUUCCAUUAACUGUUCCAGAACUAGCUCUGCUUCGGAUUGAAGUUCAUGAAUAUGACAUGUCAGAGAAGGAUGACUUUGGAGGUCAAACAUGCCUUCCUGUAUGGGAGCUAAGAGAAGGGAUUCGAGCAGUUCCACUCCAUGACCGCAAGGGAGAGAGAUACAAAUGUGUAAAGCUCCUUGUGCGCCUUGAAUUUGUUUGAUACCAGUAGAAGUUCCACGCUAAGUAGAAAACUACGAAAGAGAGAUGUACAAAUCUGUGAAGUCCAUUUUGAUUUCUUUGUUGUUGUUGUGAGCUGGUGUGAUUAUGUGAUUUUUUAUUGCCGUGUGAACAUAACAACAUUCUGCCCGGUGCUUUUGUCUUGCAGUUCGUUGUGUUACACGAUAAUAUUGUAAAGAAAAUGAUGGAAGAUUAUCAUAUGUUAUUAAUCUCUGAUGAGAAGGUAUUUUGCAGUUGACUCAAAGCAAUAAGAAAAUGAUAUAAUCUUUUCUCUUUGAUAUGUUGUGUGAUAAGGGAAGCAAAAAUCAGAAAUAUUCAGGCGUUCGUCAAUUCGGAAAAAUUAACUAGGUGGUGGUUAUGAUAACUAUCCCUGUCUCGUGGAUCUCAAUUCUAAUUGCUGCUGCUAGUGGGCAAGCAAACAAUCCACCACCAGCCCUGAGCACAUCACUCCAUUUUUCCAAAUGCUCACGUGGAUAACACGUGACUUCAUUACCCCGCCCCUUGUUCGUUCUUCAAUGCCAGCCGAACCAAACCCCACUCCAGUUCCACUGCUCCAGAGUCCAGCUCCCCAAAUUCUGAAAUGUCCUCUGCCCACAGCCACCAUCAACACCGACAGCUGUUCUCCGAAUCCGUCACCACCACUCUGCAGAUCUCACAAACUCAAUUUUCAAAUCCUAUCAUGUCUCAUUUCUCUCGAAGCAUCAAACCAUCCGAUCCAACCUGGUCUUCCACUUCUCUAUGCUGCGCCGUUUUCGACCUUAUCUGGUAUCGAAUCCUGGACCCGCCAAUCCUCCGAUCUCUCCGCUCUUCGAGCCUCCACGCGCCUCCCUGCCUCCCCCGAUAAAGCCGCCGAAUCAUCCACCUGCAUCUGCCCUAAAUGCCGCUCUGAAUAUUCCAUAUCUCAAAUUCCAAGAAGUUACCUCUGUUUCUGUGGCAAAGUGGAAAAUCCACCACAUGAUAAUCCCCGGAUUUUAACUCACUCUUGCUGCGAAAUCUGUUACCGACCGUUGAAGAAUAACUGUGGUUAUUUCUGUUUGUUGCUAUGCCAUCCCGUUCCUUCCCAUCUUGCCCGAAACUUGUCAAAACGACAUGUUUUUGUGGCAAAACGAUGGAUGUUAAGCUGCAGUUACAAAUUGUUUUCCUGUAACAAUGUCUGUAAUAAAUCAUUGGAUUGUGGGAUUCAUAAUUGUAAGCAAAUCUGCCAUGAUGGAACUUGCCUACUGUGUAAUGGCCGCGGGGUUUAUAAAUGUUUAUGUGGAAGGGAAGUCGAGGAGAGGGGAGUGUUGUGAGAGAGAAUUUAGAUGUGAGAAUCCGUGUGGAAAAUUGUUAGCCUGCAGAAAACAUGUGUCAGAGAGGUUGCCGUUUUGGGGAUGAGAGUUUAUGAAGGAUUGGCUUGUGAUGUUGUUGUGCCGCUUUGUGGUGGUACUUGUGAUAAAAUGCCGAGUUGGGGUUUGCAUAGGUUCCAUGAGAGAUGUCAUGGAAGGCAUUGCAUUGAGACUUGUCGAAUUGUUGUCAUCAAGUUGUGUCAGUGUGGGAAGAUGAAGAUAGAGGUAAAAACUUUAUUUUUUCCUGCUUUCUGAUCCAAUUCAGUGUUUUAUGAACUGUUGCUAUUAGAUUGUAUUCGUUGUUGCAAUGAAGAUGAUUGGUUAUAAUGCAAUAAACAUUAGUAUGUUCAUUUGUAGUGAAUCAAAAUUUUGACUUUUGUUUUUUCAUAUUUAUUCACCGUGUGAGUUCAAAAUUGGGAAGAUUUAACUGAAUUUAGAUUGGGUUCCUUGCUAUCAAGAUUUGGCGUGUGAGAGGAAGAGUCAAAGAUUGAGAAAUUAUGGACGGCAUGCUUGUAAAUGUAGGUGCUGUGAUGGGGACUGUCCACCAUGUGGAGAGGUGCAUUUCAUAGUGCUUGGUUGCUUAUUACGCCUCAUAUCUAUCAUUUUAUCCUGAAAUUCAAUACAUGUUUGAAAUUCCAGAUUUGUGGCAAGAGGCUUCAGUGUGAGAAUCAUAAGUGUCCUGACCCAUGCUAGCGGUAUGCUUGUGCUCAUCCUGCCUCACUUGCAUUUCUUCUAUUCACAAGAAUGACCAUGAGUUAAAUAGGUAUAUAUAUAAAAAAGAGAUGAGAGCCAAAGUAGUUAUACAAUGCCACUGCAUUUUAGAAUGCUUCACGCACAUACUCAUUUGUUCGAAAUGUCUUUGAUUGAGUUUCUGAAACUUUGGAUCAGUCUGACAAUAUACUUCAUAAUGGGGUGUUGUUCUUAGUUAUCUAAUUAGAUCUUAUGCAUUAUGGAUAUUUUUAUAUUGAGGCAAUGUCUUGAUGGUUGGUUUGUACUUGUAUGUAGAGGUGCCUGUGCUCCUUGUACUGUCAUGUUUACAAUUUCAUGUGCAUGUGGAGAUACUCACUUUGAGGUGAGCGUUUUGCUUAUUCUGGAUAUCUUUUUAAUUUCAUGCAGCCAUUAUUUCAAUGAUUUCUAGAGUAGCCAUUAAUUUUAUUGAAAGCCAUAGUUAAUUACUCGUUUAAAUAAAUAACUAUUAAAUGUUGACUCAAGGUUCAAAAUCAGAAAGUCAAUGAAUGGAGUCCACCAAAUCUAUCUCUCAUGAUUUUAAGACUCUUUAGCUCUAAUAGGUAGAGGAACCAACAAAAAUGUUGACAAGAAAAGAGAAAUGUUUCCAAAUGGUUUGAUGAUUUGGAUUGUGCCAACAGUGCUGUAACAUGAGAAGUUUUGCUUUGUUGGCCUAAUUGUACACAAAUGCCUCUGGCUUAUUAUUAUAUUUGUUGACUUAAAGACACCGUCAUAAUUAAAAGCGUGUGCAUCUGAAGCGUAUAAAUUGUGAUGAAUGGGGAAUUGAUGCACAGGACUAGUCAUUCUUCAGAAUUAUUUUGAAAUAGCUUCUUACUGUCUAUAGAUAAGGUAAUUCAUGCUUUAGCUUAGGAAACAUUAUCAGAGAUGCAAUUGCAAUUUUAUUAUUUUUUUUGCAUCGCAUUCUAUUAUAUGGUAUUUGGAUCUUGCAUAUUUGUUAGAGAAAUGAUCCACGCUAUUUUCUGUUUCCAUAUAUAUAUAUACAAUGAAAGAGUUCAGACUAAGAAAACAAAAGACUAAAAAUAGACAAAGCUGUCCCAACCAUAAUAGCUAAUAAAAUUGAUGAAAAAAUAACAGGGAAAAGCCAGAGGUCACCAAAUAAAGUUAAAAAUUUCAGUCAACAUUGAACACAACUUGAAAACGUAAUAAGGAGAAGCAAGCAACACCGCUAGCUAUAACUCACAGUAAAGAAAAACACACAAACACAAAGUCCAAACUUCACUCGGACUAAAAUAGCAGACCAAGCUAGAUGAGUGAAACAGAGAAGAACCCAGAGUUAGGAACUUGAAGAGAGACAUGAGAAGAAAAGAAAAAGGUGUGGAGAGAGAAGAAAAGGAAAAAAUAAAGGAGAAAUAUUGAAGAGUGAGUAAAAAGAUGAAAGGAUUUGGCUUCAACUUGGAUUUAAAGAUUGAAAAAUGAUAACUGAAUUUUGAAAUAAUGGUUUAAAUUUUGACAAUGGUUCUGCAUUGAUAAAAAAGAAAAGAAAAGCUGCUAAAUCAUCCACCUGGAACUGCUCUAAAUUUUGACAAUGGUUCUGCAUGGAAAUUUUUGGAGAAUUGAUUUCUAGAGCAGCCAUUAUGUGCUACAGGCUGAAAUCUGAAACUUUUGAAGUUUUGAAAUUUUUAGAAUAAUUUUGGUGAUAUUCGGGGACUCAUAAUGGCAUAACCUCUUAAUGAUUUGCCACCUUGAAUUGCUGUGAGAAACUUCAGAAUUGAUAUGAUGUGCAGGGAACUGCAUGAUUGUCCACAUUUAUGUCACGAGACAUGUUGUCCAGGUCAAUGCCCAUCACCUGACAAGUGCACCAAAGGUACUAAUUUCUCACCUCAUCAUAAAACGAUUAGUGAAAAGGAACAUUUUGUUAAUGUACAAAACGUUAAUGUUAUUUCAGCUUCCAGUUAUUAACUUGAUUUGUCAUACCAACUCUUAACAACGUCUCUAUUCAUUAUCAAUGCCAAGCCUUGAAAAAGGAGAUGCCAUGUCAAGAGGGUUUAAGCAGUAUACUGCAAAGCAGGCUCUGAUCCCAAAGAUAUAUCUGAAAACCAUUUUGGACCUGAACUUCUUCCUUGGAAUUAUGCUUGCAAGAGUAAAGCACAGGUCGUGGAUCAGGAAUUGCAUUUGUGUAAAUCCAAAGAUUUGGAGGUACUAUUUAUUCCAACUUGAACUGUAGAAUUCAUGCUCCAGAACUCUUUAUGCUUGAGCUUAUGGUUCCAGAUAGUAAUAUCAAUAGCUUUCUCUAUAAAAAAUUUGAAGUGUCUAUUGAUUUAAUUGCUAUCAGAAUAAGCUUUAGCUUGGUUGGCAGCUUGGUCAACUAAAGCAAUAGUAGCCUGAUUGUUUAUGUUAUCAGGACUCAGAUGUGGAACUAGUUCUCGCUUCCGUUUCUACCAAGGGGUUAUCUUGGAAAAUGCUCCUCUUCGUAAACUAGUUGGUGCAUUUUUACUUUCUAAAAUGUGUGGCAAUUAAAAGACACUGUUAUUGAAGUACGCUUACUCUAGUGGUUUAACUUAUGGUUACUUCACUAUAGGUUAUGUGAUGAAACAGCCAACUGGAGAUAUUUCCAUUACAAUAAGGAAAGUUAUUUCAUUAAAUGAUACAUUAGGUAAUGCUCAGAUGUGGAACUAAUUCUCCCUCCAGUUUCUACUACAAGGUUAUCUUGGAAAAUGCUCCUCGUCAUAAACUAGUUGGUGCCUUUUACGUUCUAAAAUGUGUGGCCAUUAAAGACAUGGCUUCGCCUUUCCAUUAUGGAACGCUUAAUAAAACCACCACCAUGGAUAUAUAUUAAUUACAUAAAUGAAUCCACUUUUCUGAUGCACAAGCACAAUGCUCUUUUUCGGUGCAUGGGGGCUCCUGACCUGAAAUCUUAUAGCAUUUUAUGAUAUUUAAUGAAGGAAAAGGUUCCAGCUACUAAAAAUCAUGUACCUAAGCACCAAAAUCGGCGUGAACGACUGCAAGAGCAAAGAAGACCUCACAAAUGCGGGUAUGUUACUCUUCUGAAGCAAAGACCAAGUUUUUUAACUGCUUUUUUGUCAUGAUGGCUUGUUUUGAAGCAGAAGAUGCUGCCACUAUGAGGUGGCUUUUUCUAAUGGUCACCCUUGUGGUGACUCUGGUGGCAGCAGCAUAUUUUGGUUACAAAGGUCUCAUGUGGCUCUCUGAUUGGAUGGAUGAAGUUGAAGAGCAACGAGACAGAGAACCAUGAAUCUAAUCAUUGUCAAAGUCGUCAUCAAGUUACAUUGCUUGAACUCUGAUAGGCGUUUACUGGUUACCAUUUUUUUUUUACAACAAAUGGCUGUCUGGUGAAUGUACUGGGGGGUUUGUUUUCCUUGUUAGUAGUAGUCUUUCUGCCUCACAUACAAAAGCGGCGAGCAUCACCUGAUUUGGGCAAAAAAACAUGCGAUUGAUUUUGACAUGAAUUUGGAACAUGGAUGUGAGCAUGGACACAACCGGUAAUUCUGUCAAUACAUAUUUGAUUUAUGAAGCGAGACAUGAUUCUGGUAUUGUUGGAACUUGAUAAGAUGGAUUGUUUAAAGUUAUUUGUACAUAUUAGGUCGAUUUCAUGUGCUGUUGCAACCCAAUUUCCUGAAUGAUUUAAUUGAUGUGAUGCAGAUCUUUCUCUAUUCGGUGCAUCCAAGAAAAAGAGCUUUUUAGCAUCGGCCAAACUACUUGAAGAAUCAGCCAUUUGGCUCUCUCAUGUUUUUCCAACAAGAAGCUGGAUUGGUCUAAAGUUUUGUUCUGGACAAAAUUUACCAUUGAAACAAGACUGCAGGGACCAGAACGUGUCUGACUUGCUCUGUUUCUUCACUUUUUUCAGCCUUUCUUUCCUCCUAUCCAGGUAAAACGUCAGCAAAUGCAUGAAUAUAACAGAAGUUGUGCUUGGAUUACGGUCAACAGCAGGGAUAUAUUGGAUUGGAUCACGCCCAGAAGAUUCGAGUGGUGGUUGAAAGGUAGAAAAGGGAACUCCAAGGUGGUGUUUUUGCCUACGUGUGCGAGAGAGCGGGGAUGACAAGGCGAGAUGUUAUGGUUUGUAACAAAAUCAAAUCAAAUCAAUUACUCCUCGCUCGUGUUUUCAAUAGAUAGAAUCAGGGUGAGCUGCUGUUAAACCCUAUCGGAUCUCAAAAUUAAUUCCAAAAUUCACAAUUGCAAAUUUAAUUAGAGAAGGGCCUUGUCACCACAAUAUCGAUGGGUGGUUUUACACAAGCUAUAAAUCACUGCAUGGACGUGAAAUGCAAGAGUACUUGUAUGCAUCAUUAGGCACAUGUGAUAUGUUUGCAGCUCAUUCUUGCCAGCCCAUGAACUGUUAAUGCAUCCCUUUGGCCUGUAGUCGUCUCCCGUGACUGUUUUCCGGUACCAUGAAGUUGUUUGGUCUAAUCAAGCAGCUAAAUGUUGUUUAAAUACAUAUGGGGGAAAAAAACAAAUGGUGUUGUUGGGAGGCUGUACAUAAAUAAGGGCAGAAUUUUUUCACCUUGGAUUGAGUACUCCCAAUCUGUAUGUCCUCUUACCACAAAACGAUUCAUUGACAACGAAUUUCAAGAACAUCUGCUUGUCUUUUUUUUGUUUUUCCUUUCUCCUGUGAGAAUAUGCUAUUAAAUUACAAGUUAGAGCUACUAUAAAAAGUUAAUGAUGGUGAUUGAUAGUUUUCUUUAUGUACCUUUGUCCAACGAAUUGGAUAAAUAGUGUAACUAGCACAUAAAAAAAAAGAAGAAGGCGAGGUGACAUAAUUUUUUUUUUGAUAAAAUAAUAUAGUUUGAUAAAUAUAACUGUGAUAUUAAUUAUAAUUUUAUAUUUUUUUUAUUUGGGUUUAAAUUUUAAUUUAUAUCUCUUUUUAAAAAUAUGACAAUAUCAAAGUGUAUUAUUUUACCGAAUCUUUUUAAACGAUGAUUUACCGUCAAAAUUCUACAUUUAUUAUGCUAAUUAUGUAAUUUAUCCCGAUGAAUUAAUGUUGUUUUCCGGUUACAAUCAUAUUUAUAAAACAGAUGCUGAAUAAAAAUACAGCUUCAGCACCGCAUAUUUUCAGCCACUGCUGAAACAUCUAAAAUCUAAAACCUUAGGGAGCCAUAUUGUCAACCAAUGCUAAAACAUCUAAAAUCAAAGUAAAUAAACACCAAUGUAUGAGGACUGAGGAGAGAGUGGUUCACGGACCACCACCGAUAAGAACCCACAUCUGCCCCGGGAACAUUUAAUCUCACUUAAUGCAUAAUUAAUUAGGGUAUUAACCGCAGCGUUCACAUUAAUGUGUACAAGCCUUCACAUUGAUGUUUACAUUUGGAUGCCAAUAAGAGGAGUAAAUACAACCCAAUUGGGCAUUAAAUUCGCGAGGCACCGCAUAAUUCGUCGGAAUAUUUUCUUUUUUAUUCAUCAAACGUGUAUCCAUUACACACGAUCUUCCAUGGACGUCGUGUCUCUUUUGGGACUAAAUCUCUUAUAAUUCAUAUGUUAAAUCAGUAAUUUUACAUCUAAACCAUGCAUUUAUAAAGAUUUCAUUCAGCAAUCUUUAUUCAAAUUACUAAAUAACACUUUUCAAUGUAUACUUGUAAGGUAGGUAGAUGUCGAUCGUAUGGAUUUUGUAUUUGUAAAGUACACUGCAUAUUUGGUCCAAACACGUGCCAAGCAAAUAAUGAUUCAUCACCACCAGAACAAAGGAUAAAUUAGGCGAUUAGUAUACAAAAUAAAAAGAAAUUGUGAGCCGCCAUUUUGAGCCGUGAUAUUUAAUUUGCGAUAACAAACAAAAUUUUAAUUGAUUUUAGAAAAUUUGCUUGGUGGAGUAUGUUCAUAUUUUUCUUGUGGAAUUUUGAGCCUUCUUGCAUCAAUGUGUGUUUAGUACUAGUUUGUUCCGACUGUGAAUUUCUGUCUAACCCUGCUAUUAGGGUUUCUAACCAGAGCGUGCAAAGCAUAAAUCUGACACAUGAUCUCUUUUUAAUGGUUCCAUUUACUUAAUUUCUCUGUAUUGUUAGGUUGAAAAGUCUUUGCAAAGUAUGGAAGAAGAAGCUGGGCGUAUUUACAAGGAUGAGCGUGGAAUGCUUCUUGACGAUGAAGCGGCAUCGACUAGAGAUGCAAUGUGAUCAGAACUCGGUCUUUGCUUUCCUUUUGCAUUCUCAUAGUUUGCCUUUUGUAGGCCCGAUCUACCCUUCAUAUUCUGACAUUCUCACCUGCUUCAAAGUUUAAUCUCCCUCUUAUCUCCAUUCCAUCACUGUCUUCUAACACCUCCUCUCCUCACCUACACAAGAAUAGUACCCAUCAUCAUCGUCGUCAUCAUCGGUGUCAUUGUUGUGAUAAUCAUUGUCGUCCAAAAAAGUGACCCGGAAUCAGAAUAACAAGGGAUGGGUCGGAGGUGAGAGAGAAGGCAAGGAUAAAUUGAGUUGAGGAUUUGUACAGGAAACGAAACAGAAAGAGACGGUGCAAGGGACAAAGAUAAAGUCGGGGAUUUGUAGAAGAAAGCAAAGAUACUGCAUCAAAGAAAAUGAAAGAAACAAUAUAAUUGAUGUUGCGGAUAUGAACUUAGAUCUUAAUUAAAAUUUUAUUAUACUUUUUAACUGUGAUAUCAAUAUCACAGUUGUUAAAUAUGAUAUUAUUUAAAGGCUGUCUGGUAAUGAGGUUGUGUUUGUGUUUUAAAUAAAAUGUAAAUGCAACCUGUUUGGUAAAGAAAAAAACAUUUUAUUGUUCAUAGAUCUCACAAUGUUUUUAUGUUCGAAACGCAGGGAAAAGAAAAACAAGUGAAUGCCGCUUCUUGCGCCCUAUUCAUGCUAAUUAAUUAGCAUGAACAGUGGAGCUGGCUACACUGUUCACGUGAAUAGUGUAGCCAGCUCCACUGUUCCGGUCGGACCGGUUCCGGUUCAAAACUCAAAAUUCAUUGAACCAUGUCUGACCUAGUAAAAUAAAAAAUAAAAAUUAUUUUUUAAUUUUUAAUUGUGUUUUAUUCGAAAAACUAGUGUUAAAUAUUAUUCAAUGACUACAUAAAUUAGACGGAGAUCGCUUGAUGACGCCGCAUUUAUAGAAUUUGAUCGCAAUCUCAAUUUUGUUCCUGAUUAUAUUUUACCUGAUGUUGUUGCGCUCUUAAAAAUUUGUGAAAACUGUAGUCUUUGUCGAAUGUAUUUCAUACGUGAUGAAAUUUUAAAUAGUUUAAUGAAACAAUAAAAAAUAUUUUUUAAAAUUAUUUUACAACCUCAAUUAGCAUUAUUAACCAAAUACAUUAAACUACUUUUUACUCAAUCUCAAUUUUAACCAUAGUUUUAACCAAACAUAUAUUUUUUCAAACCAACCUCAACUAAAAGUAUUUUUUAUAAAAUAAUUUUUUUAAAUCACAACCACAACCGCAGCCGCAAUACCAUUAACAACAAUAUAAAAAAAAAAUUAUUUCAUCCAAAAAAAUUUCAAAAUAUAUUAUUCUUUAAAAAAUUUAAAAUUACUAUGAUAAUUUUACAAAAAGUCGCAGAACAAAGCCCUAUCCUAUUGACUCCUUUUGUUAAUUGAAUUUUCAAAGUCAAAUUCAUGGAGUACCAAACGAUAACUCGAAGCAAUGUGCCAAGGUCCAGAAAUAGGACCACAUUUUGCUUCUGCUUCUUGCCCUUUUCAGGGAUGGACCCAUACCAGAAAUUCUGCUUCGGAAAGAGUUCUGAUAGCGGUGGUCGGUGUAGGCAAGUACACAGUGAAAAGCAUCGUCGCCUAUUUUGGUGCCACAUGUACAGGCCCAUAUGCCUAAUUUUGUCAACUUUAUGUCCUUUCCUAACAUCACAUCGCAAAUAGACAAAUUGUCAUCUGCAACUUUUUUUAAGAGAAAGGGUGAUCAGUCCAUUUUGUCAACGAGAAAACUGGGUGAACUCUUCCGACUACACCGUGUUUGUUAGUGUUUAAAAUACUGUUUCUUAAAAAUUUAAUUUUUUUAUUUAAAAUUAUAUUUUUAUGUUUUUUAAAUUGUCUUAAGGUAUUAAUAUAAAAAAUAAAAUUUUAAAAAAAUAUUAUUUUAAUUUAUUUUUAAAUAAAAAACACUUGAAACUAUUGCUGUAAUGCCAGACAUACAUGCAUCCUACUUCGACAAAAGGAAAAAUAAGCAAAGGGGCUUCUGUUUAACAAUCUUAAACUAUUAAGAAGAAAAGGAAUAUUCUCCAUAAAAAUAAAUCAUGUAAUCAUUCUCCUUGCGGUCAGUGUUCACAAAACCCUACAUUACAGCUCGAUUGUUGAUAAAUACUCCUAAUUCCUCUGCAAUUGAAAAGGAAAAAAAAAAAAGGAAAGGAAAAAUCCUAUUCUUUACAGUAGCCCAAAUGUAUACCCAAUUAAAUUAUCCAAAAAAAUAUUUGUUCUUCUGGGUUUGAAAAUUGAAAUUUCAAUCUGAAACAAUUGAUAUUCUACCACUAGAGAUGCUGCCAUGGCUACUACCAUCACAGAGGGACAAGGCUCGCUCCAAGUUAGCAACAAUGUCUGUCAUAGUUGGCCUAUCUUUCCCUUCCAAAUUCACACAAUGCAUUGCAGUGUAUCCCACCAGCUCCACUGCUUCUGCUUCAUUAAGCUCCGGCGGUCCAACCCUGGGAUCCAAAAUCUUACCCAAUUCAUUAACCAUAAGUUUAGGCACCGCAAAAUCCACUAUACUUGUUGGUGUGCCUCCAUUAUCAUCACCCUUGAAAAUGGCUCUUUUUCCAGUCAGGAGUUCUAAUAAUACCACACCAAGGCCAUAGACAUCACUCUUUGCAGUUAAUACAUUUAGGCCAUAGUACUCAGGAUCAAUGUACCCAACUGUUCCUGCUGCCUUUGUUGGUCUGUAAUUGUAAUCCUGUUCUGAUUCAGGACCCAUCAAUGACAACCCAAAAUCAGAAACUCUUGCUGUCCAAUUCGCAUCGAGUAAUAUAUUUGACGACUUGAUGUCUCUGUGAAUUAUUGGUGGGACCGCAUAGUUGUGAAGAUAUUCAAUUCCUCUAGCAGCAUCAAGUGCAAUCUUGAUCCUCAUUUUCCAUGAAUUUAUCACACUGCUACUCUUUUCAAUGUUGUUCUUGUCAUGUAAAUGGUCAUAAAGAGCUCCAUUCUUCAUGUAAUCAUAAACUAGAAGCCUCUCAUCUCCAUCUUCACAAUACCCAGCAAGCCUUACCAGAUGUUUGUGGUGAAGCCUUGACAAGAACGCCAAUUCUGAUUCAAAAGCACUCUCUUUCUCUUGAAACUUCUUCAUCUUCUGGCCUGUUUCCCCUCUCUUAAUCGCCACUUCGCGGCCAUCUUUCAAUUUCCCUCCAUAAACAACACCAAAGCUCCCUGCACCAAUCUUGUUCUCUACUGAAAAAUUGUUGGUAGCAGCAGCAAGUUCAGCCAGACUAAACUCCUCAGCUCUAUCCCCAUGCUUUGAUGACGUUCCACUCCUCUGACGCCUCAUCACCCUUGAGCUCUGGCGUCUUAUAGUUGAUGAUCUCGAAUUUAAACCACUAUUAUUUGAUGUCACGCCAGCAAUGGAAACAGCUCUAGUAAUUGUAGGCUGAACUGAAUUAUGCACUUUCUUCUUACCAAAGCAAACUCCAGUCCACAAGCAAUAAAUAAUCGUGCAAAUUCCGGCAAACCCCCCUACUGAUCCAACAAUAGCAAAUGCCAAUAACCCUGUUGUCAAUUUAUUGGACGGAGAUGACUUUGGCACUAUCGACGGGGGUGGUGCUGAUGGCAAUGACGUCGGAGCCAACGGUGUUAAUAUCGAAGCAUUGGGACCACAAGGCUUGCAAAUGUUCCCUGAACCAGAACACAACUUCUCAGAUCGCGGAUACAAACCGCAUUCACUACAAGAAGAUUGCACACAUGGCCCUGGUAAAACCUCGCCCAACGGAAGCCGAGUCCCUGAAGCAUUAGGCCACCCUGGUCCCCAACACAUAAUCGAAAAAUCACGCGAAACCAAUCCACAGCUAAAAUUAGAACCUGAAACAAUAGACUCAAAGAAAACACCCUGAAUCUCACUCACAUUAUAUUCACCACCACCUCCCCAACAAACAACAGAUCCAUUAUUCCUUCGAAUCGCACAGCUAUGACUAGCCCCAAGAGCCAACUGCGAAUAUUCCAAUGCAUUAUUUGAAGGGACAUUCAAUUGACCAAAUCUAUUAUCCCCUUUGCACACCAAAACGCCACUAGAAUUGACACCACAAACAUGUAAACCACCCACUUCAAGAUUCCAAAUUAUCAUAUCGGCAAAACCAAGUUCAAUCUCUCUUGCAAUUGCAUUAUUACCCCAACACUUAAUUCUGUUAUUUUCCAUUAAAAUCCCACAUGAGAAGCCAGACCCACUUGAAAUUGACUUAAAUUUAUCGCCUUCGCUUGGUGAUUGUUUACUUGCAUUACCAUCUCCCCUCCAACACCUAACGGUCCCAGUUUUGUUGACACUCGAUGUGUCAUUAACAAUUGCACACACUUGAUUAUCACCAACAGAGAGGUUUUGUAGAAGGGCGGUGUUGUUAACAUAGACUCUUCGAGAUUCAAAAAAGGAAUUCGUUGUGUCCCAGCAUAAGAAAGCAUAGCCCCCAGAACGUAGACCGCAGAAGAAGGUGGAGCCGCCGGAGAUGGCGGAGAAGGAGACGUUAGGUUGGACGGUAAUGAUUUCGGCGAUGGGGGUUCGUCUAUAGCAGGUAAUACUUUGGGAUGGUUGGGAGGCGGCGACGCCACAGACGGUGGAGGUGGCGGAGAUGACCGCGAGGGUGGAGCCGGAGCCCAAGGCAUGGGUUAGAAAUGGAGAUGAUAAGAUGAAGGAGAGAAGUGACAGGGUGGUGACGGAGAGGACAGCGGAGGAGAGGUGUAGUUUCGUCAUGUACAGAAGUGGAGAUUUCCGGUGGUGGUAGAGGAUGUGGGUGACGGGUGACGGGUAGGCUUCAUUGGUAGAGAGAGAGCGGAGAUUUUAAGGUACUGAAUGUCUAUCAGUUUUUAUUGUUUUUAUUGCGUUUGAAAUUAAUAAGAGAAUGAAAAGCUCGUAGAAGUUCUAAUAAACAGUCUUGUGUGGCUCAUAGAGAGGGGGAGAGAGUUGGGGGGGUUUAAGUUCUAAUAAACAGUCUUGUGUGCAGGAGGUUACAUGGCUUUUUCAGCUCGUUUGAGUUUUUUAUUUUCUUGACUGUUAAGAGUUUUUGUUUCUAAGGAUGUGUUUGGAAAGUUUUUUUUAAAAAAGGUAAAUGAUAAUUUUUCUUUAGAGUGGACAGUUUGAUUUGGGGGUUCGACUAACCUCAUAUGUGUUUAUUUUAAAAACGAGUCAUUAAAUGUUUUUAAUUCCAUCAUGCUAUCUGUUACUAUUUCAAGCAUAGUAUUGGACUUAAAACGUGUUCCGAUUUCUUUAUUCAUGUUAUCAUUCUUCCAUCCAGAUUUUUUUAUUAUUAUUAAAAUAGAUGUCCAAAUCAUCUUGCACGUAUCUCGAUUAAUUCCAAAGUUAACAACUAUGUAAGUCUCCAGUAACCAUCAUAUUAGCAAUUACAGAGAUCGAACCUAAAACCAUAGAGGAAGCAAACCCCUUGGUCCAAAACUCUUAUCAUUGAACCACCCACUAUAUAGUUUCAUCCCAAACAUUUUAUUUUUAUAACCAAACAACACCUUAGUACUAGCAUCUUGAAAAAAUUAUUAAUUUUCAUUAAAAUCACUUUGAAAAAAAAUAUAGUUUUAAUUAAUGUGCAAGUUAAUAAAAAAAUACCCCUUAUAGUUGAGUUAAUAAAAAAAUCAUAUCAUUUUGAUGAGAUAAUUUUCCUCAAUCUACAAAAUUGAAACGAAAAUCAAAAUGGUUUCUUCUUUGAAUGCAUAUUGGUUAUCAAAUUCGAUUGUUUGAUUGAAUAGAUUUCUUAAUAUCAUUUAAAUUUAAAGAGAGAGAUAUUCUUGAUCUAGUGGGUAAAUAAGAAGCUAGGGGUAAUCAUUUUUUGUUCGGUUCGGUUCGGUGUGGUUUUUAUCAAAAAAAAUAUAAUCAAAUUGAAUUUUUUUUAUAUAAAAAAAACCGAAACUGGUUCAACCGACCGGUUUUGAUUCAGUUUUUUAGGAAAAAAACCGGUUCAAACCGGUUUGACUCGAUUUUUUCCAGUUUUGCUUUUUUUAGCGGUUUUUUUUGUUUGGGUUCGGUUCGGUUUUUUCAGUUUCAGGCUUAUAAAACCGAAACCGAACCGGUUAGUUUUUUUUAAAUUUUAAUUGGUGUUUUUUUACGAUUAUUUUUUUUUCGGUUUUCUCAGUUUAAUCGGUAUUUUAGUUUUUUUCUCACUCCUGUAAGCAACUCUUUAAUUCCAUAUCAAUAUCUAGAUCCAAUCUCAAUAUUAGGCUAGAAUAUGUGUUUUCCUAUGAAGUUUUUAAAAUCAAGAAUUAAUUGUUAUGUAUUUAACUUAGUCGAUGAGAUGAAUUGAUUUUAAAAUGUUAUGUAUUAAUUGCUAUCUCAAUUUCAUAACUAUUUUAAAAUCCAUAUCAGAGUAUUGUAUUUUUUUCAGUUUUUGAGGGCAAGUUAAGUUCAAAUCCUGCAAUUUCCCAACACUUAAAGCCACAAAGAUGCUUUGUUAUCUAUCCAUUAAAUGAAAAAAAAUUACAAGGGCACUUUUUUCCAAGGAAACGCAGGACCACACUUAUAAUUAUGAUGAUAUGAUCGUUCUCGUUUGUUUCGUGUUUGUUUUUAUAUUUUAAAAAUAUUUUUAAAAAAAUUUAAAUGUUUUUUAAUUUUUUUCUUUACUUUAAAUUAAUAUUUUUUUUUCGUGUUUUCAGAUCAUUUUGAUGCAAAGAUAUCAAAAAUAAUUUUUAAAAUAAAAAAAUAUUAUUUUGAUACAUUUUCAAGUAAAAAAUACUUUAAAAAACAAUCAUAAGGAAUAGGUGAAGUACAAUUUGCCAUCUUUUUUUAUUAUUAUUAUUAAUAUAAGUGUCCGGGCCAGCUUGCACGCACCUCGACUAAUCCCACGGGUCUUGAAGUUAACGACCAUGUAAGCCUCUAGUGACCAUCAUAUGAGCAACUACAAGGCUCGAACCUGAAAUCACAAAAAAAACAAACCCCUUAAUCACAACCUCUUAUCAUUAGACCACCAUCUAAAUAGUUAUAAUUAUCUUUGAUGGCCCAAGAACUUGUUGUUCGCUUUAGAGAGCGAAGCACAUGCACCAUGCUCGAAUGAAAAAAAAAAAAGGGAAAUAAAUAAAUAAAGAAACACGUAAGCAAUGCAAAGGCAAAGUGUUUUACGAAACAUACAGAUGGCAAUUCUUGACCACGAAGGCUGCAAAUCAAAUAUGGAAUCUAUUCAAAAAGUAGACGUAUCAUUUCGAGUUUUAUUUUACAUGGAAAUUAUUAUUUUUGAAGAGGUUAAUCGUCACUGAUUAGAAGGAAUAAUCCGUAAAUCUUAUAUUCAAGAUUUGAUGUAAUCUAACUGGGUCAUAUAGCAUGAGUUUCACGACUGGCUUGCUUGAUUUGAGAGAGAGAGAAGGGAAGAAAAUGAAAGCAAAGAGUGAAAUAUGGAUGGGUUUUUUUGUUCUUCGGUAAAUUUGUUAACUUGCCUCUCUAGGUUUCUUUUUUCCUUUUUAUUGCAGAUCCAAACACGUCUGACAGAGACUCAUGAGAAUUAGGAGUUGCAUAGAUGAUCUUGCAUGCGCAGUUCUUCAUUUUUAAAUGCUGUCUACAAAAUAUAACAUCUUCCGAGCAAAUCCUUGACAUGGUCAACUCAAUCUGUGGAUUAGCCCGCUGAAAACUACUUCAAUCUGACAUGCUUGACUGUUCUCUUAAAAAGGUGAUGUCUGUUUCGUAUAAACAGAUAAAAUAUUGAUGCAAUGUAAAAAUAAGAUUCAAGCGAUGAACCAGGCAAAUUUGAACCACGGAAUACUACUCAACGUUUUCAAUCUAGUCAUGAUACUAUGUGCAAAGCUCUACCAUAUAUUUAAUUUGGGGUUGGUGGUCUUUGAAAACGUAACACCUUGAUAAAUAAUAUUCCUGAAUCCUUACUUUCCAGAACUUGUAUUGAUUUCACACUCUAAUCAUUGCAACUUUGCAACAAAUUUAAGGUUCGAGACUUGACCGAUUUAGGUUAAAUUAGGUAGGUCAACUUAUUCGAGGGGUGGAAGAUUCUGUCUUUGUUUUUGUGAUAAAUGCUGUGUUUUGACCACAGCAAAAGCCCGGCAUUAGUAAAAAAAAAAAAAGUUCAAUGUAGUCAUUCUUCUCUCUACUGUUACAACUUUUCAGGUGACCGUAGUUAAUUAUAUAAUAAUGGGUAGUGUGGUUAUGAUUAUUUUUUAAAGUAUUUUUAUUUGAAAAUUUAUUGAAAUAAUAUAUUUUUUAUUUUUUAAAAUUAAUUUUUUAUAUCAAAUAAUAUGAAAAUAUUAAAAAAAUAAAAUAAAAUAAACACUACCUUGUUUUUGCCCUGUGGGGCAGUUAAAACAUUCAAUUACCUUCCGUGUUCAGACAACCAAUUGAAUUGUUGGUUUGUAUAAUUUGCUAUCUCAAAAUGUAAAAUUAUCAUAAUUAAAUAAACCUGAAAUAAUCACUUACCAUCCCUCUCUAAUUAGUAAUGUUUUCUUACUGAGAAACUCUCCAAUUAGCGAUACUGUUCUCUCGUGAUGUUUUGCUGGUAUAAAAUAGGGGUGAUUAUUUUUUAUUCGGUUUGGUUUUUAUCAAAAAAAAAUAAUCAAACCAAAAAUUGUUUUUUUAAAAAAAACCGAAACCGAACCAAAACCGGUUCAAACCAACCGGUUUCGGUUCGGUUCGGUUUUUUAGGACAAAAACCGAUUUGGCUUGAUUUUUUCGGUUUGACUCGGUUUUUUUCUGGUUUGGCUUGGUUUUUUCCCGGUUUUUUUUUGUUUGGGUUCGGUUCGGUUUUUUCGGUUUCAGGCUUAUAAAACCGAAACCAAACCGGUCGUUUUUUUAAAAUUUUAAUCGGUUUUUUUCACGAAUCAGUUUUUUUGGUUAUUUUUUUUUAUUUUCUCGAUUUUUUAAUUUUUUACUCAACCCCUAAUAUAAAAUAGAGAAGCUUUCGCUCACAUAAUUACGUUUCCAUGGAAGCCUUUGACCAAGUAUUAUUGUCCAUGAUGUUACGAUCUGCCCUUCCCAAUCUCAUAAUAUCAUCAACAAGGAUUUAAUUCAGAAAUGCUUGAUCCUUUUCUUUUCUUUUCUUGAAAAGUUAAACACAUGAUUCCAAUACAUAAUAACUUCCACCUCUAAACAAAAUCAAAGUCAAAACGCAAAAUCUCUUCCCCGUAUACGAUGCAUGUAGGAUUCAAUUUGUAUCAGGAAAAUCUGGAGGAUAGCGCUGUAAUCAUUCCAUAGAUUCUGGAAUCAAAUCCAAUUAAAUGAGCAAAAGGCACUGAUUAACCUGGCAUGUGAUCCUUACUUCCAUUUUAUAAUGCGUUACUGGCUCCUGCUAAGGGAAUCUGAAGAACAGCUCGUAUUGAUAAACACAUGUCAGCAACUCCGAGUGACACAUAAAUUAGGUAAAGGCACAUGGUCAAACCAGGGUGUUGUACAUGUAAAGAAAGCCAUGAUUGAAGAAUGAUUCUUUAGGUAAAGUAAACGCUUGAAGCAUCCUUUACAAUCAAAGCUUGAUUGUUAUGGCGUAUAAUAAUUUACAGGAAAAUAAUUCUUUAGGGAAAGUAAACGCUUGAAGCAUCCUUUACAAUCAAAAGCUUAAUUGUUAUUGCGUAUAAUAAUUUACAGGUUUUUACAAUUAUGUAGUUCUGUCUUUCUUGCAAUUAACGCCCAUGUUUGAUAAUUAAGUCAUUCUUUUUAGAAUGAUUACCAGGUAUACUGACUGGAACUGGACUGAACAUAACAUUUUCAGGAUGACUCAACAUUAUGCACCUUCCUAUUUAUAUAGCCGCCAAGCUAGUGAAAGCUGUCCUGUAUUCAUCAUAAGGUGGCAAAAAUAAACCGAGAAGAAUCGUAAAGUGAAGAAUACCCUUUUAACUAGCUUAUUUGAAUGAUUAAUCUGAUCCUGAAAUAUGACGGAAUCAAGCACGUCACUGCUGAAGUUAGCAUUGCUGCCUAAACUCCAGGUCGUCAAGAUUCUUGAACUUGAGCAAUUAUUUAAAAUAUCAAUCAGUAUAAUUAAAAUAUCCAACACAUUAUCUGUUGGAUUUCAAUAUAUAUAUAUAUAUAUGGGAAAGAAAAGGUGGAAAGAUGGUCACCCUUGAGAAUGAAAAAGUGAGUGCUCUCUAUAACCGUAUAUAGAAGUUGUAGGUUGGUUUUGCUAAUCCAUAUAUAAACUUGAGGAACAUGCAAACCUGUGAAAGCGGUCAAGUUCCUAACAUCAUGUCGGAGUGCUACUUGAUCCAUAAUUAUUAUAUCAAAGCUAAGUCAUCGGCCAGGCAAAGUCGCCGCCGCCCAUGUGCCAAUGCGGGGUCUUCCUUCUAUGCUGCGUUACUGCACUGCCAGACAAUUUCUAGUGGUACACGAGAUCACUCUAUCAAACCUGGCAAAGGGAAUAUGGCACAAGUUCAUAUUGAUAUCCCAUUAAAGAAUUGUUGGGAAAUUUACCUUCUUAGGACUGCUGGAGAGUACAAGGCAAAUUUUAGGCAAGAAAUUCUUCUACCAAAUUAGCCCCCGUAAGAACUACGUAAACCAGGUCCACAAGAUCCAAAACAAAGGAGCAGGAGGGGAUAGCCAUGCUUCUUGACGGUCUGAAAGGGUUGAUCCACGGCCAGUAGGGUAGAAAAAUGGAAGCAUCUCGGCACCGAAAAAAAAAGGACCAGUACAAAAUAGCAUUAUCUGCUUAAUUAGUUUGGCCAGUGCAAUUAAUGUGCAGACGUCAAACAAGACCGGUCUUUCUUCUCUUUUGAUAUUUUUCAUUCCAGGAAAAUGUCCAGCAAUUUAAUUUCUCCGAAGCUCAUCAUAACUAUCCUCCUAUUAUUAAUUAAAAGCACAAAUCCACGUGACAUGGAACAUUCAAGCAAUAAACACUCCUUAUAAACCAGCCACACUGCCACUGAGACUAACGAGUAAACUAACAACCUUUGUUAACGAGGAGCAGAUAUACAGAAGUCUAAAAGAUACAUAAACAAUCAAGCAGACUGCAAGGUGCAAACAUAUAAACACAGUUACAACAAGAAUCGGAGUAUAAACAAAUCUACAGACAUAAAUGUUGUACCUAUUUGACCAAUAAAAGCAGCAGAUAAAUCCUUUUUCUGAAGCUGUGUUACUUCAGCUUUCAUCAAUGCCUCUGCAGGAGAAAUUAAUGCUAUACAAAAUCCAUUGCUCCUACAAUAAGUUGCUGCCUUUGAAUGAAGUAACUGUGGAUGGUACAAAGGAGGGCUGCUUCCAGUGGCAGAUGAUCUUUUAUCCUGCUACGUCCAACCAGAAGCAGGGAUUCCCUGCUUCUGAAACCAUUCAAGCAUGUGGAAUCUUUCAGAGAGUACAGGUCUCACAUCGUUCUGCUGAGAGAGGUGCUUGAGGAGUGGAAGAAGCACAUCCAGAAGCUGAACAGCCCAUAAAUAUGGAUAGAGAGGUGGUUGAGUAAAUGAACAAACAAGAUUGGGGAAUAAUUAUGAAUUUAAGUAAUUUAGAUAUUCCUACCUGUGUAUCAUGUGGUUGUCCUGCAGAAAAUGGAACACAUGGAAUUCCAUUCAGUGGUUGCAACAAGAAACUGAAUGGAUUGUUGUCAACAAUAACAAUCCGGCAUGGAUCAUUUGAUAUGCAGGAGAGAUCUUUCACAUGCUCCUGAUACUCCCUGUUCAGUGGUCACAUACAGCAUGAAAGGUUUUCAAAACUAAAAAAUGAAUCUUAAGCGUAAGGAUACAAGAGAAGUUAAUUCCUUCAUUUAGAAAUAAAUCAACUAUACAAAGUAUCUGCAUUUGCUUAACUUAAUCACAGAAGCAUACUGCGUCAUUAUCAGGAAUUGACAUCUUUAUCAUCAAAAUUUCACAUCCACUCAAAACUAGAAAGAUGAGUUUGAAGCACUAAAAGUGAGUGGCAUAAAGCACUCAUGAAGAAUUGGAACACAUUAUUAAAACCAAGCAAAUCCAUUGCAGUUAAUAAAUAAAUACAGUCAUUAUGAUGGGGGUGGGGGUGGUUUAAAUAUGAAAUCAUUAGCACCAUUACACAGGCAAUUAUCGGGAGCAUAAACAAUCUAGUUUCUGUAAAAAGAAAAACGAACUAAACUCAAAAUUCAACAUAGUGAUAGCCCCAGUCUAAUCAAGAUUGUCUAGAAUGUGUCUUCUGAAGCGAGCAUGAACUUAAUUUCUAUAGAAUAUGUAAAACCUUGUUUUGAACGUUGAGAAAAAUUCCAGCAUUAAAUAUGUAACUCUUUAGCUUGCGUGAGGUAAAUGAUAUUUAAUCUUGUAAGAAAUUUUCAAGAAUUAGCUUUACCAUGUAUAACUCUUAUUCACAGACAGAUACAUCAAAUGAUUGCAUAGAAUUUACUUAACAUGAAAUCAUAGUAACUUAAGUCGACCUGCUAAAUGUAAAAUCUGCACGAUCAUACCUAAUUCAUUUCAUAAUAUCAGUUUUUUCUGUAAAGUAUAGAGACCAUUCACACCAUAUAUUGUUACUCUAGCAUAAUAAGCAUCCAGAAAAAAACAUAUAGAGAAACUCUAAUAUCCAAGACUGUCAGAAAAAAGAUUUCUUCCAAAAUAUUAUAAGAGUUUUAACUGUUUCCAAUAAAAUCACUUAAGCAAUGUGUGAUGGUCAUAACUUAUGUCCAAUUCAAAAGAUGUGCGCAUACUUCAUGGUAGAAUAUUGUUAACUGGUGUAUAUAUGCUUGUGUAUUCGGCAAACUAAAAGGACAAGAACACAAGUUCCACUUGUCCUUUUGAGAAGCCUUUUUAUCUAGAGAAGUAAAUAUCCUAAAUUUCAAAUAACUAGUGUGCUAUCAGCAGUUACAAACUCAAGGAAGGAAAGACAUAAUGUAAGAAAGACCAGAAAAAUAUGAAUACAACAACUCGUGCUUACGUGCUAGUUGUUGAAGGCCGAUAAAGACGUAGACUAAAUCGAUUUUCUGUAUCUAUUCUGUCAACAAGUGGUCUGGCAUAACCUGCAAAUAUUCAAAGGUGGUAUUUCGAACUCGCUAAGAAAAUAAUAAUAAAGGUGGAAGAGCUAAUAGCCGAUACAGUAAGUAUAGCAGCCAGAUGUAUGGUGAAGUAAAUAUCAGACCUUCAAGGCCAGCUGUAAAUAGCACAAGCUCUGCAAAUUCACUGAGUUGUUUUAGGAAUUCAUCCAACCCUGGACGCUCAAAUACCGUAACAUAAUUGAUCUUAAGUUUCCCUUCGCAUUCCUUCAAAUCCCAACAUACUCAAGUCAAAAUAGUCUAACUUAAAUAAUUUUACUUAAAAUGACUUGCAUAUAAGAACCUUGUCUGAAGAUACACAUUCCAGCUCAAACCACUUCAAUCCAGCUUCCAUUGCUUGAUUGCACAGAAGCGCUGGCAAACUAGAUGUCUCAUAAGCACAUACUAGAGUUUCAUCCAAGUCAAGAACCACCUGCAGUACAUAUUCUGGAGUCAAUGUCAUGUUGAAUUACUGUUUUUAAAGAAGCAGCAAGAGAGAAGAUAGAGAAAAACCCUGCUAAACACCUUUCGCACAAUGAUUUUACAGAUUAUAAAGUUAAAUACCCAAGACCAACAACACAUAUCAAUGCAUAACCUCAGAAUUUUAAACCCUCUCGGCACAUUACCAUACAAAAAAUCAAUAGUGGGAUUUCACAGCAGUAAUUAACUAACUCACGUACCGAGUGACAAAAUCAAAGCUUGGAACCCAAAAAAGUAAUCCUUUUAUAAAUUCAAAUGUUCAAGAUUUAAUGGAAGAUGUAAGAAAACCAUAAAUAAAUAUCAGAAACAUAACCUACAUAAAAUAUCCAAAAUACAAGAAAGCUUAGAGUAUUACGAGCACGAAAACAUAUCAUUUACAAUGGGAAAACAUAAGACACAAAAAUAAUCUAAAGCAUCUUUAAAGCGCACUUUAUCCAGGGGAAUUUAUUAAAUUCCUGAUGUAUCAGGUUGAUGUAUUGGGUCCCGAGGAGGGGACUUGGUCUCGGUUAGCAUGCAAGCUGACCUGAAGAUACCCCUUAUCAUUGAAUAAAAACAAGAAAGCACACUUUAUUAUCAGAUAGAAAUUUUUUUUAAUUUUUUUUUAUAGAUUUAGCUCGUAAAUAUGAUUUCUCAAAUUGUUAAAUCCACACCAACGUGCAACACUCCUCUAAAUAGUACUAGUAAUAGUUCAUGAAAGCUAAAACUAGAAUUUCCCAAUCUAUUACUAUUGACUACUAAUUCUAGUAACUAACAUCUUAAUUUGGCCUUAACUCUCCAUAUCUAUCUACGUCAUAAAAUACAUAACCUGGCAAACACAAAAAUCAUAAACCUCUUGAAAAAAUAACUCAUCCUUUUAUUAUUAUUAUUAUUAUUAUUAUAUGCAUAAAUCAGAACACAUACAGAACCUUCUUUGAGAGCAACUAUCAUAACCAGAGAAAAUCGAUAUCAUACGGUGAGUUUCUGGAUAGGCUCGUUGGCGGAAAUGGCGUCGGUGCCGGCGGGGAUCUCGACUGUUGCGGGAGGAGGAUCGGUGGUCUCAGGCAACUCGCCAAGAGGCAAGGGCUUGAAAGUAUGAGAAGGAGUAGAGAGAGAUCGAGGUCCAACGGCUCUAAGGAUCUGUAAAAAGAUCUGGAAGAAGAAAGCAAGCCAGUUCCACAGUGCCCUCCAUAACUGAAUUGACCGUGGUGAGUAAACCACCUCGGGAUGAGUCAGCUCAGCCAUAUAGUAUGAUCAAGAACUGGUUCGAUGGCGGUGAUGGUUUAUAACUUAACUUAUCAAGAGAGAGAGAGCGAGGCAGUGAGAUUGUUUCCUUCAAAAAAAACUUGAUUUGCUGAGUGUUAUGUUUGUUUUAUUAUAAAAUUCCGUGCUUUUAGGACGGGCGACGGUGAAGAGGAGAGAUGACAUGGCUGUUGUGGUCCUCGAGGUGAGUGUGUGAUUAUUCUUCGAUUUGAUCAAAGUAUAGAAAGAGGAAGGAUGUAAAUCACAUCACGACUAAAUUGGUGAUUUUUCAAACAUGCAUUUGGUGCCCCCUCUUACUUCCGUGUUGAUUUGAAAUCCUUGUAAGAUUCUGAGCUUUUAUUCCUAAUAAAGAAAAGUAAAUUCGGUGCGUGACAUGGACAUGACUUUUUUUGUUUUCCACUAUUUAAUUUCUUUUUUUAAAAUCAAUCAAGAUAAAAAAAAAAAACACCAAGAUAAUAGAUGCAGUAAGAAUGCCAAAUGUAAAAUUAUCGAGGAUAAAAGGUACAAAAAAAAAAGUCAGAAUGAAAAAAGAAGGGAAGAAUACACAAAAGACAAAAAGGGAUAUUUUUUUAACAAUUAAUAAUUAAAAUAAUAUCAAUUUGCUUCUUGAUUCGUGAGUCCGGUCAGAAAAAAGAGCAUGCCCGCAUUAUCAUUUUAGAUUUAUGUGGAAUGGAUAUGCGGAUGAUGCAAAAAUGUGGGUCCCGGUAACAGGGGCCCAGAACAACCCAGCCAUCACACGUCUCUCACGUGGAAUGGAUAAGCGGAUGAUUGCAAAACGUUGACCUGGAAUAUGAUAUAAUAUCGUUAGAAAUGUUAUUUGGAUAAAGAGUUAGCACAAAACAAAUAUAUAUUAUCGUGAAAUGCAACGUGAUUGGUCAGAUGGGGUUGCACGCGUAGGCAGUUAGCGUGUGUGUGUACCAAAAUAGAGAGAAUUUGAGAAAAGGAAAGAUAGAGAGCAAGAGGAGUUUUUUAUUAUUAUUAUUUCUACCACCAGCAGCUGCUGCUGAUCAUUCUUAAAAUUAGGGCCAGAUUGGGUGAACUCACGCCUACCCAAAACCAGAUACAAUCCACUUUCCUUUUUGAGCUGUGGAUUGAGCAACCUCAGCUGGGAUCUGAUCAACUGCGGUGGCUAAAUUGCUGGCGAUGGCAGCCUAUCCUAUGUCUUCGAAGGAUAGACACUGGACAGUGGUACAGCUGAAAUUUUAUAAUUUAAGAUUUCAAUACCCUUUUAAUAUAUAUUUGAUACUGCAGCAGUACAUGUGAAUAAAAAUUGGUAUGAUUCACGAAGAUGUUGAUCUUUCUUCGGGUAGUGGAUAUGAAAAUUUGUUUUUACCCUUUUCAUGCAAGCUUCAUUUCUGAGAAAUUGCUGAACUUGUACACGUGUUUUCUUGUUCUGUUGUUUCAUAAUUUCUAAUUCAGUCGCAAUGCGUGUUGAUUAAGUUAUUCAACUUCUUGGCCAGAUUGGAUGAUCAAUCAAGAUUUGGUUAGGUAGGAGUGCUUACGACAUCUUGCAAUCCCUCCAAACACUACAAGGUACCCAUGACCUCAACUCCAAAUAGUUUUGAUGCCUGCAGGGAAAGACAAGCGAUCAGGUCUAGGGUUUUCCUUUUCUGUAGGAAAAAUACACUAAUCACUUGCCAUUAAUUUCUAUGUUGACACCCAGAUAACAACAACAGCUUCUUGGAUUCUUGUUCGUAAUUUCAUGCUGUUUGUCACUGGUUAUAAAUCCACAAACAGCCCACCUUCCUGUACUCGAUGCAGCCCGCAUCGACUUUUGCCUGUGUUCGGGACUGGAAUAUAGUGGAUUUAUGUGGCGUAUUGAAGGCGCUACGCAUUCAUUGACAACAAGUAUCCAAAUCAUUGUGUUGGUGAUUUUAUUACUGUCCUUCUGUUCCCAAUCAAAUGAUACUUACAAAGCCCCACCAAGUGAAGGAAGAAAAGAAAAUGCAAGAAAACUUCCUGUACAAAAUAAAUAUGAGUUCAACAAAAAAAAGAAUGCGUGUAUAUAUCUGAUGUGGUUGCAUAUACUGAACCAAAACUGGUACUGGAAGCAUGCACUCCAGAGACAAGAAAGAGACACAAAUACGUAGCCACGAGUAUUGACUCCCGAUCCACAACUUCAGUCAGAAUCGGACUCAGUAUGAAUGUGAAAGCCAUGGGUGCUCUAGGGCCUCCCUUGCAGUUGGACGCCUCAGGGGGUUGAGCUCAAGCAAGUCUCUCACGAAAUCAAUGAACCCAACGUCGGAAACUUGUAGAUGAUGUUCCAGUGAGGAUUCCUCAGGAAUAAGGUAUUCUACUUGAUUUGUCUCCUGGACAUUGCAAGCCAGGUAUGAGUAAAUUGGGGCUGGUGAAAUCAGUCAUCUACUAGUCAUGAUUGGUAAAAAUAUAUUACAUCAUCCUUGAAUACAACAAAACUUACCUAACAAAAAAAAGUCAAUGGUUUGAUAGCCGGGUUUUGAUGGGUCAGGCUCAGGUAUGCGGAUCAACCCAAGUUUUUGACCGGGUCGGUCAAGUUUUUUUUAUUAUUAUUUUUUUUUCAACCCGAACCAGUUCAAAUCCCGGAUCAGCCAAGUCCUAGGUUGACCGCUAAACGAGUCCGACUUUUGAAACUAUAGUGUGCCCACCUUGUUAAAUACUCAAAGCAUAGAUAUGGAGUAACACACCUCUUGGUCCUUUCUCAAGAUAAUGCAUAAAAAAACACCUAAGUUGAACUCUAUUAUAACUAAGGGUGUUCAUGGAUUUAGUUGGAUUAAGUUUGAGCUUAAAAUUAUACCCAACUCAACUUCUAAUAUUUUAUAAAUUGUAAACCCAACCCAACCCAUUCAUCUCUUCUUUUUUUUACCUAGGGGUUAGAUAUAUCAGGUUAAGCUAAUUUUUUUAUGGUAUUGCAGACAUUCACGGAUUGGACUUAUAUUGCUAAUUUCAAUGGAUUUAGCUUAAUUAGAACCAAGAUUUGGGCUCAAUAAACUAACUCAAGAAUUGUUAUAAGUUGUAACAAACAAUUUAAGCUUAAUAUAUCAAUGAAUAAAUUGACUAAAAUAUAAGAACCAAUUUAGCUAUGAUAACCAACAGGGUUGUAUUGGAUAUAUGGAUUGACCGGGUUUCAAAAAUCUCAACCUGUAAUAUCCAUUUCUUAGAUUUUUUAAUCCAUUAUCAUCUAUAAUAUCUAUAUUAUCUGAUUUUGACAAAUUGAGUUUGGUGAUGAACCAGUUUUUUCUUAACACCCCUAAUUGUGACUGUUGUGUGGAACUUUCAGAAAGCACCUUUUCCCUCCUUAACUAUCAUGUGCCUAGAGCAAUGUAUUUAAAAUGAAUAACCACAAGUUGAUGAAUGCAGAGCUUAUGAGAAUGCAAUCUUUCCCUCCCUACUGAAUAUUUAUAUGCAUCUUAUGUUCCAAAAACAUAUUCUGAAUGCAUAAAGGUAAAAAGUUCAACAGUCUGCUAGUCCUCAUCUAUUCUCAAACUGAAAGAAAUUUGACAAACCUCAUUUAAAUGAUAGAGAUCAUAUUCUUCUGUAAAGUACUUGUGCGUUUCCUGUCCUGUCUCCAGCAUCUCUGGAUCAAUAGGACCCAGCAUGCCAAUCAUGCGUGUGAGGAUCAUUACAACUGCAUCAUUUGGAAAGAGCACCUGACAACCCAGAGCAAAUGAUAUAGGUUACCAGAAAAAAUAAUCAUUGAAUGCUCAAGCCAUCCAUGGGAAGGAAUAACUAACAGCAAUAUCCACUUUAAUUUUACUGAAUGAAGCAAAGCAAAGCAGACAUACUUCCCCAGAGCACAGUUCAGCCAAGAUGCAGCCGAGAGACCAUAAGUCAAUCUUUUGGUCAUAGGGGAGACCUAGAAUGACUU